rnacentral:lncRNA from 1 species
AAUUUUAACCUGGGCCAGAUUUCAAAACAAAACCCAAACCAAAUAAUAAAAGAGUCCAAAAUAAUUAAAACAAUCCAUCCAUUUUACAAACAAACCCAAAUUAGCAGCCCAAAUACAAAUUAAAACUCAAUAACCCAAAACUAACUAUAGCCCAAUUAGCUAAACACUUAAACGCAACAAAAAAAACCCUAUCCCCCUAAGCCUCCAACGCUGCAUGACCACCUACGCCGCACGUCGUCGCUGCCGCUCGAGGCUCGCCUAUCUUCGACCAUCCACGCAUCUGACACUUGCAAAACCAAGGCAACACGCAACAACAAAGGCCAAAUAGAGGAAACAACAAGGAAACAGACAAAAAAGGAAGAAACAAACAGUUUUGAUUCGGCUAUAAAAGCCCGAAUCUCACCCUUGUAAUUUUUUUGCGAACAUUAGAAAAUAAAAAAACAAAAACAACACUUUCAAGGUGAAUUUCUACUUUUAUUUCUGUUUUAAAUACUUAUUUGAUUCUAUAUUCAUAUUUUUAUUUUAUUUUUUAUAUAUAUACGAAAAUAAUAAAAUAAAAAAAGGAAGAAAGGGCUCACCGGAGACGCCCCGUGAUCGUGCCGUCAGAAGGCUCUUCUCCGUUGUUGCCAUCGGAUCCGAGAGGGGGUCGAGAGUCUUCCUCUUUCGCUUUUUUGGGUCGAGAGGGCUGGGCUUCCAAGGGAGCUGCGAAACGGGGGCUAAAAAUGCCCUUUUGCGCAACACCGACCACCGGCCACGACAGCACUACGACGGCGACCAUGGCCGGCCAAGGGGUGGGCUGAGAGAGAGACCAAGAGAUACUGAGAGAGUUCUCUGUUUUUUUAGAAAAAUGAAAGUUGAACCGUUUUUUUCUUCUUUUUUUUUGCUAUUUAUAUAGGGUAUAAUACGACGCCGUUUUGGACUUAAGCAUCAGUGGCCAAAACAAUGCCGUUUUGCAUCAGACCUGAAAAUCGACUCGAAUGCGGCCAGGAUCUGCGCGUUUUAGCUUUGAGGAGCUAUUUGCAUAUUCAGCCCUUCCGCUUUUGUAGUAUAGUGCAAUCUGGUCCUCGUUGUUUUUAUAUUUUGGCCGCAUAAUUUUUUGAUUGUUUUACUUUGGUCCGAGCUGAAACGCUGCGCAUAGGGGCUAGGAAUAUUGCCCAGUCGGUCCCUCAUUCCUUAAGCGCGCUCUAUUUCAGUCCCUAGCAACCCUUUUUUUUAUUUGUAAUUUAAACCCCAAAUUCUGGGUCGAUUUUAGUAUCAUCCUUAGUCCAUUUAAUUUAUUUGUUCACUAUUUUUUAUUUAAAAAACUCUUUUAUUAUUAUUUGUUUUAAGUUUUUUUAUUUAUCAUUUAUUUUAAAUUGUUUUACAUACUAUUUAUUUAAAUUUUUUAUAUAUUAGUCAUUUUAAACCAUUAUAUGUACAUUAUCUUUUAAAUUUUUAUAUACAUAUAUUUUUUUUAAAAAAAACUGUUGUAUGUUUCUUAUUUAUUUAUUUUAAACUGUUAUUAUUAUUCAUUUUAAGUUUUUAUAUACUGUUUAUUUGAAGCCGGUUAUUAUUUAUUUUUGAAUUGUUCUUAUAAAUUAUUUACUUUAAAUUAUUAUUUACUUUGAAAUUUUUUUGCAUAUUAUUUUGUUUUGUUUUUUUUAUUGUUAAUAUUAGUAUAAAAAUUAUAUACAUUGUGUGAUUAUUACCGCCAUGUGUACUAUAAUUAGUUUCUUCGUGUUUUCAUAUUAUUAUCACUCAUUAACAUAACAUUUUUUUCAUAAAUUGUUAUUUUAUGUUCUAUGUUAUCAUUCCAUUUCACUUCAUCACUUCGAAAGUUGCAUUCAAUUUGUAUUUACCCAUAAUAAACCGUUCUAUUUUGUCACAAAUAAAACAAAUGCACCUCGUUCAAGCAUUGUACUCACAAUUAUUCAAAACGGGGAAAAGUUUUAAAAUAAGACAAUAUUUCGCAUUUUGGAGAUUUGAGAAAUUGUACCCUAACUUACGGGGUUUCAAUUUUCUCGUUGAACCUAAAUAGCAAAAUAUCCUUCUAAUUUUCAAAAUUUACGAAAUUCCAAUAAAGUUAAAGGCUAGCUUAUUCUCAAGGGUUCUAAGUGUCGUGUCCUAACUUACGGGAUGUGACAUUUAUUAUCUCGAGACGAGAGGAUCUUUGACAUUCGUUUCAAUUUAUUCAAGCAAAUUCUUUUAAAUUAAAAUAGCGUUAACAAAAGGGGGAUCGUGUUUUAAAUUCUUUCGAAGUUUUUCAAUUUUUAACAUUUAGACAUUAAUUAAUCAAUUGAAUACCAAUUUUGGGCGUGACGAGGGUGCUAAUCCUUCCUCGCAUGUAACUGACUCCCGAAUCCGUUUUCUCAAAUUUCAUAGACCAAAAUCACUGUUUUGAUAAAUUAAAAUAUUUUAUUAAAACAACUAAAUUAUGAGGUGACCUAAUCACACCUCAUAAAAAAAAGAUUGGUGGCAACUCUCGUUUUAAUUUCCAUUUUCAAACCAACGUCGACCCUUUUAAAAAAAUGGUUUCAAUAUUAAGUUAUAAGUUGAAUGAAUUAAAAAUAUGUGAAAAGUGUAAAUAGAGACUCUUCAAUCUCAUUUCCUCUAAUGCUCUUUUUUUAAAUUUUUUUUUAAAUUUUUUAUGUACCUUUUAAAUAGUUAAUGAAAAUAAAAAUAUUUUGAUAAUUUUCACUUCGAAAUGCAAAAGCCAACAACAGUUUUUGACUACAAAAGCGGUGUGUUCUUCAUCACUUCUCAGUGGAAAAACACUUCUGCAAUGUAACAACACUUUUAACCCAAAACGGCUUUUUCACCACAAUAGAGAAUGCACCCUAAAAUUGUAAAUAGAAAAAAGAAGGAUCAAACAUUGUUUCUACCCUGUUUUUGUCUCCUCUUUGAAAAUACUUUCCAAAAAGUUUUAUCAUUUUUUUUUCUGUUUACAAAUUCCUUAUAGAAGUGCUUUCUUUUGAUCCACUUGCAUCAUUGUAAUAAGUUUGCAUUGCCUUCUAACUUUCUAUGUUGAUUACAGUUUAUUAAGUUUUCUGUUGGAUCUUAUAGUCAAAUUCCUUUACAUCAUGUAUGUUAAUUUGCUUAGCCCUGAUAAAUGUUAGAUAUAGGGUUAUCAGUGUCGAAACCACUUUUUUGGCGAACAAAAAUUAGUUGUUGACUUUAAAAACGAAAGUUGGAGUCGCCAUCGAUCCUUUAUUGGGGUGUGAUCGGCUCACCUUAAAAACGAUUUUGGUCUGCAAAAUUUGAGAAAACAGGUUCGGGAGUCGGUUACGCAUGAGAAAGAGUUAGCACCCUCUUAACGCCCAAAAUUGGUACCGAAUUAAUUAAUUAAGGUCUUAAUGCCGAAUAUCGAAAAUCUGUGAAGAAUUUAAAAAUACGAUCCUCCCUUUUUGUUAAUGUUAAUUUUAUAAAAGAUGCUUGGAUAAAUCGAAGCGAAUGCUAAAGACCUUUUUGUCUUGGAAUAAUAAAAUGUCACACCCAAUACGUUAGGACAUGACAUUUUAGUCCUCGAGAAUAAGCUUGUCUUUUGAUUUUCAAAGCUCGUGCGGUGAAGUUUAAAAAGGAUAUUCAAUUGCUUUAACUCAGAUGAAAAAUCGGAGCCCAAUACGUUAGGGCACAAUUUCUCAAAAUUCCGAGCAUUGAAUAUUGCCCUUAUUAUUAUUAUUUUUAAAAUCUUCAUCUCGAGAAAAUGACAUGUCAUAUCCAAUAUGUUAGGACACGACGUAUCGAAUUUUCGAGAAUGAGCUUUUUAUUUAUGCUUUAAUUAAAAAAGGAUACCCGGUUUCUUAGAUUCAACGAGGAAGAUUGGAAUCCAAUAAGUUAGGACACAAUCUUUUCGAGGAUCCUAAAUUCCGAGUGUCGCGUUAUUUUUGAAAAAAAACUUUUUGAAUAAAAAUGCUCUCGAUACUUGAAUGAUAUUAAACGUAACCUUUUAACAACGAAUAAAAUGCGACGGGACGAUAAUGUAUAACGCGGAAUGACGAUUUGUAAACAAAAUAUACUCUAACGAAUGACAAAUAAUCAAUAAAAACAAAUAAACAUUAUCAUACAUAUAAGAGCAAUAAUCACAUGUAAAUAUUAACAUCAACAUUUGAAAGCUAAUGACCUAAAAGCCUAUCGCAAAUACAACAAAUUUAAAAUAACUAAAAAAAAAGCAUGAGAGAAAAGAAAUUUGAAAUUAUCAACAUAUAUACACAAAAUACACGUAUAUAAAAAUUUAAAAGAAAUAAUUAAUAGGAAGACUUGAAAUAAUUUAAAAAUAGAAUUAAAAAUGAAUAAUAAUAUCUAAAUGAAUUUUAAAAUAAAUAUUAUAAGAAGAAAGUCAAAAUAAAUAAAACCCAAAAUAAUACACAUAUAUUAAUCUAAAUAGGUAAUAGAUAUAAAUUACGUAUUAUAAAAGAAAACUAUUUAAAAAGGGUAAAUUCUAUUGGAUUAACAUAAAAAUAUAAAAUAAUUUAUUAUGAAAUUAAAUAAUAAUAUAUGAUAAUAAUAUAAAAAAACUUAAAAUAAUAGUGCAUAAUAGAAUAAAAUAAUGAAUAUAAAAAGGUUAGAUAAAUUGAUAAAAAAUAAUACUAAUAAUAAUAAUAGUAGCAGUAAUAAUAAUAAUAAUAAUAAUAAUAAUAAUAAUAGUAAUAAUAGUAAUAAUGAUAAAUUAAUAUUAAAGUAAUUAAUUUGAUAGCAAAAAUAACAAAACAGAUUACUAAUUUGGAAUUAAAACAGAAAUUUAGGGGUAAGACGUGCAAUAAAAUGAAAUGAAAAGGACCUAAUUGAAAUUAAUUUAAAAUCAGACUGACUAGCAAAGAAAUUAAACGCACAAGUCUCACCUGGCAAUCAAGUCAGAUCAUCAGAAACGGCGUCGUUUCGAACGUUUGUCUCCUCAACUGACAGAAGGACGAAAUUGAAAGAAAUAUCGAAUUAUGUGGCAAAAUUAAAAAAGACAAAGAAGGAUUAAAAUGAAGUAAAUAAAAAACAGAAGGACCAAACAGGAGAAUAAGCCAUUGAAACAAAACACGCGGAUCCUCCCCGGGUCAAAUCGGAUCAUCGGGUCAACCAACACGGAGACGUUUUGAAGCCAUUAAAUCGGGCUUAAACGGCACCGUUUUAUUAUCGUUAAAAACCUAAAAAAAUAAAACCCUAAUAAUUUGUUUUGCCAUCCUAAAACAGAUCAAGAGCCUAGCCUUCUCCCCACCGGUCUCCACUCACGAACCCAAUCUGACUCCGAUUCAGACGGAGCAAACCAGAUUCCAAUGGCGUCUGCUCUGGUAAGACGCUUCUUCUCUCCCUCUUUUUUUUUCGUUUGGUGCCAAAGAAGAAAACAAAGAAUCAAAGAAAUAAAAGAGAAAAAAAAACGAAGAAAAUCACCUUUCGAAAAAACUUUCUGUUUUGAUUUUUUGUUUGUAUUCAAUAUGCGUAAAAAAGGAUUACAAUGGCCUUCUCCCUCUUUAUAGCCGAAUAUUCGAAAUAAAAUGAAAGAAAAUACAAAAAAUUCUCUCUGCUGCGUUGUUUUCGUCUUCUUUGCAGGUAAGGAGGCUAGCUGGCGUAAGGAGGUGGUGGACGUGGCACAGCACACUCGGGGAAGGCCCUGGUGGCUGCGGCGCUGGAAGGAGGGCUGUUGCAGCUAGGGUUUUCUGAUUUUUUUUUGGGCUAGGGUUGGGUUGAUAGUUGUAUUGGGCUAGGUAUUUGGGCUGGGUGUAGUUGGACUAGAUGUAUCUGACUUUGGGUUUGUACCGGGUCACUGUAAAUGGGUUUGGUUUUUGUUGUUAUUGGGCUGUGAACUAUUUGAGUUUUAAUUAAUUUUUAUUUAUUUGGUUUUUUAUUGUGGGCUGGGCAAAUUGGGUAUUACAAUCAGCUAAUUAGGAAAGACUGUGAUGAUAGUCACACCUUACAUCCAAAAGCAAAGCUUUUUUUACAUGUGUAUGUAAGGUUGCUAAGCAAAUCUGGUGAGCCUUCACUGCUGUUUUAAGGUUAAGUUAAUGUUCCUUUUCGGCAAAGAACAUUAUCGAGAUCACGGUAUUUUGAUCGCCUUUUGCUUCUUGUUAUUCGUUCUGAAACGAUUGCAUAAUCUUUACUGUGAUUGCAGGAUAUAGAGCAACUUUUGAAUUUCAUCGCUGUAAAGUGUUUAGGACCACGACAUGUUCUUGCAAAUUUGAAGAAGCUUCUAAGGUCUGUCCAGUCUUCAGAAUAUAUAGAUACCUGAAUUAAUUUUGAUUUUGUAGGAUCAACUAUAAUUAGCUACUUAUUAGAGUAUGAAUAGACAACCUCACCUUCUUCACACACUGACACGUGCGGAUUUUUUGCCAAUCCCAUUUCAAAGGAUCACACUUUUUUGUUGUUUACAGAAUCAUAAUUAAUGUUAAUUAAAGUGGAAUAUUUCAGAUUUCUGAUGAUGAGCAUAUUCUUGAGUAUUGCAGUAAAAAAAUGGGUGCGGAACUUAUUUGAACUUUGAAUGUAUGUUUUGUUGGUGAGAAUAUAAAGUUGAUAAAGAUUUGGUAAAUAGAAUAAAAUACUAUUUUUUAUUAGAAAAAUUAUUUGGUAGACUGCCAAUCGAUUUAUAAUUAUCAUGACGCAAUAUUAAGGGUAAUUAAAACAUGUCAUAUUACAAAUAAUAAAAUUAUAAUGACUCAAAUAUACGAACAUGUCAAAAUUUAUGUACAACGAAUUAUUAACAUGUCAAUGUAUAGUAUAAUAUGGUACGCAAAAAUAAGAUAAUUGCUUGUCUUUAAUUGAAUUGUUAUAACACAUUAUACAAAAUACAUUGUGAAUUAAAGCAUAAUAUAAUCAUGAUAUCAAUAUAUUAAAUUUUUUAAAAAUUCGAUGAUACGAAUAAUUAUGUAAAAUAUCACAUGAUACAAAAUGACUUGAGAGGAAAAGAGGAACAAAGACUUGCNNNNNNNNNNNNNNNNNNNNNNNNNNNNNNNNNNNNNNNNNNNNNNNNNNNNNNNNNNNNNNNNNNNNNNNNNNNNNNNNNNNNNNNNNNNNNNNNNNNNNNNNNNNNNNNNNNNNNNNNNNNNNNNNNNNNNNNNNNNNNNNNNNNNNNNNNNNNNNNNNNNNNNNNNNNNNNNNNNNNNNNNNNNNNNNNNNNNNNNNNNNNNNNNNNNNNNNNNNNNNNNNNNNNNNNNNNNNNNNNNNNNNNNNNNNNNNNNNNNNNNNNNNNNNNNNNNNNNNNNNNNNNNNNNNNNNNNNNNNNNNNNNNNNNNNNNNNNNNNNNNNNNNNNNNNNNNNNNNNNNNNNNNNNNNNNNNNNNNNNNNNNNNNNNNNNNNNNNNNNNNNNNNNNNNNNNNNNNNNNNNNNNNNNNNNNNNNNNNNNNNNNNNNNNNNNNNNNNNNNNNNNNNNNNNNNNNNNNNNNNNNNNNNNNNNNNNNNNNNNNNNNNNNNNNNNNNNNNNNNAUGGUCUUCUAGGCUUGGUACCUAGUUUUCCAUUCUUUUUAUCCGUUCUAAUUCCACUUUUGCUUUAGUAAAAUUUUCUUAUAGCUAAGAAAGAAAAAAAAAACUAUUAACAAGUAAUUAUAUAUAUAUAUCAGGUUUUCAAUUGCUUUCAAGACUCAAUAACUUGGAAACUCUCGAUUUAAGUCGGAAUUCUUUUAAGAAUAGCAUUUUGUUCCAUAUGAGAAAUCUUUCAUCCUUGAAGACUUUAAGAUUGAGCGGUAAUCAGUUGAAAGGAAGGCUGGAUCAUAUUCAAGGUAGACUAAUUUUACCUGUUUCUUUUUAACUUUAAAAAUCAAUGUAUGCUCAAGUUUGAUUUUAUCAUACGAUGAAUGUAUAUAACUAAUCAAUAUUUGGGAUUGAAUUUCAGGAUUGAAUAAUUUGACAAAUUUGAAGUACUUGGAUUUAAGUUGGAACGACAUUGAAAGCAUCUCAAACAAAGGUAUAAGUAUUUGUGCAAAACUUUCUUGACCGACUCUUAUUCCAAAAGGCAAUGACAGACUUCAAAUGUAUUUUCUUUAGUGAAUUUUUAUUGCAAAAAUGGAGUAUUAUUAUUUAUUUAUGUUUUGUAGUAACUAAUUAUAUAAUAUAUAAAUCAGGUUUUCAACGGCUCAUUAAAUUGGAAAUUAUUGAUAUAAGUUGGAAUUAUUUGAAGAAUAGCAUUCUUUAAAAUAAAUUCAUGUUGAAGGAAAAGUUGUUGCAAUAAGUCAUUUGAUUUUAUCAUAUCAUGAAUAUAUAUAAGUAAUCAAUAUUUGGGAUUGAAUUUCAAAAUUGAGUAAUUUAAGUAGGAAGGUAUCUCAAACAAAGUAUUUAUAUAUUGAAUCAAUUCAUGGGAAAGCUUGUAAAUUGGCUCUUCCUUCUCAAACAAUCAUUUUUCCUAACUUUUUAUAUCUUGAAUGAUAUUAACUAUACUCAUUAUUUUCUUCCAAUGAUAGAUGGAACACAAUGGAGGCUAACAAACUUAGAGGAACUUGAUUUGAGUGGUAAUCUCUUUCGGAACAACACAAUUUCCUUUCCUCAAGGGCUUUCAAGCCUAAAGUCUUUGACUUUGUACAACAACCAUUUGCAAGGCUCAUUAGAUACUAUAGGUACCAAAGCUAUAACUUUGUUUUUCUUGAUAAUUCUUUCUAGAACCUUUUAAAAUUAAUUGUUUCAAAUUUGAACAUUCACAUUUCACUUUUGAGGAUUUUCAUCUUCACUUCCAGUUUUAGAUUUACUUUUUUUUUCAUUUUUAUUUCAUUAAAAUAUUAAGUAGAAAUUAAAAUUAUUAACAUAAUGAUUUUUUAAAUUGUACGUGGAUAUGUAUAGGAUUGAGCAAUUUAACAAAUUUGAAGAAACUCGAUUUAAGUGGGAAUCAAAUUGAAAGCUUUCAAACCUUUAAAGGUAUGCAUUUAUAUUUAACUAAUUACCUAAAUUCUUACAUAUAAUUAAAUUUUAUGCCAAUUCAUUUCAGUGAUGAAAUUAUAUAAAUCUUUUGUAGAUGGUGGUAGAAAAUUGGAGUUGACCCACUUGGAAGAGCUUUAUUUAGAUGGAAAUCACUUCAAUACUAGUGUAUUUGCAUCCCUUAACAAGCUUUCAAAUUUGAAAUCUUUGAGCAUAAGUGAGAAUCAAUUGAAAGGAUCAAUAGAUAUGAAAGGUAAAAAUAUUAGUUUUUUAACAAGAAUAUAAUAAUGUUUGAAGAGAAUAUAAUGAAGUUGAUUUGUUGUUUUUGUUUUCCUAGAUUUGGAAGCAUUUAUCAAAUUAAGGGAACUAGAUAUGAGCUAUAAUGAAUUGAGAGAUUUUGUGAUCCACCAAGGUAUCAUUUAAUUAAUUUUCCUUUUUUUUUAAUUUAGAAAUUUAGUUUUGAUCUAUGAUAUUAUAAUAACAGUUAUUGUCAUAAAUAUUAAUAAAGUUAUAUCAUAUCAUACUUGAAAGUAAAAUAUGGGUUUGGUGAAACAUUUUCUAAACCCUCCAUUAUAAUGUGUUUCGACUUUGGUUUGAAACUAAAAUUCUUUAAAUUUUUCAUAAUUUUUAAAUAUUAAUGUUUAUAAUUAUUUUGUUUGUAUAACUAUGUUUUUAAAAUAAUUUAUUGAAUUUUUAUGAGAUAAAAAAUAAUUAUAACGAUAAAAAAUGAUAUUAUAAGUAAAAAUACAUAUAUUUAUGGGAAAAUAUGUAAUAUAACUAUAUUUUAAUUUCAUAUAUUUUUAAUAGUAUAAAACAUAAAAAUACAUAUUAGAGUUAAAUAAAUGGCAUUUUUUGGCCAAAAAUAAAUAAAUGUCAAUUUUGAAUAAUAUAAAAAAAAACUUCAAUUUUAUGAAAUUUAAACAUACAUUUUGAGGUGUUUAAACUUUUUUUUUUAACUUUUUAUAAAUUUCAAAAUGCACAUGUUGUUAAUUUUUUGGUUUUAAAAAAUGUGAUAGGUCUAUGUACUCUUUACAAAUUUGUAAUUUAAUUCUUGUAUUUUUAUUUUCGGGAAUUUGAUCCCUCUAUUUUUUAAAUUUUAAAAUCCAAGUUCAAUUGUUAACAUUGUUAUUUUUUUAAAAAAUAAUUUAUUGGUGUUGACAUUUUAAAAUAAAAGAACUUGGUAGCGAUGUAACUAAAAGAUGAUGUAAUGAACAUGGAUUUAAUAAAAUAAUUUCAACCGUAUAAAUAGUUAGACUUGAAUUUUGAAAAAAAAAAUUUGUAAAGAGAAAAAUAUGCACAUUAGAUUUAAAUAAAAAUAAUAUUUUUUUUAGUUUAAAAUUUUCUAUUUUAUAAUAGAACCAUUGAUUUAAAUAAAUGAGAUUUUGAAGAAUUUCCAAAAAAAAAAAACUAUGUAGGUGAAAUUUAAAUAGAGAAUUUGAUAAGCUGAAAUUCUCUUUUGGAAUUCAUAAAUUUUAAAAUUCAGAAGCAUGUAUUUUGACAAUUUUGAUUUAAUAUGGUGAAUUUAAUCAAAAAAUUAUUUAUUAGAUUGUAAAAUAUUUCUUAACAUUUAUAAUUGAGUACAAAGUAAAUUAAGUUUAAGGGAAAAUAUUGGGUACUAUUAAUGAAAUUCUUUUCUUUUAUCAAUUUUUUUUUAAAAAAAUCGGGGUGGUACUAUUAAUGAAAUUCUAAACUUCAUAAGUAGGAUUGAGAUAAUAACAAAUUUCUUAUAUGGUAUAGUAAAAUAUUAAAAAAUAAAUAUUUAAAAGAAAUAGGUUAGUGGCCAUUUUUUAACUUCACUUGUAGAGUUAAAAAACUCCAUUACCAGUACCAAAUACUAACAUUAAGGUUAAAUGCUAAUUGAUUUCAAACAUAUUUGAGUUUUUUAAAAGAAUAUUCUCAUAUAUUUAAAAGAAAACAACACAAAGUUAGAAGAUCUCAUCUUGAAGGGUAAUUCAUUUACCGGUCCUCUCACAUUACCGUCAGCUCCUAACUCUAAAGUGUCUUUAAUUGACAUAUCCCAAAACAAAUUGCAAGGUCAGAUUCCAACCAACGUGUGUUCACAUUUUCCACAUUUGAGCCACUUAUUCUUAUCCAAGAAUGCCUUCGAAGGUGAUAUCCCUCCUUGUUUGAGUGGCAUGAAGGAUUUAUCGAUUUUAGAUUUAUCAGACAAUCAAUUGUCUGGAAGAGUACCUGAAGAGUUAAUCACAAAAAACUCGUUGACCAUUUUGAGACUAUCAAACAACAACCUCAGUGGACAUGUGCUUCCUGUGAUUCUCAAUGCAAAUGGGCUGUCAAAAUUAUAUUUGGAUGGAAAUAAUUUUUCUGGGGAGAUGGCAAAUGUUGAUGUCUCUAUUUCUGAGUUUCCAACUUCACUAAGGGAAAUUAAUCUCGGAAAUAACAAGUUUUAUGGAAACCUCCCAAGAUGGAUGGGGAAUGUGUCAUUUUUGGAGAGAUUAGCUUUGUCCCAAAAUGGUUUCGAGGGUUCUAUUCCAAUGGAAUUUUGCAACUUGAAUCGCUUGGAAUUUUUGGAUCUCUCUGAAAACAAUUUAUUUGGCUCUAUACCGUCCUGCUUUAAUACCCUAAACAUAAAGCAUGUCCACCUGCACGGGAGUAGACUAAGUGGCCCACUACCAAUCGCUUUUUAUAAUAUCUCUUCACUGGUUACGUUAGAUCUUAGAGGAAACAAUUUGACUGGUAGUAUUCCAAAAUGGAUUGGCACACUUUCUUCAUUGAGUGUUCUUCUCUUGAAAGAUAAUCAUUUUCAUGGUGAAGUUCCAGUUCAGUUAUGCAAGUUGGAUUCUUUAAACAUCAUAGAUCUUUCUCAAAAUAUGUUUUCUGGUAUUAUACCUUCUUGUUUGGGAAAUUUAACCCUUUCAACGGAAACAAAUAAGAUUCUAACUGAUUCGAAAAUUAGUCCAAGGUUAACAGGGGACGGAUUAGUGAAAACAUUGGGAGCUCUCGGAAAUUAUUACUAUCCUGAAGGCUACUUAGAAGAAGUAAUAGAGUUCACAACAAAGAGUGGGUUCUUAUCGUAUGAGGGAAACAUCCUUACAUAUAUGACCGGGAUUGAUUUAUCUUGCAACAACUUAACUGGUCAUAUCCCACCAGAAUUAGGGAACUUAAGUGAAAUCUAUUCUUUAAACUUGUCGCAUAAUAAGUUGACAGGAGUUAUACCCUCAUCAUUCGCAAAACUUCAUCAAAUUGAGAGUUUGGACCUUUCUUACAACAAUUUGAGUGGUGAAAUCCCCAAUCAGUUGGUAGAGUUGAACUCUUUGGAGGUUUUCAACGUGGCAUACAACAACUUGUCAGGUAGUAUUCCCGAACCAAAAGCUCAAUUUGGGACCUUUAUUGAAAACAGUUAUGAGGGAAAUCUUUUUCUUUGUGGAGCUAUAUUGCAUAAAAGUUGUUCCAAAACCGAUUCACCAUCAACGAUAUCAACUCUAUCAGAAUAUAAAGGAGAAGAUGGUUUGAUAGGUACUUAUGAUUUUUGUGUGAGCUUUUUGGUUUCUUAUGUAGUUGUGUUGUUGACCAUUUUUGUUGUCCUCUACAUAAAUCAAUACUGGCGAAGAGUUUGGUUUUCUCUCAUUGGGAAAUGCAUCACCACCUGUCGCUACUCAAAUGUGGGCAAUUUUCUUACUUAUCACAUUUUCAAGCAAUGAGUUUAGCUACUCAAAUUGUAAUUUGAUUUUCACACCUAAAUGUUUAAUUAUGCUAAGUUGAGCGAUAAUGAAUAUUUUGUUGAUUUUUGCAUUUUAAAUAAAAGCUCUUUGAUCUUAUGAUUUUAUCAUUUUCAACCAUCUAUUUCUUUUUUCUUCUAUGAAAUUUAAUGUAAAAUCAUAAUCCAUUAUUAUGUAUAUGCAAUAUCUCUUUGAAUUAAAUUAAAUUGAAUACCAAGCGUUCACUAGUGCAUACUGAAAAGGAAAUCUAAUGUAAAAUUAAACCAAACAUACUAGAAAAAUGAAUCUGAAACUGAAAUAUUUUAAAACCUCAAAAACAAUGCAAUUCUUUAUUCCUCUUUUCCUUUCAAGUUAUUUUGUAUCAUGUUAUAUUUUACAUAAUCAUUCAUAUCAUCAAAUUUUAAAAAAUAUUUAAUAUUUUGAUAUCAUGUUCAUAUUAUGCUUUAAUUCACAAUGUAUUUUAUACAAUAUGUUAUAACAAUUCAAUUUAAAAAACAAGCAAUGAUCUUAUUUUUGCAUACCGUAUUAUACAUUUACAUGUUAAUAAUUCAUUGUACGUAAAUUUUGACAUGUUUGCAUAUUUGAGUCAUUAUAAUUUUAUUAUUUGUAAUAUGACAUGUUUUAAUUACCCUUAAUAUUGUGUCAUGAUAAUUAUAACUCGAUUGGCACCAAAUAAUUUUUCUAAUAAAAAAUAGUAUUUUAUUCUAUUUACCAAAUCUUUAUCAACUUUAUAUUCUCACCAACAAAACAUACAUUCAAAGUUCAAAUAAGUUCCACACCCAUUUCUUUACUGCAAUACUCAAGAAUAUGCUCAUCAUCAGAAAUCUGAAAUAUUCCACUCUAAUUAACAUUACGAUUCUGUAAAAACCAAAAAUGUGUGAUCCUUUUUUAAAGCUCUUUUUUUUUUCCUUUAAUGAAAUGGGAUUGGUAAAAAAUCCGCACAUGUGUCGUGUGUGAAGAAGGUGAGGUUGUCUAUUCAUUCUCUAAUAAGUAGCUAAUUAUAGUUGAUCCUACAAAAUCAAAAUUAAUUCAGGUAUCUUUAUAUUCUGAAGACUGGACAGACCUUAGAAGCUUCUUCAAAUUUGCAAGAACAUGUCGUGGUCCUAAACUCUUUACACCGAUGAAAUUCAAAAGUUGCUCUAUAUUCUGCAAUCACAGUAAAGAUUAUGCAGUCAUUUCAGAACGAAUAACAUAACAAGCAAAAGGCGAUCAAAAUACCGUGAUCUCGAUAAUGUUCUUUGCCGAAAAGGAACAUUAACUUAACCUUAAAACAUCAGUGAAGGCUCAUCAGAUUUGCUUAGCAACCUCACAUACACAUGUAAAAAGCUUUGCUUUUGGAUGUAAGGUGUGACUAUCAUUACAGUCUUUUCUAAUUAGCUGAUAACCCUGUAUCUAACAUUUAUCAGGGCUAAGCAAAUUAACAUACAUGAUGUAAAGGAAUUUGACUAUAAGAUCCAACAGAAAACUUAAUAAACGAUAAUCAACAUAGAAAGAAGGCAAUGCAAACUUAUUACAAUGAUGCAAGCGGAUCAAAAGAAAGCACUUCUAUAGGGAAUUUGCAUUUAAGGCAUCGUAAACAGAAAAAAAAAUGAUAAAACUUUUUGGAAAGUAUUUUCAAAGAGGAGACAAAAACAGGGUAGAAACAAUGUUUGGUUCUUCCUUUUUCUAUUUACAAUUUUAGGGUGCAUUCUCUACUGUUGUGAAAAAGCCUUUUUGGGUUAAAAGUGUUUUUACACUGCAGAAGUGUUUUUCCACUGCAGAAGUGAUGAACAACACAUAGCUGUUGUAGUCAAAAACUGUUUUUGGCUUUUGCAUUCAAAAGAGAAAAUUAUCAAAAUACUAUUAUUUUCAUUAACUAUUUAAAAGGUAUAUAAAAAUUAGAUUAAUUUAUAUUUUAUAUAUUAUUAUAUUAAAUUGUUUAAAUCUUAUUUAUUAUUAUAUUUAAUUUUUUCAAAAUAUUUUAUAUAUUAUCAAUUUUACAACUAAUUAACAAAAUAUUUUACUAGGGAAUACGUAUAUGUGAAUAUCUAUAAAUGGCAUGCCUGGAUAUGCAUAUCCUUUGAUAUCAAAUAUUUUGAAAAAAAUAUUAUCAAUUCCACUGAUAUAUUAUCAAUUCCACUGAUAUAAAGCUCUUUAUAUUACCAAUAUAAAUAUAAAUAUUUUGAAUAUAAAUAUCCAUUGAUAUAUUAUCAAUUCCACUGAUAUAAAGCUCUUUAUAUUAUAAAUAUUUUAUAUUUUUUUUCAAAAAUAUGGAUAUGCAUAUCCUUUGAUAUCAAAUAUAAAGGUAAUAUUUAUAGGAAUUGUUUUUUAAUUAGAUAUUUUUAUAUAUCAGUGGAAUUGUCAAAAUAUUUUCAUUAACUAUUUAAAAGGUAUAUAAAAAGAGCUUUAUAUUGCCUCAAGCGCAAGGCACAAAAUGAAGCGCUAGCCUGUGUGCAGUAAAGCGCAAUACGUAUAUGUGAGAGUUUUUGCAAGUCUGUGUGUCUAUAACAUAAAAGUUUAAGAUAUAUAGUAAACUCUAAAGUGUGGUCUGGUUUAUCCACAAAACUUGAAAUUUUUUUAUAGGUGAAUGCUCAAAUAUUGAGAAUUAUAGAGUUUGAUAUUAUCCCUUCCUUAUUAGUAAAGGUAUAUCAAAUGAAAACAGUGAAAAAUAAAAUAAAUUAUUGAGAAAUUCAACAAGGCAGGUUUUUCUAAUGCCCAUUGCCUUACAAAAAAAGUGUGCCUAGGUGCACCAGGCAUGCGCUUGAUCAAAUGGACCUCACCUGGAAGGGUCCAAGGCGUUUUGUUGUAUAAAACUAAGGCGUAGGCAUGCCUAGGCGCAUGCCUUGACGACACUGACCAUAUGUUGGCUUUAUUGCAAAGCAUUAGCAAUUCAAAACUACUAGCACAUUACCUAAUCUACUACUGCUAGAAUAGGACUCAAGUUCUUGCUCCUGUGCAGGUCCAACCAAGAUCUUUACAGGAUACAGUAAUGAAACUUGUGAUAUCAUAUAUUGUUGCCUUGCUCGAAGCUUCCUUUGCACAUUUUUAAGUUUAACACAACCCCUUUCUUCAGUGAGUAAUCUAUUUGCUUCCUGUGAUAAAAACAACAUAUAAUCAAUCAUGCCAUGCAUGCAAGACUACCAACCAUCUUAAAAAAGAGACAAAGAAGUAGGACAGCAAGAAGGGGAUAACCCUUGACUAUGCAAAGGAAUUCAUAGAAUGAGAAUCAUCUCAUCUAAGCCCCUCAACCACCUUCACAGGGGGUGGAGCUGCAAAAAGAGAUGUCUUAUUGAUCCAAGAGGAGAAUAAAUAACAUCUAAAGCUGAAUAAGAAGAAACCUUCAAAUGUAUCAUAAAUUCAGCAUUCAUGAUAAUAUCAAAAUGAAAUUCCAAAGCUAAUUUAAGCUAGAAUAAAAAUGCUUCACCUGUAAUCGCUUCCUUGCUACAGAAAGAGAGGUACCAGCAACCAACAAUGAUCUUACUUCAGUACUAAGCAUUUCCUCCUGUUUUUUAGCAUCCUCUGUUGCAACUUUGCAACGAGUUGACAUUUUGCCAUAACUACUUUCCUUGCCUCUAGUCUCUCACGCAUUUCCUCAAGCUCGUUCAGUUUAUUCAAAGACUCAUUUUUUACCUGCACAGCAUGUUCCCGCCCAUUAAUCAGUGGGCCAAUUGAUUAGGUCACAGAAGACAAAACUAAAUUACCACUCACCAGGUCCCCUUGAAGUGUCAUAUGGCUUUAACAAUUCAACGUGCAAUAUCUAGUAAAAGUAAAAUAAACAUAGAAGAAAGCAAAUGCAAUUCUUAAACGCCUUUAAAUGGACAACAUGAAACAGUUUAAGAGCCCUAUAAAACAGUAAAGUGGAAAAAAAAUCUGAAAAGGAAAAAGAAAUGAAUUGAAACAAUAAAUCCAUCAGGUACAAACAGCAACAAAACUUGAAAUAAGCUUUGGCUUUAGCCCAUUAAAGCCCGGGCAUCCAGCCAAAUAAACAGUGACUGCCAUGUCAACUUUUUGAGACGGUAGAAAAGAGAUCGAAAAUCUCAAUUUCCAAAAAUAAGGACAUAAGAAGUAAAAAAAUGCACUUAUUCUUACAGUAGAAGAGCAAAAUGAAACUAAAUGAAGCAUAAGGGAACUGAUGCGAAUUGACAUUGUCAUUUUUGGGACUAAAAAGAAUACGCAGAUUGAAUAUUUAAGAUUUGGAAGGGAAAAGUUCCAUUCACCAACACAAUUAUCGUCGCCCUUCAUCCUAGUAAAGCUUAAUUGACAAUUUUUCUGUCUCGUGUUCUUGCUAAAGCAUUUGAGCAACCCAACAGAAAUCAUUAUAUUUCAAACUGAAAUGAUUGGCUUUAUCAAUUUCACAACCUAUACCGCCCAACCUAGUAAGUAAUUUAGGUGCAGACACCAGAAAUCUAUUUCCUUUGCACUCUACAACUAAAUAGCCUACCACUUAUCAAUCAAACACAGCUGAAAACUUCAGUGAGGAAACAUUAUGAAAACUGAAAAAACUAUAACUUCAACUUGAUUCAUAGCUCGGCAAGUUCAGGGAAUUGGGACUUCUACCACCAUGAUCCAGUUCGAUGUGAAACAGUGAUCUAUAUCACGCAUAUCGGUUCCCGCAACAAGAGGUAAAACAGCAAAUUAGGUAAACGAUGAUCCUACUAUAUUUCAGAAUAGCAACAUUGAGCAUGAAAGCUAAAGUUAUAGCAUAUUAUGGGUCCUUGCUCUCUACAACUACAUAUAAAAUUACUAAACAAUAUUACUACAUUAAGGAUCCAGAAAAACUUUGUUUCAAUUGUUGAUCACUUGAUCCAACUAUUUUAGAAAGUUUAUUCUUCUUUUUCCUUUCCCUUAUUUUCUAAAUCAGGAAAAACAGUAGCACAUAAACUGGAUUACUACUCCAAGUUUCUAAAAUUUCAGCAAUAUCCCUUUAACCUUUUCACUCAAGUCACUACCCCCCCAAUUAACAAAUAUAUUCCCAGUUUCCCUUUCACUUCAAACCCCCUUUUUUUUUUCUCUACCCAAAUUCAGCUUAAGUUCAAAAACCCAAAAUUGGUUUGCUAAAAAUACAUAAUUUUCAAACACAAAGGUAACCUAAUUUUAAUCAGAAAAAAAAAGCAUUACCUGAAUUAGUGAAUGGAGUUUCUCUUGAAGACUUUGUUUUAAAACUAUCUUAUACUAUUUGCUUUAAAUCGAUUUUUAUUAGCUAUUUAAAACUCGUUUUCAUGUAUUAUUUAUUUUUUUAUCACUUAUUUAAAUUGUUUUACAUAUCUAUUUUUUAAACCCUAUUUUAUUAUAUUUUACUUAUUUUAACUUUUUUACAUAUUUCAUUAUAAAUAUUAUUAAUUAUCUAUAUUGAGUUUUUCAUUCCAUAUGUAUUACUUAUUUAGAUAAAUAUAUACUAUUUUGUGUAUUACUUAUUUUGAUUUUCUUCUUAUACAAUAUUACUUUAAAAUUCAUUUAGAUAUUAUUAUUUCACGUAGUAUUUAUUUUUAUCUUCAUUUUUUAUUUAUUUCAAACUCAUAUAUUGUUUAUUUUGAAAUUUUAUGCAUAUGAUUUAUUGUUUAUAUUGAUGAUUUUAAAUUUCCUUUCUUGCAUGUUUUUUUUAUUUAUUUUAAAACUUGUUAUACUUUAUUUGUGUUAAUUUGCUUAGUUUUUCUUUCAAAAUUAACUUAUAAUUCAUUAGCUUUUAAUGUUAGUAUUUGCACAAUAUGUGAUGUAAGAUUAUUGCUUUCCUGUAUUGCUUAUCUGUAUAUAUUGAUUAUUUGUCAUUCAUUAGUAUACAUUUUGGUUUACGAAUUGACUAAUUUACCAAAAAAAGCCAUUUUUUUAUAAAUUACCGAAAUAGGCCGGUUUUUUAAUUAUUUACCGGAAUGGGCCAUUUCCCCCGAAAUCGCGCCACGUCGAAGCGAUGUCAGGGGACGGGGCAGAAGGUCGCGUCCACGUCAGAGCGACCUACUGACGUGGAAGGAAAUCGCUCCCCUGAGGGCGCGAUUUCCUUCCACGUCAGCAGGUCGCGCUGACGUGGACGCGACCUCCUGUCACUUUGCGCGGUACCGGGAAUGCGAUUUUGACCCUGAUUUUUACGCCUAGGUUUUAUGGCUUUUAGGGUUUAGGGUGCAGGCUUUUUAGGAGUUAGGGGUCCGGGAAAAUUAUUUUUCGAGUUGACGUUUCUGGUUAAAUAGUGGGAAAUCGCUUAUACUAGGAUGCUAUUUAAGAAGAAAUUGUGAAAUAGUGGCCUCGUGGACGCGAUUUCGCUACAGUGGUCAUGUGAGAAAUAAUUUUUUUAGACGUUUUCUGAGGAAAUAGUAUAAAAUCGCUGAUACCAGGAUGCUAUAUGAGAAGAAAUUGUGAAAUCGCGCCCUCGUGGACGCGAUUUCGCUACAGUUGGUCAUGUAGGAAAUAAUUUUUUUUGACGUUUCUGAGUAAAUAGUGUCAAAUCGCGCCCUCGUGGACGCGAUUUCGCUACAGUAGCAAGUUUGGGCUGAGGUUAUAAAUUAGGCAGAGAAUUUUCUUAGAAUGCAUAACUCAGAGCAGAAACAUUUUAGGUUAGGGUUAGGGAAUUUAGAGUUUCAAAAUGAGUGAAUGUAUUAGUGCUGUUAUUUACUACGAUGGUGAGGUUUGCCACACCGAGAAUGGUGUUGUUUUUUUGUCGAAGAAUACGAUGCGACUGUCAUUUAGCCAAAACAUAGAUUUGACAGAACUCCGUAAAAGAAUUAGGCGUAAAAUCUUCGGAACCACGCCAAUGAAAGUUCAGUCAAUGACGUAUCGAUUUUGUUCUUCUGUUGAUUCGGUGACAUAUGACUCGUUCGACAUAAAAGGUGCUCGUAGCUUAGAGGCAAUGGUGCAGACUCAUCUUGCUAGCGGAGCAACUUAUAUUGAGUUAUAUGUACAAUUUACGUCACCAAAUGAUGUACUUUCGUCCGGUGUUCGAGAUGUAUACACGACCCCUGGCCGACACUCGGUUAGUGUGUUACAAAAUACGGAACAGCCCAUGUUCGGUAGCGGUGUCGAAUGCACAUCCCCCCAAGACACUCUGUCGGUGGAUGGGACAUGUACGUCGGUGGCUCGACGGUUGACGCUGGAAAUACGAGCUGGUACGUUCAUUCUCUUAUUUUAUUUUAUUUCAUAUUUUGGGAAAUUUAGAACGAUAAGCGAAAAUGAAUAUAUUCAGAUUAGCAGGGGACAUGACCCAUUUGUUUAGUGUUCUUGUUUUGCUUCUUAAGAUCCACACAAUCAAGUCUUGUGCUGGUACGUUCAUUUUCCAAAUAUUUACUUUACUUUUUGUUUCUGGGCUUAUUUCAUUUUAUGUUGUACUUUUUUCCCAGUAAUUUACUGCUUAAUAUAAAAGAAUCGAAUAUUUAGGUUAAAUUGUGGGUGGGUUUUUGCUAGUUUAUUGAAUACUCAAAUUGGAGCCAUGUAAAAUGUGGAAACUUUAGCUUGAUAGAAAAUGUGACCCCCUUUUUUUUUAAUGUAUGGAAUAAAAAUUUUUGUAUUUUGUGAAUUUUUUUUUAGUAAUUUGAAUUUGUAUGUAUGUUCAUUGGAAGUUUAGAAGCAAGGAGUUCUGAUCAUUAGGACUUUAUGUGAUUCAUUCAUUUUGAGUUAUAGUGUAGUUAGUUGUUGGAUUUAGUGUCACUGUUGGCAUCUUAUUUUAGCUGAUUUCCUUUCUAUUUGUACCGAUAAACCUCUAGAGGUUUUGAAAUUAGCAACUGAUUUUUUUUAUGUGUGAGAGUUUUUAUGGAAAUCAAUAAGCUAAUUACAUUUUGCAGGAUCAUACAGUCGGGUUAGUGGUUUUUAUGUCAUGCUGGCCUAUGGUUUUGAGAUGAACAUCAUGAAAUCUGUAUAAGAUGAGGGUAUUAAACUAUAAACAUAGCCGAGGUAGCGAUUUAUUUCGUAUCAUGCUAUUGGAAGUUUUUUUGGGGCGGCAAUGUCAACUAAAUUUAUAUUCUUUUGAUCAAGUCGAUUAUUUCCAGUUGCACAACUAGCUUGUUGGAAAUAUUUUCUUUCUUUGCUCCUGUCCUUUUCACUUUCAUAUUUUAUGGGUGGUGUGAUGAUGGGAAGAUUCAUGGGUGGCUAAAGCCAUCUUACUCACUAGAAGUGAGGCUGUUAUUUUUAGAAGUUAGAGAUGCUAUAUCAAUUGAGGAUGCCGUGAGCAAAAGCUUGCUAAUAAUAAGUGACUGUUCAUAUGCGUGGGUUCUAUCACAUGUUGAUGGAGUAUUUGGUGCUCUUUCUUCACUAAUUUCAUAUGUAUAGAUAUAAUUGUAUAACAUCUCGACGUUGAUUACUGUUACGAGGGGAAAAAAACACAGCAUGUAAUGAAACUCAAAAAGUAGGAAUCCUAGAUCCUUGUAUUCAUUCAUAGGCAUUUUACAACAUUUGAUUUAACUUGAGCAAGAUUCCGUUUUGGGCCUGGUCUUUUCCUGUUCGUUCCCUUGUUUAUAUAUGAUGAAGUUGGUUCAGCAUGCAGGAAACUCGACAGCAUGCAGGCCAUGAAGACCAAGUCGUGCAGGAGCUGCUGGAACGAGCUGAACUUUUCCUAUUUUGUUCAUCUAGUAAUCUUAAGUUAAUGUAAUGUACUUUAGUUCAUUUAGAACUAUGUUAGGUUUAUGAUUGAUGUAAUUUUGAUGACAAUUGAGCUGUUAAGUCAGCUUUGUUUAAGUGUGUAAGCUUAGUUUUUCAAGUUUCAAUGUAUUAGUGGUAGUAGGUGAUGAUUAGGUAUCAUUAUGCAGAUUUUGACAAGCAAAUUGCUUGGUUUAUGUAUUGGCAUUAUGCCAUUGUUCAACAUAUGAAUGAAAUCAACUUUGUUCAUCAAUAUUCUCUCAAAUUUCCUCAGCUUAUUUUCUUUUUUCUUCAACUCGAAAUUGUUUGUUUGCUCAGCAAGAUUCGAGGCUUGCUCGACAAGAAACUUGCUGAGUCUGUUUGAUUCUGCUGUUGCACCAACAAUUGGUAUCAGAGCUUAUUUCUUAAGGGACCUGUUAUACAAAUCCAUGGCUUCAUCAAGUUUUUCACCAGCUGCACCUCAAGUCUUCAAUGGAGAAGGCUAUCACAUAUGGGUGGUCAAAAUGAAGACCUACCUGCAGGCAUUUGAUCUGUGGGAGGUGGUCAACUCUGAUGUUGAACCAGAGCCACUUAGAGCUAAUCCAACAGUGGCUCAGAUCAGGCAGCAUGCUGAUGAAAGGACCAAGAGGCACAAUGCUAUGUCUUGCAUCCAAAACUCAGUGUCUGAUGUGAUUUUCACAAGGAUUAUGGCCUGUGAAUCACCAAAACAGGCCUGGGACAAGUUGCAGGAAGAGUUUCAAGGGACUGAGAGGACAAGGCAACAACAGUUGUUAAACUUGAGGAGAGAUUUCGAGAAUUUGAAGAUGAAGGAAGAAGAAACUGUCAAGCAAUAUUCUGACAGGAUUAUGGCUGUGGUUAACAGCAUCAGGCUCCUUGGAGAGCAGUUCAAUGAAGCUAGGAUAGUGGAGAAGGUUAUAGCAACUCUGCCUGAGAGGUAUGAGGCAAAAAUCUCAUCUCUCGAGGACUCAAGGGACCUGUCCACCAUCUCCCUGACAGAGUUGAUCAAUGCUCUAUAUGCUCAAGAGCAGAGGAGAGCAAGCAGACUGGAGGAGCACCAAGAAGGUGCCUUUCAGGCAAGAACAAAUACUUCCUACAAAGGCAAGAAGGCUUGGAGAGACAAGCCAAAGGAUGAUGCUGCAAGGAGAGAAGGUCAAACUUGCAAGCACUGCAGAAAGGCUGGUCAUUCAGAAGAAAAAUGCUGGUUUAAUCCAGAUGCUGUGUGUCAGCAUUGUAAGAAAAAGGGCCAUGUUGAGAGAGUUUGUAAGAGCAAUGCCAAAACAAGGCGCAAUCAGGCUCAACAGAUGAAAGCUGAGGCUCGAGUAGCUAAGGAGGACAGUGACCAAGAGGAGCAAGUCUUUACUGUGUCAUGCUCAGCUGCUCAGGAAAGGUCCUCAUCUGGUUGGCUCCUAGACAGUGGAUGCACCAACCACAUGACACCUGAUGCUGCAAUCUUCAAGUCUUUAGACAGAAGCUGCAGAACUAAAGUCAAGAUAGGAAAUGGUCAUUUUAUUCAAGCUGAAGGCAAGGGUGAUGUUCUGAUAUGCACUCUUACAGGUACCAAAGUGAUUUCAAAUGUGCUGUUGGUGCCUGAAAUUGACAGAAACCUGCUCAGCAUAGCUCAGUUGCUGGAAAAAGGUUACUUAGUUGUGUUUAAAGACCACCAAUGCCAAAUCAGUGAUCCAAGUGGAUCCAAACUGAUGGCAGUCCCUAUGGCUGAUAAGAGCUUUGUGGUUGACUGGACAAAAAAGUCAGACAUUGCCUACACAGCCACUUCAGAUGAAUCCAAGCUGUGGCAUCAAAGACUGGGACAUGCCAACUUCAGAUCGAUGGCCCGAAUGAUCAGAGAAGACCUGGCUGAAAACUUCAUCAACUCAGUAGACCAUGAUGAUGUAUGUGAAGUAUGUCAGCUAGGAAAGCAGGCCAGACUCCCAUUUCCCUCGAAUCAAGCCUAGAGAGCCUCUGAAAAACUCCAACUGGUGCAUACUGAUGUGUGUGGACCUAUGAAGACUGAGUCAUUAAGUGGAAACAGGUAUUUCAUACUGUUCAUUGAUGAUUUCUCGAGAUAUUGCUGGAUUUACUUCUUAAAACAGAAAUCAGAGGUGGCCACUGUGUUUUGGAAGUUCAAAACUGCUGCUGAGACUGAAACAGGCUGCAAGGUGAAGACCAUAAGGUCUGAUAAUGGGACUGAGUACACCUCAGCUCAGUUCCAAGCCUUCUGUGAUAAGGCAGGCAUCAAACAUCAACUUGCCAACACAUAUACACCUCAGCAGAAUGGGGUAAGUGAAAGGAAGAAUAGGAGUUUGAUGGAUAUGGCCAGGUGCUUGAUGAUUCAGAAGAAUCUGCCUAAAGCACUAUGGGCAGAAGCAGUUAACACUGCAACAUACAUUCAAAAUAGACUUCCAACCAGGGCUUUGGAUCAAAAGACCCCAUUCGAGGCCUGGUUUAGCUUCAAGCCAUCACUGGCUCAUCUGAAGGUCUUUGGAUGCAUCUGUUAUGCACAUGUACCUGCUGUUAAAAGGGACAAAUUGUCUGAAAGGGCUCGACCUGGUGUUUUGGUGGGCUAUAGCACUGUUAAGAAGGGCUAUAGGAUUUUAGAUCCUUCAACAAACAAAGUGUCAGUAAGCAGGGAUGUGGUAUUUGAUGAGAGGUCAUGUUGGAACUAGGAAAGACAUGAACCUGAAGAAGUUUUUGAAGAACUUGCAGCAGACCAAGCUGAGCCAGACCAAGAUGUCCCUGAAAUGGAUAUUGAUGAUGAACCAGUCAGAGGAACAAGGCCAUUGGCUGAAAUUUAUGAAAGGGCUCAUGUAGCCAUAGUUGAACCAAGCAACUUUGAAGAGGCUGAGGCUCAGCAAGGGUGGAAGCAGGCAAUGGCUGAGGAGAUCAGCAUGAUUGAGAAGAACCACACCUGGAAAUUGGUUGAAAGGCCAGUCAAAAGGAAAGUGAUUGGGGUGAAAUGGGUGUACAAAGCCAAGCAGAAUGCUGAUGGUACCUUGAACAAGCUGAAAGCAAGGCUAGUUGUCAAGGGGUUCAGUCAGAGGUAUGGCUUGGACUACCUGGAGACCUUUGCACCAGUGGCCAGGCUCGACACCAUCAGACUGCUGAUUGCCUUAGCAGCACAGCUUGAAUGGAAGAUCCAUCAACUUGAUGUGAAAUCAGCUUUUCUGAAUGGUUUCUUAGAUGAAGACAUCUAUGUUGAACAACCACAAAGGUUUGAAAUAGCUGGCAGAGAGCAUAUGGUCUACAAACUGAAAAAGGCCCUAUAUGGAUUAAAGCAGGCUCCAAGGGCCUGGUAUAGCAGAAUUGAUGGCUACUUGACUGAUCUAGGAUUCGAUCGAAGCAAGAGUGAGCCAACACUGUAUGUCAAGAAACAAGGGACACAAAUACAACUCAUUGUGUCCCUGUAUGUUGAUGAUCUUCUGGUGACAGGAGGAGAUCGAGUAGUGCUGGCUGAUUUUAAGACCAAGAUGCAGGAAGUGUUUGAAAUGUCUGAUCUUGGGGAGAUGUCAUACUUUCUUGGAAUGGAGGUGUCUCAAGUAUAGAAUGAGAUAUUUCUAAGCCAGAGAAGCUUUGCCACAAAGAUUCUGACCAAGUUCUCCAUGCAAAACAGCAAGGCAACUAAAACACCUAUUGCUGUUGGAGAAAAACUAUCGAGCCAAGGUGAUUUUAAGAAAGUUUGUGAAACAACCUACAGGAGUCUAGUUGGUUGCUUGCUAUACUUGACUGCCACUAGACCAGACAUUAUGUAUGCUGUAGGAUUGCUCUCAAGGUUCUUGCAUUGCUGCAAUGAGAAGCAUUUCCAAGCUGCAAAGAGAGUGCUGAGAUAUGUCAAAGGCACUUUAAACUAUGGUUUGAAGUACAGUAAAGAAGGAAAUCUGAAGCUGAUUGGCUACACUGAUAGUGACUGGGCUGGCUCGAUAGAUGACAUGAAAAGCACCUCAGGGUAUGCUUUUAACCUUGGUUCAGCCAUGUUUUGUUGGAGCUCAAAGAAGCAAAGUCUAGUAGCUCAAUCUACUGCUGAAGCAGAGUAUGUGGCAACAGCAAGUGCUAUCAACCAAGCCAUAUGGCUAAGAAAAAUAUUGGCUGACUUGAAUGUGCAUCAAGAGCAAGCUACUGAGAUCUUCUGUGACAACCAAUCUGCAGUAGCAAUUGCUAAAAAUCCAGUGUUCCAUGGAAGAACAAAACAUUUCAGCAUAAAGUUGCAUGUUGUUCGAGAAAUGGAGCAAGCUCAGGAAGUAAAGCUGGUCCACUGUAAUUCAGAAGAUCAACUUGCUGACAUUUUAACCAAAGCUCUUAGUGUCACAAGGUUUGAAUAUCUAAGAAAGAAGCUAGGUGUUUGCUCCAUGCAAACCAAGGAGGAGUGAUGAAGUUGGUUCAGCAUGCAGCAAACUCGACAGCAUGCAGGCCAUGAAGACCAAGUCGUGCAGGAGCUGCUGGAACGAGCUGAACUUUUCCUAUUUUGUUCAUCUAGUAAUCUUAAGUUAAUGUAAUGUACUUUAGUUCAUUUAGAACUAUGUUAGGUUUAUGAUUGAUGUAAUUUUGAUGACAAUUGAGCUGUUAAGUCAGCUUUGUUUAAGUGUGUAAGCUUAGUUUUUCAAGUUUCAAUGUAUUAGUGGUAGUAGGUGAUGAUUAGGUAUCAUUAUGCAGAUUUUGACAAGCAAAUUGCUUGGUUUAUGUAUUGGCAUUAUGCCAUUGUUCAACAUAUGAAUGAAAUCAACUUUGUUCAUCAAUAUUCUCUCAAAUUUCCUCAGCUUAUUUUCUUUUUUCUUCAACUCGAAAUUGUUUGUUUGCUCAGCAAGAUUCGAGGCUUGCUCGACAAGAAACUUGCUGAGUCUGUUUGAUUCUGCUGUUGCACCAACAAUAUACCUCCACUGUGCCAUUGUGUAUUUGUGUUCGAUUUUCAGUUCUGUCUCACAAUCCCUGUCAUGUCUUAUGAGUGAUUUUCUGGCUCUAAAUAUCUAUGAUAUAUUUGUGCAGGCAUUUCACUGAAGACUCAGGAACUCUAUGCUAUUGUCUUUGCUACUCGUUACUUGGACAUAUUCACUAAUCAUAUCUCGCCUUAUAACACAAUCAUGAAGCUAAUAUUCCUGGGCAGCUCUUUCUCAAUUGUAUGGUACAUGCGGUAUCACAAAAUAGUUCGUAGAUCUUAUGAUAAGGACCAGGAUACAUUUCGACAUUACAUCCUUAUACUCCCUUGCCUGAUUCUUGCCCUUCUUAUAAACGAGAAGUUCACCUUCAAAGAGGUAUCGACAUCCUUUUGUUUGUUGGAAUAUGAUAACAGUAUGUUCAUAUUAAUUACUGGUUAACUUAGAAGCUCCCUAAACUGUUUAUCUGUUUUAUAUUAAUUAUUCAUUAUUAUCCUUCUGGUUAUAUUUUUAUAUAUUGAUUAUUGUCUUAAAAAAAAUUGUUGAGCAGGUCAUGUGGACAUUUUCCUUGUAUUUGGAAGCUGUUGCGAUACUUCCUCAGCUUGUAUUGUUGCAAAGGACUAGAAAUAUUGACAACUUGACUGGACAAUAUGUGUUUCUCCUUGGGUAACCACUGUAUUCUUUAAAAAUCCUAAUCAGUUGCAAGUUUUCUAUUUUAUUACCUUGCAAUUUGCAUGAAGGACCCUUAUUUCCUGGCUCAGUUCCCUAAAAUGUUGCCUCCUUCCUGAGGAAACAAAAGAGAGAAAGUCUCUAAAUAGAGUUGCCAUCAUAUUGCCGCUUGGUUGCCACUGAUUUCUUUUUGAUGAAAAGUUGAUAUGAUUAUAUGUUGGACCAAAGUUAUCUAUUUUCAGAUGUGAUUAACUGCAGUUGAAUUUUGCGAGUAUGACUGUUCUUGUGUAACUUUUGUUAUGUGCUUUCAUGUCGUUUUUAGUCUUUUACACUGUGUUCUGUCUAUCUUUGUUUGCUAUUAUCCUAAGUUAGGAGACAAGGUGCCAUUAGGAGCAAUGUGACGUCAAAAUUCAUUUCCCUUUAGCCUUCAGUUCUACCUUUUCUUCCCUUUCUUUAUGUAGUUUUUGGGAGUUGGGGAUCACAGCGAUGAUAGUCGGUACAUGUGACUUGAAAGAUGCCUAAAAACUUCAAGAGCAUAGUGUUGUAUAAAUCUUUUGGAGAAAUUUUUUUGGUACAUUGAUGCCAACUUACAAUAACCCUUGCCACUACAACCGUGGCUUUGUUGGCUUAUGUAUGCACUCUCUUUGUCUUUAUAGGUCACCAAAUUCCUAAUGUCUAAUUCUUGGUUAUGGACUAAUAUAGUUGCUUGUUAUUGCAGUGCAUACAGAGCAUUGUACAUAGUGAACUGGAUUUAUCGGUACUUUACUGAAGACCACUUUGUCCACUGGAUAAGUAUGUACUCUUCUCUGUCUCCCUUCAUCUUUUACUCCAAGUCGGUAGCCAUGGGUGUAUGACGAGUGUGUCAAUAUAUCUACCCCAACACAUUUGUGAUAUACUAUGCUAUAUGUGUUAUUUCUAACACCUUGUUUACAUGAUUGCUGCCUUUCAGCUUGGAUUUGCGGUCUUGUCCAGACAUUGCUUUAUGCUGAUUUCUUCUACUAUUACUUCCAGAGGUAACCCCCUUUCUGACACUCUGGAAAGCACUUCAUACCUAUGUGAAUGAUUGCAACUUAUUUGAUUAUUAUGCCUGCAGCUUGAAGAACAACAUGAAGCUCCAAUUACCAGCUUGAGAUUUUAAUGGUGCAAGUUUUGUAGUAGCAUACAUAAACUUACAUCAUAUGGGUUCAAAUUUAUGAGUAUUUCAAUUAAUUUUAAUUUCACUAUGUUAUAUUGUAAUAUCAUGUAAAAAGUAUCAUAAAAGCAGGCAUAAGUUUUCCACCAAUUAGAACAUUUUGAAAAUUGAUGUCAAGCCCGAAAUGACCGUCACAAGUAAGCAUAUUAAACGUGUGAAGAGAAGACCUUAUUUUUCCACAUAACUAAAACUUUUUACACCAUAGGAACUUUCAUCGUCAUCAAGUUGGACAUGGAUGGAGCUCACGUAAAAAUAAUUUUUCAUAUAAAAACUAAAAACUAGAAAUUGACUUGUAAUAAUUCUCAAGGUUAAGGUUGACGUGGUCAAUAGUAAUGAACUUAUGUUUAAGGUUUGGGUUAUUUUUCUCAAUUAUAGAUUAGUAUUUUGUUCAUUGUAAACUUUGCUAACAAAAUUUAAUAUAUGACACAUAUCUGAUUUAAUUUAUUUUUAUUUUAUAAAACUUUCAUUAUUUGUUUUACUCAUUAAUGAAAUUUGGUGUGAAUACAUUAAAUAUUACCUUUUAUAUAUUUCACUCCCUCUUACUAUAUCUCAAUGGAGAAAUUGAAGGUCAUUCAAGGAAAUGGUAAUGUCCAUUUUCCACAAAACUAAAAUUUUCCACACGACAGAAACUUUCUUGGUCAAACAAGUUGGAUUUGGCUUCACCAAUAACUUAAUAAUCUGUACUAAAAUUUUCCACGCAAUAGAAUACGAACUCGUUCUCGUAAAUAUUUUAAAAAAUAAAAAAUUUAAUAUUAUGAGUUAACGAAUUAUCAAUUUAAUUAAAAAAAGUUGAAAGAUACAUUUUUUAAAAUUUUAUGAAAUUAUAUAUUAAUAUAAUUAUAAAAUUAUAGUUUUAACUUUAUAAAAUUUAUUAUUUAUCUUUGAUCUUGAAGAGAGACAAAGUAAAAUACCUAUUCUUGGAGCCAUAACGACAACUAGGAUUAUGAUUGCACAUUUUCUAAGUCUUCAUUUUUGUUAAUUAGGAAAGCUGAUGGGCAUCUCCACUAAGUUUCCACCCACAAGAAUAUACGUAUUAAUUUGUUUUUCUCAAUUUCCAUGAGGGGGGAUAUAAGCUUAAAGUUGACGUAGAAGUCAAUACUCAACAUUUGAAAGUUAAUGCAGUGAACUAUGUGCUUGUUGAUAUAUGAAAUGAUAUUUUCUUAACAAUUUCCUCCAACUAGUUCGUAGAUGGUGCUAUAUUACAUCACAAUGGGUAACCAAAUGUAUAUAAUUGAGAUUUUUAAGCAAAUAUUAUAUUUUAUCUUUAUCCAUGAAUAGUCUAAUAAUAAGGAUUAAUAUUUGGUACAUUGUCAGUGGAGUUUUUAAAUUCCAUAAGUAGGGUUAGAGGAUUGACACAUGCCAAUUUUUUAAUGUUGCUUGUGGGAUGCACUUGAAUUGUGGUUCAUAGAAGGAAAUUAUUAUAUAAAGGUUUAAUUCUACCAUAGUUCUUGUACUUUACUGAAGUUGUAGAUUUAAUUCCCAGACUUUAAUUUGAUAUUUUAGAUAUUUGUUAAAUUCAUAAAGUCCUACUAUUUCCAAAUUUGGUGUGGCAAACAUAUUAUCAUAGGUGUAAUAUCACUAAAAUUCAAAAGAAUGAGAAAUUUGUACAUAUUAUCAGAUGUCAAUAUCAAGUUGAGCAUUUCAAAAUCUAAAGUAAUAGUUCAAGUAUUUAUUUUUCCAUAAAACCAAAAUUUUCUACAUGAUGGCUUUUUUUUUGGCUAUUAGUUAAGAGGAAUUUUUUUAAUAACCCAAUUUAAUUAACUAAUUUAAAAAAUGGUUCAAGUAAAACUCAAGUCAUAUUAAAAAUAAUUAUUUAUAAAUUUUAUGUUUCAAAAACUAAUGAAUGUUCAAAGAAUAGUGAAUUAUUAAAGAGAAGUUAUAUGAUAAUGGAUUGUUUUAAAGUAGUGGUCUAGUAGAAAUAAAUAGUUUUUUAUAAAAAAAUAUUAUAUAAAUAAUUAAAUUUUAUAGUUACUCCUAUUUUUUUUAAAAAUAGUGAAUGUAAUAUUUUUUAAAAUGUUAAAUUAACUCAUGAUAUUAAUUAAAUCAAGAAAUUUUAUAAUAAUAGAGAUGAAAAAAACUAAAUUUUCAAAAUCAAAACCUAAAACGUGCAAGAAUAAAAGCAAUCUGAAGACUUAAAAUUUCCAUUAAUAAAACCAAAAUCAAAGAAGUAAAAUUUCCAUGAAUAAAACCAAAAAUGAAGACCUAAAUUUUCCAUUAAUAAAGCCAAAUCAAGACUAAGUUUGUAUAAGUGUAAGAAGGGUAUAAAGGAAACUCACAAGAAAGCCACAUGAAGAAUUUUAUAACUCCAACUACACGAUUUUAUGUCCACCUCUCACUUUUCAUAUUUUUUUUUGGCCAUUCAUUUUUCAAGAUUAACAUUAGCAUUCUUGUGGUCCGUUCAUCCUUUCCUAACCAAUUUCCACCAAGAGUUUUUGCAAUAAGGAAUUUACCUAAAUAAGAAACCUAGAUUGAUCCAAUUUUUGAGGAAUUAAUUAAUUAUAUAUUAUUUUUAUAUUAUAAUGAAUUAGUGGGAUGCAGUAUGUUCUGCUUGUAUAUAAAUAAGAAGCUUAGGCUUCUUUAGAUUAUAUACAUAUAGAAGUUAACAAAAAGUAACAUAUAGCUGAGAGAGAAGUGAAAAUAGAGAGAUGAUGAUGAUGGAGUGGAAAUGGUUAAGGUUUAUUAGGAUGGCAGUAAUGUUGUUGGUGUUAGAAGGAUGCAGAUGGUGUACUACUGAUGCUUGUUUGGAGCAUGAGAGAAUCGCUCUCUUGCAUCUCAAGCCUUUCUUCAAUUAUCAAAAUCAAUUGCAAAGUUGGGUUGAGGUGAAGGGUUCAGAUUGUUGUAAAUGGGAAAGAGUUGAGUGUAACACCACCACUAGGAGACUCAUACAACUCUCCCUUAAUUCUACAAGAUGGUUUGACAGUAUGGGAUACAAAACGGAUAAUAGGAAUCUCAAUGCCUGGUAUCUCAAUACCUCUAUGUUUCUUCCCUUUGAGGAAUUGAAGAGUCUUUAUUUGCGGGGGAAUGCCAUAAGUGGUAACCUUGAAAAUGAAGGUCGUGCCUCUAGUUUUUCCUUAAUUACAUCUUUUAUUAUCCCACUACUCUUACCAUCGUUAUUUUGCAAUUACUUAUAUUUUAUUUUAUUUUAUGGAAGAAAAGUCACUAACUUGUAUAUAUUUAAAAGAAUAUUUCUAUAGGCUUUGGAAAACUAUCAUCCACAUUGAGUAAUUUGGAGAUCCUUGACUUAAGUGAAAACUACUUGAAUGACAGCAUUUUGUUAUCUUUGAGUGAGCUUUCAUCUCUCUGGUAUUUAGAUCUAUCAGGCAACAAAUUUGAAGGAUCAAGCCAUCUAAGAGGUAAAUUAAGUUUGGUCUGGUAUUAGUUUUUAUUUGUAAAGUGGAGUUUGAGGAUGGUCUUCUAGUAAUUCCACUUUUGCUUUAGUAAAAUUUUCAUACAGCUAAGAAAGAAAAAACAAUUAACAAGUAAUUUUUAACUUUAAAAAUCAAUGUAUGUUCAUAUUCAAGGUAGACUGGUUUUAUAUGUUUCUUUUUUACUUUAAAACCAUUUUUUUUGUUUAAGGGACAGUUAAUGUUGCAAUAUGUCUUUGCUUUUAUCAUAUCAUGAAUAUAUAUAAUUGAUCAAUAUUUGGGAUUGAAUUUCAGGAUUGAAUAAUUUGACAAACUUGAAGUACUUGGAUUUAAGUUCGAACAGAAUUGAAAGCAUCUCAAACAAAGGUAUAAGUACAGUAUUUAUAUGUCAAUUCAUAUUAAAGGUAGACUGGUUUUAUAUGUUUCUUUUUUACUUUAAAACCAAUUUUUGUUUAAGGGACAGUUAAUGUUGCAAUAUGUCUUUGCUUUUAUCAUAUCAUGAAUAUAUAUAUAUAUAUAACUGAUCAAUAUUUGGGAUUGAAUUUCACGAUUGAAUAAUUUGUCAAACUUGAAAUACUUGGAUUUAAGUCGCAACAACGUUGAAAGCAUCUCAAACCAAGGUAUAAGUAUUUGUGCGUAGUAACUUUCUUGACUGACUAUUAUUCCAAAAGGCAAUGACAGACUUCAAAUGUAUUUUCUUUAGUGAAUUUUUAUUGCAAAAAUGGAGUAUUAUUAUUUAUUUAAGUUUUGUAGUAACUAAUUAUAUAAUAUAUAAAUGAGGUUUUCAAUGGCUCAUUAAAUUGGAAAUUAUUGAUAUAAGUUGGAAUUAUUUGAAGAAUAGCAUUCUUUAAAAUAAAUUCAUGUUGAAGGAAAAGUUGUUGCAAUAUGUUAUAUCAUGAAUAUAUAUAAGUAAUCAAUAUUUGGGAUUGAAUUUCAAAAUUGAGUAAUUUAAGUAGGAAGGUAUCUCAAACAAAGUAUUUAUAUAUUGAAUCAAUUCAUGGGAAAGCUUGUAAAUUGGCUCUUCCUUCUCAAACAAACAUUUUUCCUAACUAUUUAUAUAUUGAAUGAUGUUAACUAUACUAAUUACUUUCUUCCAAUGAUAGAUGGAACACAAUUGAGGCUAACAAAUUUAGAGGAACUUGAUUUGAGUGGUAAUCUCUUUCGGAACAACACAAUUUCCUUUCCUCAAGGGCUUUCAAGCCUAAAGUCUUUGACUUUGUUCAACAACCGUUUGCAAGGCUCAUUAGAUACUAAAGGUACUAAAGCUAUAACUUUGUUUUUCUUGAUAAUUCUUUCUAGAGCCUUUUAAAAUUAAUUGUUUCAAAUUUGAACAUUCACAUUUCACGUUUGAGGAUUUUUAUCUUCAAUUCAAGUUUUAGAUUUACUUUUUUUUUUCAUUUUUAUUUCAUUAAAAUAUUAAGUAGAAAUUAAAAUUAUUAACAUAAUGAUUUUUUGAAUUGGACGUGGAUAUGUAUAGGAUUGAGCAAUUUAACAAAUUUGAAGAAACUCGAUUUAAGAUGGAAUCAAAUUGAAAGCUUUCAAUCCUUUAAAGGUAUGCAUUUAUAUUUAACCAAUUACCUAAAUUCUUACAUAUAAUUAAAUUUUAUGCCAAUUCAUUUCAGUGAUGAAAUUAUAUAAAUCUUUUGUAGAUGGUGGUAGAAAAUUGGAGUUGACCCACUUGGAAGAGCUUAAUUUAGAUGGAAAUCACUUCAAUACUAGUGUAUUUGCAUCCCUUAACAAGCUUUCAAAUUUGAAAUCUUUGAGCAUAAGUGGGAACCAAUUGAAAGGAUCAAUAGAUAUGAAAGGUAAAUAUAUUAGUCUUUUUAACAAGAAUAUAAUAAUGUUUGAAGAGAAUAUAAUGAAGUUGAUUUGUUGUUUUUGUUUUCCUAGAUUUGGAAGCAUUUAUCAACUUAAGGGAACUAGAUAUGAGCGGCAAUGAAUUGAAAGAUUUGGUGAUCCACCAAGGUAUCAUUUAAUUAAACUUCCUUUUUUUUUUAAAUUUAGAAAUUUAGUUUUGAUGUCAAAUAUUAUAAUAACGGUUAUUGUCAUAAAUAUUAAUAAAGUAAUAUCAUAUCAUACUUGAAAGUAAAAUAUGGGUUUGGUGAAACAUUUUCUAAAUCAUCCAUUAUAAUGUGUUUGGACUUUGGUUUGAAACUAAAAUUCUUUAAAAUUUUCAUCAUUUUAAAAUAUUAAUGUUUAUAAUUAUUUUGUUUGUAUAAAUAUAUUUUUUAAAAUAAUUUAUUGAAUUUUUAUGAGAUAAAAAAUAAUUAUAACAAUAAAAAAUGAUAUUAUAAAUAAAUAAAAACAUAUAUUUAUGAGAAAAUAUGUAAUAUAACUAUAUUUUAAUUUCAUAUAUUUUUAAUAGUAUAAAACAUAAAAAUACAUAUUAGCGUUAAAUAAAUGGCAUUUUUUGGCAAAAAUAAAUAAAUGUCAAUUUUGAAUAAUUUAAAAAAAAUCUUUAAUUUUGUGAAAUUUAAGCAUACAUCGAGAGGUGCUUAAACUUCCAUUGCAAUCUUUUUAUAAAUUUCAAAGUGCAUAUGUUUUUAACUUUUUGGUUUAAAAAAAUAUGAUAGGUCUACGUACUCUUUACUAAUUUGUAAUUUAAUUCUUAUACUUUUAUUUUCAAGAAUUUAAUCCCUGUUUUUUUAUAAAAAAAAUCAAAAUCCUAGUUCAAUUGUUAAAAUUGUUAAAAUUUUAAAAUAGUUUGUUGGUGUGACAUUUUGAAAUAAAAAAAAAAACUUAGUAGUAAUGUAACUAAAAAAAUGACGUAAUGAACAUGGAUUUAAUAAAAUAAUUUUAACAAUAUUAAUAAAAUAAUUUUGAAUUUUGAAUUUUAACUUAACUCUAUUUUUGGGCCAAGAUUUAAUGCUUUAAAAUUUUCAUUUAAUCCGCUGAGUUUACUUAUAAUUCUUUUGAGUUUUAUUUAUUGGUGAGUAAAAUACCUAUUUGAUUUUUUUAUAUACUAUUGGCAUCUUUAAAGGUAAUAUAAUAAUUUUAGUGUAGACGUGUUUUAUUUUAUAAAUAUUAUUUAUAGUGUAGACAUGUGAAUUUUGAAUAAUUUAAAAAUAUCUUCAAUUUUAUGAAAUUUAAACAUACAUUUAGUGUAGACAUGUUUUAUUUUAUAAAUAUUAUUUAUAGUGUUGUUGAUUGGAGUUUGAAAAUUAUACAACUUAGCUAUAUCAGUUAAUUACUUAUAUUAAAAAAUAAUAUAAGAAAAUACUAAAAAGAAAAAAAAUAGUAUAAUUAAUAAAAUGGAUGAAGAGUUAUAUUAAAGUUUCAACAUCUUCUCUCUAUCAAAAUUUAUCUCAGAUAAAUCAUGAAUAAUCUAACUCAUAAAAAAUAUAUAUAUAUUUAUAUACUUCAUUUCAUUCACAGAAAAUAAAGCAUUCUACUUAGUAGAGGCUUUCUAUAAUACCGUUAUCUAAUACCUCUUGACAUUGCUUAGAUUCAAAUGUGUCGAGCAGUUUGGAGGAAAUAUAUCUUGACUAUUCUACUCUCAACACCAACAUUUUGCAAAGCAUUGGAGUAUUCGCUUCUCUUAAAACAUUGUCUUUAUAUCAUUGUGGACUUAUUGGUCCCUUACCUAAUCAAGGUAAAUAAUUUUAUGGCUCAAUUUGAUUUCUUUAUGAACUUUCUGUAAUAUAUUAUCUCCUAUUCUGUUUUAUAAAGCAAAAUUUAAUUGAAACUUCUUCCAUGAAUUUAUUUAUAAAAUUUUCAGGAUGGUGUGAUCUAAGGAACCUUGAAGUGUUGGAUGUGAGUGGGAAUGCACUUGAGGGGAUGCUUCCUCAUUGUUUUAGUAACUUGACAUCUCUUCGUGAGUUAUAUAUUUCAAGAAACCAUUUUCAAAUUCCGCUGUCAUUUGCACCAUUUGCAAACCUUUCAAACCUCAAAUCCCUUUGGAUUAAUGAAAACAAGAUGGUAAUGGAACCUUCCUUUUAUACCUCAAUCCCAAAGUUCCAAUUGGAAGUCAUCAGUUUGCUAAAGUGCAUAACAUCUCAACAACUCAGUCGUAAAGUUCCUACCUUCCUUUACUACCAAUAUGACUUGAGAUAUGUGGAUCUUUCGCAUAACAAUUUCAGCGGAACAGUCCCAACUUGGUUGUUAGAAAACAACACAAAAUUAAAAGUUCUUAUCUUGAAGGGUAAUUCUUUUACUGGUCCUCUCUCACUUUCGUCGGCUCUUAUUUCUAAUGUAUCUUCAAUUGACUUAUCUGAAAACAAAUUACAAGGUCAAAUUCCGAUUGGUAUAUGUUCAACUUUUCCACAUUUGAGUCAAUUAUUCUUAUCCAAGAAUGCUUUUGAAGGUAAUAUCCCACUUUGUUUAAGUGGCAUGAAGGACUUAUCAACUUUAGAUCUAUCAAACAAUCUAUUGUAUGGAAAAGUUCCAGAAGAGUUGAUCGCGAAAGGCUCACUGACCAUUUUGAGACUAUCAACUAACAACCUCAGUGGAAAUGUAGUUCCUGUGAUUCUCAGCGCAAAUGGGCUGGAGAAUUUAUAUUUGGAUGGAAAUAAUUUUUCAGGAGAGAUGACAAAUGUUGAUGUGUCUACUUUUGAGUUUCCAAAUUCACUACGGGAAAUUGAUCUCAGUAACAACAAGUUGCAUGGAAAGCUCCCAAGAUGGAUAGGGAAUGCAUCGUUUUUGGGGAGAUUAGCUAUGUCCAACAAUAGUUUUGAGGGUUCUAUUCCAAUGGAAUUUUGCAAGUUGAAUAGCUUGGAAUUUUUGGAUCUUUCUCAAAAUAAUUUAUCUGGCUCUAUACCGUCAUGUUUUAAUCCACCAUACAUAGAGUAUGUCCACCUCCACGGGAAUAGACUGAGAGGCCCACUAUCACUUGCUUUUUAUAAUAGCUCUUCAAUAGUGACUUUAGAUCUUAGAGGAAACAAUUUGACAGGUAGUAUUCCAAAAUGGAUUUACACGCUUUCUUCUUUGAGUGUUCUUCUCUUGAAAGAUAAUCAUUUUCAUGGUAAAGUUCCUAUUGAGUUAUGCAAGUUGCAUUCUUUAAGCAUCAUAGAUCUUUCUCAAAAUAUGUUUUCUGGUCCUAUACCUUCUUGUUUGGGAAAUUUAUCUCUUCCAAUGCAAACGAACAAGACUCUAGAAAUUGAGUUCUAUGGGCCAUCUAUAGAAGAGGAUGAAACAACACGCAGUAUGAUACUAAAUUUGGGAAUGGAUUCUUACUAUCCUGGUAGCUACUUAGAAGAAGUAAUAGAGUUCACAACAAAGAGUGGGUUCUAUUCAUACAAGGGCGACAUCCUUUCAUAUAUGACUGGGAUUGAUUUAUCUUGCAACAACUUAACUGGUCAUAUCCCACCAGAAUUAGGGAACUUGAGUGAAAUCCAUUCUUUAAACCUUUCACACAAUAAGUUGACCGGAGUUAUACCCUCGUCACUCUCGAAACUACAUCAAAUUGAGAGUUUGGACCUUUCUUACAACAACUUAAGUGGUGAAAUCCCCAAUCAAUUGGUAGAGUUAAACUCUUUGGAGGUUUUCAGCGUGGCAUUUAACAACUUGUCAGGUAGUAUUCCCGAACCAAAAGCUCAAUUUGGGACCUUUAUUGAAAAUAGUUAUCAGGGAAAUCCGUUUCUUUGUGGAGUUAUAUUGCAUAAAAGUUGUUCCAAAACCGAUUCACCAUCAACGAUAUCAACUGUAUCAGAAGAUAAAGGAGAAGAUGGUUUGAUAGAUACUUAUGAUUUUUGUGUGAGCUUUUUGGUUUCUUAUGUAGUUGUGUUGUUGACAAUUUUUGUUGUCCUCUACAUAAAUCCACACUGGCGAAGAACUUGGUUUUCUCUUGUUGGGAAAUGCAUUACCACCUGUCGCUACUCAAAUGUGGGCAAUUUUCUUACUUAUCACAUUUUCAAGCAAUGUGUUUAGCUACUCAAAUUGUGAUUUGAUUUCCACACCUAAAUGUUUAAUUAUGCUAAGUUGAGCGAUAAUGAAUAUUUUGUUGAUUUUUGCAUUUUGAAUAAAGGCUCUUUUAUCUUAUGGUUUUAUCAUUUCCAACCAUCUAUUUCUUUUUUCUUCUACGAAAUUUAUUAUGUAUAUGCAAUAUCUCUUUGAAUUAAAUUAAAUUGACUGCCAAGAGUUCACUAAUGCAUACCGAAAAGGAAAUCUAAUGUAAAAUUAAACCAAACAUACUAAAAAAUUGAAUCUAAAAUUGGAAUAUUUUAAAACCUCACAAACAAUGCAAGUCUUUGUUCCUCUUUUCCUCUCAAGUCAUUUUGUAUCAUGUGAUAUUUUACAUAAUUAUUCGUAUCAUCGAAUUUUUAAAAAAUUUAAUAUAUUGAUAUCAUGUUCAUAUUAUGCUUUAAUUCACAAUGUAUUUUGUAUAAUGUGUUAUAACAAUUCAAUUAAAAAACAAGCAAUUAUCUUAUUUUUGCGUACCAUAUUAUACAUUGACAUGUUAAUAAUUCGUUGUACAUAAAUUUUGACAUGUUCGUAUAUUUGAGUCAUUAUAAUUUUAUUAUUUGUAAUAUGACAUGUUUUAAUUACCCUUAAUAUUGCGUCAUGAUAAUUAUAAAUCGAUUGGCAGUCUACCAAAUAAUUUUUCUAAUAAAAAAUAGUAUUUUAUUCUAUUUACCAAAUCUUUAUCAACUUUAUAUUCUCACCAACAAAACAUACAUUCAAAGUUCAAAUAAGUUCCGCACCCAUUUUUUUACUGCAAUACUCAAGAAUAUGCUCAUCAUCAGAAAUCUGAAAUAUUCCACUUUAAUUAACAUUAAUUAUGAUUCUGUAAACAACAAAAAAGUGUGAUCCUUUGAAAUGGGAUUGGCAAAAAAUCCGCACGUGUCGUGUGUGAAGAAGGUGAGGUUGUCUAUUCAUACUCUAAUAAGUAGCUAAUUAUAGUUGAUCCUACAAAAUCAAAAUUAAUUCAGGUAUCUAUAUAUUCUGAAGACUGGACAGACCUUAGAAGCUUCUUCAAAUUUGCAAGAACAUGUCGUGGUCCUAAACACUUUACAGCGAUGAAAUUCAAAAGUUGCUCUAUAUCCUGCAAUCACAGUAAAGAUUAUGCAAUCGUUUCAGAACGAAUAACAAGAAGCAAAAGGCGAUCAAAAUACCGUGAUCUCGAUAAUGUUCUUUGCCGAAAAGGAACAUUAACUUAACCUUAAAACAGCAGUGAAGGCUCACCAGAUUUGCUUAGCAACCUUACAUACACAUGUAAAAAAAGCUUUGCUUUUGGAUGUAAGGUGUGACUAUCAUCACAGUCUUUCCUAAUUAGCUGAUUGUAAUACCCAAUUUGCCCAGCCCACAAUAAAAAACCAAAUAAAUAAAAAUUAAUUAAAACUCAAAUAGUUCACAGCCCAAUAACAACAAAAACCAAACCCAUUUACAGUGACCCGGUACAAACCCAAAGUCAGAUACAUCUAGUCCAACUACACCCAGCCCAAAUACCAAGCCCAAUACAACUAUCAACCCAACCCUAGCCCAAAAAAAAAUCAGAAAACCCUAGCUGCAACAGCCCUCCUUCCAGCGCCGCAGCCACCAGGGCCUUCCCCGAGUGUGCUGUGCCACGUCCACCACCUCCUUACGCCAGCUAGCCUCCUUACCUGCAAAGAAGACGAAAACAACGCAGCAGAGAGAAUUUUUUGUAUUUUCUUUCAUUUUAUUUCGAAUAUUCGGCUAUAAAGAGGGAGAAGGCCAUUGUAAUCCUUUUUUACGCAUAUUGAAUACAAACAAAAAAUCAAAACAGAAAGUUUUUUCGAAAGGUGAUUUUCUUCGUUUUUUUUUCUCUUUUAUUUCUUUGAUUCUUUGUUUUCUUCUUUGGCACCAAACGAAAAUAAAAAGAGGGAGAGAAGAAGCGUCUUACCAGAGCAGACGCCAUUGGAACCUGGUUUGCUCCGUCUGAAUCGGAGUCAGAUUGGGUUCGUGACUGGAGACCGGUGGGGAGAAAGGCUAGGCUCUUGAUCUGUUUUAGGAUGGCAAUACAACUUAUUAGGGUUUUAUUUUUUUAAAUGGCUUCAAAACGUCUCCGUGUUGGUUGACCCGAUGAUCCGACUUGACCCGGGGAGGAUCCGCGUGUUUUGUUUCAAUGGCUUAUUUUAGUGUUUGAUGCUUCUUUUUUUGAUUUACUUCAUUUUAAUCCUUCUUUGUCUUUUUUAAUUUUGCCACAUAAUUCGUUCUUUAUUUCAAUUUCAUCCUUCUGUCAGUUGAGGAGACAAACGUUCGAAACGACGCCGUUUCCGAUGAUCUGACUUGAUUGCCAGGUGAGACUUGUGCGUUUAAUUUCUGUUCUAGUCACUCUAUUUUAAAUUAAUUUCAAUUAGGUCCUUUUCAUUUCAUUUUAUUGCAUGUCUUACCCCUAACUUUCUGUUUUAAUUCCAAAUUAGUAAUCUGUUUUGUUAUUUUUGCUAUCAAAUUAAUUACUUUAAUAUUAAUUUAUCAUUAUUACUAUUAUUACUAUUAUUAUUAUUACUAUUAUUAUUACUACUACUAUUAUUAUUAGUAUUAUUUUUUUAAUCAAUUUAUCUAACCUUUUUAUAUUCAUUAUUUUAUUCUAUUAUGCACUAUUAUUUUAAGUUUUUUUUAUAUUAUUAUCAUAUAUUAUUUAAUUUCAUAAUGAAUUAUUUUAUAUUUUUAUGUUAAUCCAAUAGAAUUUACCUUUUUUAAAUAGUUUUCUUAUAAUACGUAAUUUAUAUCUAUUACCUAUUUAGAUUAAUAUAUGUGUAUUAUUUUGGGUUUUAUUUAUUUUGACUUUCUUCUUAUAAUAUUUAUUUUAAAAUUCAUUUAGAUAUUAUUAUUCAUUUUUAAUUCUAUUUUUAAAUUAUUUCAAGUCUUCCUAUUAAUUACUUCUUUUAAACUUUUAUAUAUGUGUAUUUUGUGUAUAUAUGUUGAUAAUUUCAAAUUUCUUUUCUCUCAUGCUUUUUUUUUAGUUAUUUUAAAUUUGUUAUAUUUGUGAUAGGCUUUUAGGUCAUUAGCUUUCAAAUGUUGAUGUUAAUAUUUACAUGUGAUUAUUGCUCUUAUAUGUAUGAUAAUGUUUAUUUGUUUUUAUUGAUUAUUUGUCAUUCGUUAGAGUAUAUUUUGUUUACAAAUCGUCAUUCCGCGUUAUACAUUAUCGUCCCGUCGCAUUUUAUUCGUUGUUAAAAGGUUACGUUUAAUAUCAUUCAAGUAUCGAGAGCAUUUUUAUUCAAAAAGUUUUUUUCAAAAAUAACGCGACACUCGGAAUUUAGGAUCCUCGAAAAGAUUGUGUCCUAACUUAUUGGAUUCCAAUCUUCCUCGUUGAAUCUAAGAAACCGGGUAUCCUUUUUUAAUUAAAGCAUAAAUAAAAAGCUCAUUCUCGAAAAUUCGAUACGUCGNNNNNNNNNNNNNNNNNNNNNNNNNNNNNNNNNNNNNNNNNNNNNNNNNNNNNNNNNNNNNNNNNNNNNNNNNNNNNNNNNNNNNNNNNNNNNNNNNNNNNNNNNNNNNNNNNNNNNNNNNNNNNNNNNNNNNNNNNNNNNNNNNNNNNNNNNNNNNNNNNNNNNNNNNNNNNNNNNNNNNNNNNNNNNNNNNNNNNNNNNNNNNNNNNNNNNNNNNNNNNNNNNNNNNNNNNNNNNNNNNNNNNNNNNNNNNNNNNNNNNNNNNNNNNNNNNNNNNNNNNNNNNNNNNNNNNNNNNNNNNNNNNNNNNNNNNNNNNNNNNNNNNNNNNNNNNNNNNNNNNNNNNNNNNNNNNNNNNNNNNNNNNNNNNNNNNNNNNNNNNNNNNNNNNNNNNNNNNNNNNNNNNNNNNNNNNNNNNNNNNNNNNNNNNNNNNNNNNNNNNNNNNNNNNNNNNNNNNNNNNNNNNNNNNNNNNNNNNNNNNNNNNNNNNNNNNNNNNNNNAAACUAAAUUUACUUUGUACUCAAUUACAAAUGUUAAGAAAUAUUUUACAAUCUAAUAAAUAAAUUUUUUAAUUAAAUUCACCAUAUUAAAUAAAAAUUUUAAAGCACCUAAAAUUGUCAAAUACAUUCUUUUGAAUUUUAGAAUUUAUGAAUUCCGAAACAGACUUUCAGCAUCUCAAAUUCUCUAUUUAAAUUUCACCUACAUAGUUUUUCUAGAAAUUCUUCAAAACUUCAUUUAUUUAAAUCAAUGGUUCUAUUAUAAAAUAGAGAAUUUAAAACUAAAAAGAUAUUAUUUUUAUUUAAAUCUAAUAUGCAUAUUUUUCUCUUUACAAAAAAUAAAUUUUCAAAAUCCAGGUCUACUAUUAAUACUGUUGAAAUUAUUUUAUUAAAUCCAUAUUCAUUUCGUCAUCUUUUAAUUACAUUGUUAUCAAGUUCUUUUAUUUUAAAAAAAGAUCACACUUUUUAGUUGUUUACAGAAUCAUAAUGUUAAUUAGAGUGGAAUAUUUCAGAUUUCUGAUGAUGAGCAUAUUCUUGAGUAUUGCAGUAAAAAAAUGGGUGUGGAACUUAUUUGAACUUUGAAUAUAAACGAACGUGUCAAAAAUUUAAGUACAACGAAUUAUUAACAUGUAAAUGUAUAAUACGGUAUGCAAAAAUAAGAUAAUUGCUUGUUUUUUUAAUUGAAUUGUUAUAACACUACACAAUACAUUGUGAAUUAAAGCAUAACAUAAAGAAUUGCAUUGUUUGUGAGGUUUUAAAAUAUUCCAGUUUUAGAUUCAAUUUUCUAGUAUGUUUGGUUUAAUUUUACAUUAGAUUUCAUUUUCAGUAUGCACUAGUGAAUACUUGGCAGUCAAUUUAAUUUAAUUUAAAGAGAUAUUGCAUAUACAUAGAAAGAAAUAGAUGGUUGAAAAUGAUUAAACCAUAAGAUAAAAGAGCUUUUAUUCAAAAUGCAAAAAUCAACAAAAUAUUAAUUAUCGCUCAACUUAGCAUAAUUAAACAUUUAGGUGUGAAAAUCAAAUCACAAUUUGAGUAGCUAAACAUAUCGCUUGAAAAUGUGAUAAGUAAGAAACUUGCCCACAUUUGAGUAGCGACAGGUGGUGAUGCAUUUCCCAACGAGAGAAAACCAAGCUCUUUGCCAGUAUGGAUUUAUGUAGAGGACAACAAAAAUUGUCAACAACACAACUACAUAAGAAACCAAAAAGCUCACACAAAAAUCACCUAUCAAACCAUCUUCUCCUUUAUCUUCUGAUACAGUUAAUAUCGUUGAUGGCGAAUCGAUUUUGGAACAACUUUUAUGCAAUAUAGCUCCACAAAGAAAAGGAUUUCCCUCAUAACUGUUUUCAAUAAAGGUCCCAAAUUGAGCUUUUUCGGGAAUACUACCUGACAAGUUGUUGUAUGCCACGCUGAAAACCUCCAAAGAGUUCAACUCUACCAACUGAUUGGGGAUUUCACCACUCAAAUUGUUGUAAGAAAGGUCCAAACUCUCAAUUUGAUGUAGUUUUGCGAAUGACGAGGGUAUAACUCCUGUCAACUUAUUGUGCGACAAGUUUAAAGAAUGGAUUUCACUUAAGUUCCCUAAUUCUGGUGGGAUAUGACCAGUUAAGUUGUUGCAAGAUAAAUCAAUCCCGGUCAUAUAUGAAAGGAUGUUGUCCUCGUACAAAAAGAACCCACUCUUUGUUGUGAACUCUAUUACUUCUUCUAAGUAGCUGUCAGGAUAGUAAGAAUCCAUUCCCAAAUUUAGUAUCAUACUGCGUGUUGUUUCAUCCUCUUCUAUAGGCCCAUAGAACUCAGUGUCUAGAAUCUUCUUCGUUUGCAUUAGAAGAGAUAAAUUUCCCAAGCAAGAAGGUAUAGGACCAGAAAACAUAUUUUGAGAAAGAUCUAUGAUGCUUAAAGAAUGCAACUUGCAUAACUCAACAGGAACUUUACCAUGAAAAUGAUUAUCUUUCAAGAGAAGAACACUCAAAGAAGAAAGCGUGUAAAUCCAUUUUGGAAUACUACCUGUCAAAUUGUUUCCUCUAAGAUCUAAAGUCACUAUUGAAGAGCUAUUAUAAAAAGCAAGCGACAGUGGGCCUCUCAGUCUAUUCCCGUGGAUGUGGACAUGCUCUAUGUAUGGUGGAUUAAAACAUGACGGUAUAGAGCCAGAUAAAUUAUUCUGAGAAAGAUCCAAAAAUUCCAACCUAUUCAACUUGCAAAAUUCCAUUGGAAUAGAACCUUCAAAACCAUUAUUAGACAAAUCUAAUCUCCACAAAAAUGAUGCAUUCCCUAUCCAUCUUGGGAGCUUUCCAUGCAACUUGUUGUUACUGAGAUCAAUUUCCCAUAGUGAAUUUGGAAACUCAAAAGUAGACGCAUUAACAUUUGUCAUCUCUCCUGAAAAAUUGUUUCCAUCCAAAUAUAAAUUCUCCACCCCAUUCACGCUGAGAAUCACAGGAACUACAUUUCCACUGAAAUUGUUAUUUGAUAGUCUCAAAAUGAUCAGUGAGCCUUUCGUGAUCAACUCUUCUGGUACUUUUCCAUACAAUUGAUUGUUUGAUAGAUCUAAAAAUGAUAAGUACUUCAUGCCACUUAAACAAAGUGGGAUAUUACCUUCAAAAGCAUUCUUGGAUAAGAAUAACCGCCUCAAAUGUGGAAAAGUUGAACAUAUACCAGUCGGAAUUUGACCUUGUAAUUUGUUUUCAGAUAUGUCAAUUGAAGAUACAUUAGAAAUAAGAGCUGACGAACGUGAGAGAGGACCUGUAAAUGAAUUACCCUUCAAGAUGAGUUCUUCUAACUUUGUGUUGUUUUCUAGCAACCAAGUUGGUAAAGUUCCACUGAGAUUGUUAUGAGAAAGAUCCACAUAUCUCAAGUCAUAUUGGUAGUAAAGGAAGGUAGGAACUUUUCGACUGAGUUGUUGAGAUGUUAUGCACUUUGACAAACUGAUGACUUCCAAUUGGAACUUUGGGAUUGAGGUAUAAAAGAAAGGUUCCAAUACCAUUUUGUUUUCAUUACUGGAGAGGGCUUUGAGGUUUGAAAGGUUUGCAAAUGGUGCAAAUGACAGUGGAAUUUGAAAAUGGUUUCUUGAAAUAUCUAACACACGAAGAGAUGUCAAGUUACUAAAACAAUGAGGAAGCAUCCCCUCAAGUGCAUUCUCACUCACUUCCAACACUUCAAGGUUCCUUAGAUCACACCAUCCUGAAAAUUUUAUAAAUUCAUGGAAGAAGUUUCAAUUAAAUCUUGUUUUAUAAAACAGAAUAGGAUAUAAUAUAUUACAGAAAGCACAUACAGCAAUCAAUUUGAGCCAUAAAAUUAUUUACCUUGAUUAGGUAAGGGACCAAUAAGUCCACAAUCAGAUAAAGACAAUGUUUUAAGAGAAGCAAAUACUCCAAUGCUUUGCAAAAUGUUGGUGUUGAGAGUAGAAUUGUCAAGAUAUAUUUCCUCCAAAUUGCUCAACACAUUUGAAUCUAAGCAAUGUCAAGAGGUAUUAGAUAACGGUAUUAUAGAAAGCCUCUACUAAGUGAAAUGCUUUAUUUUCUGUGAAUGAAAUGAAAUAUAUAAAUAUAUUUUUUUUAUGAGUUAGACUAUUCAUGAUUAUCUGAGAUAAAUUUUGAUGGAGAGAAGAUGUUGAAACUUUAAUAUAACUCUUCAUCCAUUUUAUUAAUUAUACUAUUUUUUUUCUUUUUAGUAUUUUCUUAUAUUAUUUUUUAAUAUAAGUAAUUAACUGAUAUGGCUAAUUUGUAUAAUUUUCAAACUCCAAUCAACAACACUAUAAAUAAUAUUUAUAAAAUAAAACAUUUCUACACUAAAAUUAUUAUAUUACCUUUAAAGUUACCAAUACUUUUAAAAAAAAAUAAAAAUAGGUAUUUUACUCACCAAUAAAUAAAAUUCAAAAAUAUAUUUAUAUAUGAAAUUAAAAAAUUUAUAUGUAUUUUUACUUUUAAAAAAAUAAAAACAGGUAUUUUACCAAUACUCUAAUAUGUAUUUUUAUGUUUUAUACUAUUAAAAAUAUAUGAAAUUAAAAUAUAGUUAUAUUACAUAUUUUCUCAUAAAUAUAUGUUUUUAUUUAUUUAUAAUAUCAUUUUUUUAUUGUUAUAAUCAUUUUUUAUCUCAUAAAAAUUCAAUAAAUUAUUUUAAAAAAUAUAUUUAUACAAACAAAAUAAUUAUAAACAUUAAUAUUUUAAAAUAAUGAAAAUUUUAAAGAAUUUUAGUUUCAAACCAAAGUCAAAGCACAUUAUAAUGGAGGAUUUAGAAAAUGUUUCACCAAAUCCAUAUUUUACUUUCAAGUAUGAUAUGAUAUAACUUUAUUCAUAUUUAUGACAAUAACCGUUAUUAUAAUAUAUGAGAUAAAAACUAAAUUUCUAAAUUAAAAAAAAAGGGAAGUUUAAUUAAAUGAUACCAAAUCUUUCAAUUCAUUAUAGCUCAUAUAUAGUUCCCUUAAGUUGAUAAAUGCAUCCAAAUCUAGGAAAACAAAAACAACAAAUCAACUUCAUUAUAUUCUCUUAAAACAUUAUUAUAUUCUUGUUAAAAAUCUAAUAUUUUUACCUUUCAUAUCUAUUGAUCCUUUCAAUUGAUUGUCCCCUAUGCUCAAAUAUUUCAAAUUUGAAAGCUUGUUAAGGGACGCAAAUACACUAGUAUUGAAGAGAUUUCCAUCUAAAUUAAGCUCUUCCAAGUGGGUCAACUCCAAUUUUCUACCACCAUCUACAAAAGAUUUAUAUAAUUUCAUCACUGAAAUGAAUUGGCAUAAAAUUAAAUUAUCUGGAAGAAUUUAGGUAAUUGGUUAAAUAUAAAUGCAUACCUUUAAAGGAUUGCAAGCUUUCAAUUUGAUUCCAACUUAAAUCGAGUUUCUUCAAAUUUGUUAAAUUACUCAAUCCUAUACAUAUCCACGUACAAUUCAAAAAAAAUCAUUAUGUUAAUAAUUUUAAUUUCUACUUAAUAUUUUAAUGAAAUAAAAAUGAAAAAAAAAAGUAAAUCUAAAACUUGAAGUGAAGAUGAAAAUCCUCAAACGUGAAAUGUGAAUGUUCAAAAUUGAAACAAUUGAUUUUAAAAGGUUCUAGAAAGAAUUAUCAAGAAAAACAAAGUUAUAGCUUUAGUACCUUUAGUAUCUAAUGAGCCUUGCAAACUGUUCGACCUCAUAUCCAAGGACUUUAGGCUUGAAAGCCAUACAAGAAAGGAAAUUGUGUUGUUCCGAAAGAGAUUAUGACUCAAGUCAAGUUCCUCCAAGUUUGUUAACCUCAGUAGUGUUCCAUCUAUCAUUGGAAGAAAAUAAUGAGUAUAGUUAAUAUCAUCCAAGAUAUAAAUAGUUAGGAAAAAUGAUUGUUUGAGAAGGAAGAGGCAAUUUACAAGCUUUCCCAUGAAUUGAUAACUACAUUUUACAAGUAAAACUUAAUUGAUUCAAUAUAUAAAUACUUUGUUUGAGAUUCCUUCCUACUUUAAUUACUCAAUCCCAAAUAUUGAUUACUUAUAUAUAUUCAUGAUAUGAUAAAAGCAAAUGACUUAUUAAUUGCAACAGCUUUUCCUUCAACAUGAAUUUAAUGCUAUUCUUCAAAUAAUUCCAACUUAUAUCAAUAAUCUCCAAUCUAAUGAGCCAUUGAAAACCUGAUUUAUAUAUUAUAUAAUUAGUUACUACAAAACAUAAAUAAAUAAUAAUACUCCAUUUUUGCAAUAAAAAUUCACUAAAGAAAAUACAUUUGAAGUUUGUCAUUGCCUUUUGGAAUAAGAGUCGGUCAAGAAAGUUAUGCACAAAUACUUAUACCUUUGUUUGAGAUGCUUUCAAUUCUGUUCCAACUUAAAUCCAAGUAUUUCAAGUUUGUCAAAUUAUUCAAUCCUGAAAUUCAAUCCCAAAUAUUGAUUAGUUAUAUAUAUUCAUCGUAUGAUAAAAUUAAACUUGAACAUACAUUGAUUUUUAAACUUGAACUUAUAUCAAUAAUUUCCAAUCUAAUGAGCCAUUGAAAACCUCAUUUAUGAGCCACUGAAAAUAAUUUUUUCUUGAUUCAUAUCAUAUUUUAAUAUAUUAGCAUAUUGUUUUAAAAACUCAAAUAUGUUUAAAAUCAAUUUAGCAUUUAACCUUAAUAUUAGUAUUUAACACCGGUAAUGGAGUUUUUUUAACUCUACAAGUGAAGUUAAAAAAUGACCAAUAACCUACUUUUAAAUAUUUCUUUUUUAAUAUUUUACUAUACCAUAUAAGAUAUUUGUUGUUAUCUCAAUCCUACUUAUGAAGUUUAGAAUUUCUUUAAUAGUACCACCCCGAUUUUUUAAAAAAACCAGAUUUUUUUAAUUUGAUAAAAGAAAAGAAUUUCAUUCAUAGUACCAAAUAUUUAUAUUAUUUUUUUAGUAUUUUCUUAUAUUAUUUUUGAAUAUAAGUAAUUAGCUAAUAUAGCUAAUUUGUAUAAUUUUUAAACUCCAAUCAACAACACUAUAAAUAAUAUUUAUAAAAUAAAACAUGUCAACACUAAAAUUAUUAUAUUACCUUUAAAGUUACCAAUACUUUAUAAAAAAAAUCAAAUAGAUAUUUUACUCAGCAAUAAAUAAAAUUCAAAAGAAUUAUAAGUAAACUUAGCGGAUUAAAUGAAAAUUUUAAAGCACUAAAUAUUGGCCCAAAAACAAAGUUAAGUUAAAAUAUGUCAUAUCUCCCUUUUACUCUUUACAAACGUGAAGUUUUAAAAUUCAAGUCUAAUUAUUAAUACUGUUAAAAUUAUUUUAUUAAAUCCAUGUUCAUUAUGUCAUUUUUUAGUUACAUUGCUACCAAGUUUUUUUUUUAUUUCAAAAUGUUACACCAACAAAUUAUUUUAAAAAAUUAACAAUUUAAAUAAUUAAACUUGGAUUUUGAAAUUUAAAAAAAAUAGAGGGACUAAAUUCCUGAAUAUAAAAGUAUAAGAAUUAAAUUACAAAUUUGUAAAGAGUAUGUAGACCUAUGUUAAUAACAUGUGCAUUUUGAAAUUUAUAAAAAGUUUGCAAUGGAAGUUUAAGCACCUCUAAAUGUAGGUUUAAAUUUCAUAAAAUUGAAGUUUUUUUUUAAAUUAUUCAAAAUUGACAUUUAUUUAUUUUUGGCCAAAAAAUACCAUUUAUUUAACUCUAAUAUGUAUUUUUAUGUUUUAUACUAUUAAAAAUAUAUGAAAUUAAAAUAUAGUUAUAUUACAUAUUUUCCCAUAAAUAUAUGUAUUUUUUAUUUAUAAUAUCAUUUUUUAUUGUUAUAAUUAUUUUUUAUCUCAUAAAAAUUCAAUAAAUUAUUUUAAAAAUAUAGUUAUCAAACAAAAUAAUUAUAAACAUUAAUAUUUAAAAAUUAUGAAAAUUUUAAAGAAUUUUAGUUUCAAACCAAAGUUCAAAAACAUUAUAAUGGAGGGUUUAGAAAAUGUUUCACCAAACCCAUAUUUUACUUUCAAGUAUGAUAUGAUAUAACUUUAUUAAUAUUUAUGACAAUAACCGUCAUUAUAAUAUCUGAGAUCAAAACUAAAUUUCUAAAUUUUUUUUAAAAAAAGGAAGUUUAAUUAAAUGGUACCUUGGUGGAUCACCCAAUCUUUCAAUUCAUUGCCGCUCAUAUAUAGUUCCCUUAAGUUGAUAAAUGCUUCCAAAUCUAGGAAAACAAAAACAACAAAUCAACUUCAUUAUUAUAUUCUUGUUAAAAAUCUAAUAUUUUUACCUUUCAUAUCUAUUGAUCCUUUCAAUUGAUUGAACCUUAUGCUCAACGAUUUCAAAUUUGAAAGCUUGUUAAGGGAUGCAAAUACACUAGUAUUGAAGAGAUUUCCAUCUAAAUUAAGCUCUUCCAAGUGGGUCAACUCCAAUUUUCUACCACCAUCUACAAAAGAUUUAUAUAAUUUCAUCACUGAAAUGAAUUGCCAUAAAAUUUAAUUAUAUGUAAGAAUUUAGGUAAUUGGUUAAAUAUAAAUGCAUACCUUUAAAGGAUUGAAAGCUUUCAAUUUGAUUCCCACUUAAAUCGAGUUUCUUCAAAUUUGUUAAAUUGCUCAAUCCUAUACAUAUCCACGUCCAAUUAAAAAAAUCAUUAUGUUAAUAAUUUUAAUUCCUACUUAAAAUUUUAAAGAAAUAAAAAUGAAAAAAAAGUAAAUCUAAGACUUGAAGUGAAGAUGAAAAUCCUAAAACGUGAAAUGUGAAUGUUCAAAAUUGAAACAAUUAAUUUUAAAAGGCUCUAGAAAGAAUUAUCAAGAAAAACAAAGUUAUAGCUUUUUGUACCUUUAGUAUCUAAUGAGCCUUGUAAACCGUUCCAACUCAUAUCCAAGGACUUUAGGCUUGAAAGCCCUUGAAGAAAGGAAAUUGUGUUGUUCCGAAAGAGAUUAUCACUUAAAUAAAGUUCCUCUAAGUUUGUUAGCCUCAAUUGUGUUCCAUCUAUCAUUGGAAGAAAAUAAUAUCAUUCAAGAUAUAAAUAGUUAGAAAAAUGAUUGUUUGAGAAGGAAGAGCCAAUUUAGAAGCUUUCCCAUGAAUUGAUAACUACAUUUUACAAGUAAAACUUAAUUGAUUCAAUAUAUAAAUACUUUGUUUGAGAUACCUUCCUAUUUUGAAAUACUGCAACAUUAACUGUCCCUUAAACAAAAAUUGGUUUUAAAGUAAAAAAGAAACAUAUAAAACCAGUCUACCUUUAAUAUGAAUUGACAUAUAAAUACUGUACUUAUACCUUGGUUUGAGAUGCUUUCAAAUUUCAAUUCUGUUCCAACUUAAAUCCAAGUAUUUCAAGUUUGUCAAAUUAUUCAAUCAUAAAAUUCAAUCCCAAAUAUUGAUUAGUUAUAUAUUCAUCGUAUGAUGAAAUCAAACUUGAAUAUACAUUGAUUUUUAAAGUUGAAAAGAAACAGGUAAAAUCAGUCUACCUUGAAUAUGAUCCAUCCUUCCUUUCAACUCAUUACCACUCAAUCUUAAAGUCUUCAAGGAUGAAAGAUUUCUCAUAUGGAACAAAAUGCUAUUCUUCAAAGAAUUCCAACUUAAAUCAAGAGUUUCCAAGUUAUUGAGUCUUGAAAGCAAUUGAAAACCUGAUAUAUAUACAUAAUUACUUGUUAAUUGUUUUUUUCUUUCUUUGCUAUAUGAAAAUUUUACUAAAGCAAUAGUGGAAUUACAACGGAUAAAAAGAAUGGAAAACUAGGUACCAAACCCAGAAGACCAUCCUCAAACUCCACUAUACAAAUAAAAACUAACACCAGACCAAACUUAAUUUACCUCUUAGAUGACUUGAUCCUUCUAAUUUGUUGUGUGAUAGAUCUAAAUACCGGAGAGAUGAAAGCUCACUCAAAGAUAACAAAAUGCUGUCAUUCAAGUAGUUUUCACUUAAGUCAAGGAUCUCCAAAUUACUCAACGUGGAUGAUAGUUUUCCAAAGCCUAUAGAAAUAUUCUUUUAAAUAUAUACAAGUUAGUGACUUUUCUUCCAUAAAAUAAAAUAAAAUAUAAGUAAUUGCAAAUUAACGAUGGUGAGAGUAGUGGAAUAAUAAAAGAUGUAAUUAAGGAAAAACUAGAGGCACGACCUUCAUUUUCAAGAUUACCACUUAUGGCAUUCCCCGACAAAUAAAGACUCUUCAAUUCCUCAAAGGGAAGAAACAUAGAGGCAUUGAGAUACCAGGCAUUGAGAUUCCUAUUAUCCAUGUCGUAUUCCCAUUUUGUAGAAUUAAGGGAGAGUUGUAUGAGUCUCCUAGUGGUGGUGUUACACUCAACUCUUUCCCAUUUACAACAAUCUGAACCCUUCACCUCAACCCAACUAUUCAAUUGAUUACCAUCAUUGAAGAAAGGUUUGAGAUGCAAGAGAGCGAUUCUCUCAUGCUCCAAACAAGCAUCAGUAGUACACCAUCUGCAUCCUUCUAACACCAACAACAUUACUGCCAUCCUAAUAAACCUUAACCAUUUCCACUUCAUCAUCAUCAUCAUCUCUCUGUUUUCACUUCUCUCUCAGCUAUAUGUUACUUUUUUUUAACUUCUAUAUGUAUAUAAUCUAAAGAAGCCUAAGCUUCUUAUUUAUAUACAAGCAGAUGCAUCCCACUAACUCACUAUAAUGUAAAAAUAAUAUAUAAUUAAUUAAUUCCUCAAAAAUUGGAUCAAAAUCUAGGCUUCUUAUUUACGUAAAUUAUUUAUUGCAAAAACUCUUAGUGGAAAUUCGUUAGGAAGGGAUGAAGGGGCCACAAGAAUAUUGAUGUUAAUCUUGAAAAACGAAUUGCCAAAAAAAUAUGAAAAGUGAGAGGUGGACAUAAAAUCGUAUAGUUGGGAUUGCAAAAGUCUUCAUGUGGCUUUCUUGUGAGUUUCAUUUAUACCCUUCUUACACUUAUACAAACUUAGUCUUGACUUGGCUUUAUUAAUGGAAAAUUUAGAUCUUCAUUUUUGGUUUUAUUCAUAGAAAUUUUACUUCUUUGAUUUUGGUUUUAUUAAUGGAAAUUUUAAGUCUUCAGUUUGCUUUUAUUCUUGCACAUUUUAGGUUUUGAUUUUGAAAAUUUAGUUUUUUCAUCUCUAUUAUUAUAAAAUUUCUUAAUUUAAUUAAUAUCAUGAGUUAAUUUAAUACUUUAAAAAAUAAAAUAUUACAUUCACUAUUUUUUUAAAAAUAAAAGUAACUAUAAAAUUUUAUUAUUUAUAUAAUAUUUUAAAAAAAACUAUUUAUUUCUACUAGACCACUACUUUAAAACUAUCCAUUAUCAUAUUGUAAUAGGCCCAAUUUGCCCGGGCCCGGUAAAUAAAUAAAACCAAUAAAAUCAAAUAAAAAAUAGUCCCAAAACAGUCCAUUUACAAUGACCCAAUACCAACCCAAUGGCCUAAAUCUCUACCCAAGCCCGAAUCUAAACCUAAACAGGCCCAAACCCCACUAAACCUAAUGGCCCAAUACCCAGCUUGGCUGAGACAAACCCUAGCCUUCAGCAGCUUUCUGCUCUUGCGCUGCAGCCAAGCCGCUCCUCACGUACGAGCCUCAUUCAUGCGCCGCACCGAGCAACGCCAUCGCCAGGGACCACGCCUGUACUGUGCCACGUGAGCCUCCGUACAUGCGCGCCCGUUCACCUCUGUACCAGUACCUGCAAAUACACACAAGAAGCAGCGAAGCAACAAAAAAAAAAAGAAAAUAGCAGUAGAAAAAUAGGGGAUUUUCAGUUUUUAUUUGAUUUUUCUGGCUAUAAAAGCCAAACACGCAGAUUGUAUCAUAGGGGGAACUCACACAUAUUGCAAAAAAAAAGGGGCAGAAAAUCAAUACAAAAAAAAAAAGAAAAGGUUUUCUCUUCCUUCAGGUCUCUUUUCUUCUCCAAUUGUUUCUUUUCUUUUUCGUUUGUUAUUAGCCUCAUAUAAGUAUAGAUAUAUAUAGAGUAAAUAAUAACAAAAAGGGGGGGUUAAAACGUACCUGGUGAUGCCUUUGAAUCCACGCGAAGAAGCCAAAAAGCCUUGAAUGGUGAGGCUCCGACCACCAUUCGCAGUGGAAUCAAGGCGGAGGGGCGGACUGACGGCACUGAAGGGUGAAACCCUAGCAGAGGAAACAAUAAGCAAUUUUUUUUAAAAACGAGUCUGCUAAUGUUUUUUUAGGGUAAAUUUUGUUUAAAUAAUGAUACAAUACGGAGCCGUUUUGGGCUAGGGUUCCUAGCGCCCAAACGACAUCGUUUAGAGGCCUUACCCAAUGACCCGAUCCAGAUGGCGGCUAGAUCCGCGUGUUUGGUAGGAGGAGGGGAAAUUUCGCGAAGAGUCCCUCUUGUUUUGUGCCGUUUCGGUUUGAUUUUCUUCAUUGUUUUUAAUUUGAAUCGCGUAUUUUAUUUUGUUUUCAAUUUGAUCCAUAGUUAAACGGCACCGUUUUCACUAAUCGGAUUUGAGCAUCCGAACAUUUGUGUUUAUUUUCUGUUUUAGUCCUCUCUGUUAUUUUUUAUUAUGAUUUUUACCCUCCUAUUUUAUUUUCACCCUAAUUUAGUCCCGAAACUGUUAGAUUUCACUUUAUUUAUGCAAUGUAUAUAUUUAUUUAUUUUAAACUUUAUAUUAUUUAUUUUAAAUCGUUCUAUUACUAUUUAUUUUAAGCCUUUUUUACAUAUUAUAUGUUUUAAAUUAUGUUAAUCAAUUAUUCAUUUUAAAUAUAUAUUAUUUAUGUUAAACUACAAAUGUAUAUUAUUUAUUUGGAAUUGUUCUUAUGCACAUCAUGCAUUAUCAUUUUAAAAAAAAUAAUAAUAAUAGAAUUUGUUUGCAUAUUGUUCAUUUAGGAUUCCUUCUCACACAUUACUUAUUUUAAACGUUUUACAUAUUAUUUUAAAUUGUUUUAUAUGUUUUUUUUAAAUGCUUUGAAGAUUAUUCAUUUUAACUUGUUUUACACAUUAUUUUAUUAUGUAUGGAAUUGCUUUAAUAUAUAUAUACGUGAAUAAAACGUAUUGUAACUGGUAAUUUCUAAAAUUUUAUUCUACGUUUUAAAAUUUUUAUCAUUUCGAUUAUGUUGAUUGGUUUACUUGGGAUUAAAUUAUUAUUGCAUUGAUUAUUCUUUUUUUUUUUGAUUUUUUUGUUAGAUUGAUUAUUAGUUUAUUUGAUUAUCAAUGUUGAUGUAUUAUAUGUUUGGUUGCUCCAAAUUGUAAAUUUAGCUUGCUAUUCACCAUUUGAUUAGUAUAUUGAUAUUUUAUUAUAUUGUUUGUAAAAAUUGCAUUUCAUUAAAGCAUUACAAUUGUUUUAUUUCAAAAUUCUCAAAAAGCUUGGUAUUUAAAAAUUCUCGAGAGGAUUGUGCCCUAACUUACUGGGCUUCAAUCCUCCCUUUUUGAUUCUAAAUAACCGAAUACCUUUUUUAAUUUGAACAUAGAAGUUUCAAAAUAAAAGCUCAUUCUCGGGAAUUUGACACGUUGUGUCCUAACGCAUUGAAUAUGACUAUUAUUUUCUCGAGAUGAGGAUUUUAAGGCAAUGUUCGAUAUUUAGGAAUUUUGUGAAAUCGAACCCUAACUUACUAGGUCUUGAUUUUCUCAUUUGACCCAGAUAAUCGGAUAUCCUCCUCAAAAUGCAUAGGUUUUAAAAGACGAGAGAUAAACUUAACUUGGAGGACUUAAAAUGUUGCACUCUAACUUACUAAGUGUGACGAUUUAUUUCUUUGAAAUAAGUGAGUCUCGUCGUCCAAUUCAUUUUAUUCAAAAUAAAAGGAUCAAAUUUUAAAAUCUUUUCAAAAUUUUGACAUUAAGACAUUAAACAUUCCAAUCGGUACCAAUUUUGGGCGUCACGAGGGUGCUAACCCUUCCUCGUGCGUAACCGACUCCCGAACCCGUUUUCUCAAAAAUUCGCAGACCUAAAAUUAUUUUCAAGGUGAUCCGCACACCACAAUAAAAGAUCGGUGGCGACUCCAUUUCCAUUUUCAAAAUUGAUCCCCAUUUUUCAAAUUACAAAAAAAUGGCUUCGACAGCUUGGCGACUCCACUGGGAACGAUUUAGAGAGUCAAGCCAUAAAAUUGAUUGUUUUUGUCUUAUUGUCGAAAAUUAAAAUUUGAUUUGAAAAAUUACGCUCUUUUCUUUGCACUUGUUUGCAUGAUUAUUGUAAAUUAAGUUGCAUAUUUUGGCAUCAUUUUGCAUAAGACUGUUUAGUCUUGUCCUUUUAAGUGGGAGUGAGAAACUAGUCCUUCGUGAGGUUUUCACCUUCGUGCAGGAUAGUGGAUCACUUCCGGGAUACAUCCGUACCUAUGUCUUCGUGAGAUUUUCAUCUCCGUGCAGCCAUAGGGAAAUGUAUUCCCCUGAACCGAACUCGGUCUGUAUGAGCCUAUAAUGGGUGAAGAUCGAGGAAUCUACUGGUUCGGGUACCUUGACUUUAGAAACAACCCUCAUAUAGUGGACUUAGGAACCCAUCCUAGGUAGAGCCACUCCGAACCCCUAGUGGUCACCCGACUAGGCACUUUUGUUUUCCUUGUUUGCUUCUGUUUCGCACUAACCUAUCUUGUUUUGUUUUGAUUAUGAUUGCAUUUCAUUUGCAUCUUAGGAAGGAGACAUUGAUUCAAGUUCGAUUACUAAAUUAAAAAGCUUGUCAUGGAAUACGAAUUCCUUGAUAAAGUGGAAAACAAUACGACUUUCCGAAUAUAUUCUGAGAAACAUAAGAAGGGCGAUCGAAGAGUUCGCAACCUCGCUUCGUGGCCUAAGGAUUCAAGGCGAUUGUCUGAGAGCCUUCGACGUUCCACCCCCUUUAAAAGCUGACGAGCCUUAAGAAGAUGGAUAGAUGAUGGAUCGUGACCAAGAUCAAGAAAAGGAGCUAGUAAUGGCAUCUAUUGGUAAGAUUACCUCAAACGUGCGGAUGAAGAAAAAGAUCGAUGUUGGUUCUUGGAAUAUGAGGGCGAGGUCGUACAUGUAUCCGUUUUAUGUAAGGGAAUUUGCUUUCUAGAAAAGUUUUCUAAAUGUAAUUGAAUCAGAAUCAACGUCUCUUUAGGCAUUCAUUUCAUGUAUUUGCAUUACAUUGCAUUACAUGCAUUAAAAUCCAUUGAAAAAGUCUAAACGAGUAAAUUUAUUUCAGCUAACCUGGAAAACCAACCGACCAAACACCCUUACGAUAUCCAAGAAAAGACUAGAGAAAUGGAAUGAAGGUUGGAAAAAUUAGAGCGGAUGCAGAUUCAGAUGCGGGAGAGAUUGACUGAAUUUCAACAGGAGAUGAGAGAUCAGAUGCUAGAAUUACAGAGAACCUUGAUGAACCAGUUCAACUGACUACUAGCUGGAGAGUUAGAAAAAAAGAAGGACCCGGUGGUCCACUUUGGGGUUGAUAAUAAGGAUCUUGCCCAUUCCCUAGAUUAUACUCCGACAAGUGUCCAAGUCCAGCCGGAUGGGCGUCCACAUGGGGCACUCUUUACUAUCAGAUCACAACAGUAUCAAACUGGUACAGCAACACCGGUGGGUUGCUUGACAAACCCAAGGUCCAAUGCGAGGAACAAUUUUCCUGUUGCUCUCGAUGGCCCGGCUGAAACAAAGCAGGCAAGGGUGGAGUACCUAGGUACUACAAAGGCCCUAAGGAAGAAGGGGAAUAAAUGGGAUAAUGUAGGUAGGUAUAACAAGGGCCACUCAAAACCAAUCACUGCGGGCCAACAAAAGAUGGCAACCACCAGCCAUCAGAGCCCUUUAAAGCAAGACCCUUAUGUGAAACAAGGCACUGAGAACCUCCAGUUCACGCCAAUUUCGGUGUCGUAUAAGGAGCUGUAUCAAAGCUUAUUCAAUAUGCACAUUGUUGCCCCUCUCUACACGAAACCUCCACAGCCUCCGUACCCUAGAUGGCAUGACGCAAAUGCACGAUGUGAAUAUCAUGCAGGAAAUAUGGGGCAUUCCAUAGAAAACUGCAUUGCCUUUAAAAAAACUGAUUGAAAGGCUUAUCAGUAUGGGCGUCAUUAAAUUUGAUGAUUCCUCUAGUGUAUAAAAUACGCCGCCUAAUCAUAUUAAUGACGAGGCGAAUGAGGUGUACGAAGUAGUGUUGGGAAAUGUUCACAUCAACGACGUGUCUGAAGACACAAAUGGAAAGGGAUCUUGUUAGAUGUCCGCCCUUAUAAAUUCUGGAGUGUUCUAAAUAAUUAGACUGCGGAAGAAAUCCAUAUAGUCUCUAGAGCUUUUUAAGGUAAUGUUCAGAACAUUUUUGUUGGUUUUAGCCUAGAAAUGAUAGAAAUUCCUUUGUGAAAUAGGCUUAUGUCUGAACGUUGUUAUUUUAAUGAAAUACAUCUUUGCAAUUACUUCUGAGCCAAUAUUUUCAUUCUUUGCGAAUAAGUCCAUAUUCUUUCACUCUUUUGGAUUUUCUUCCAAACCAUCAUUCAUUCAUUCAUAAUUAUGUGAUAUAAAUAAUUAUUCAUAAAUUUAUACAUUCUUUUGUAUAUUCUUCGGUGCUUAUUAUGGGUCCCCAGAUAUCAAUUACUUGAAUGACACUGCUAAAGACUCAGAUUUUCCUUUUGAGCAAGGCAUGUGUUCAGAGGGAUCUCAGGACUUUGGGAAUGACAUAGAUCUAGCUUAUCUCAGACUUGUUGAGGAUGAUAGAACAAGAGAACCGACAGAUCCUACCUCACAAGGAAUCAUUAGGAAUUGUGGGCUUAGUGAAGAUUAGAAUUGACCUGACCUCAAAGAUGAAACAAGACCUUGUUCAGAGAUGUCUUUGUAGGAUCAUGCCAGGAUAUGCCGGGUUAAGCGCAACAACACAAUGACAAAAUUUGCAGUGUGAAUGACGUAAUGGAAAUUCUUUGCCGGGGCAAUGCACUUCUUGUUAACUCAGUAUAGCUUUGCCCAUUUGAAUUCGAGUUUCUAUUUCUUCAAGUUUUGUUGGAUUUUAUCUUGAUUGAAGAGGAGGAUCCAAAAUUUUCUAUCGUAGUUUCGCCCCAGAAGGCUCUAUGAAAGAAACCUAAUACCAAAGAGGGUUUUUCGCAUAUAGGAUGAAAGUGGAAGAUCUUAUCGAAAGGGAUAUCAUAGGCUUGCCCAAUCCUAAGGGUUUAGAUUCAAAAAAAAAAUCAAAAUAAAAAAAAGAAAAAUCAAAGUCAAAAGUAAAAAAAAAAAGAAAUCAAUCAAAGUCAAAACAAAUAUGAAAAGAGAAAAAGAAAGAAAAGGAGAGGCCAAGGCGAAAACCCGCAAAGGGAACUUUGUGACCAAAGGUGGUUUUGAGUUGAAAACCCGAAAAAGGUGACUCAAAUUUUGAGUAAAUUGAGGCAUGGACAUCACAAUUAUCGAAGAUUUCUAAUGGGCAUUGCUUCACUAUUGAGAUCAUUAAUUACUUCAUCAAAUGGAUAGAGGCUACUGCAUACGUUAAUGUCAUCAUAUGCCGAUAUAGAAUUCCAGAUUGGAUGGUAUUGGAAAUUGCAUUGAACUUGAAUGACAGCACGACAGCUGAAGGCUGCAAUCAGUUCAAAAUCAGGCACCACGGUUUGCCACUGUAUUGCAAGAUGAUGAAGUUAAAAAAAAGAAUGAAAAAUGAAAAUGAAAAAUGAAAAAUGGAGAGGCUAAGGGAAAACCCGCAAAGGGCACCUUAGGCCAAGGGGAUUUGAGUUGAAAACCCGAAAAGGGCGGCUCAAAUAUUUGUUCAGAAUGGGGCAUGAGGCGAUCAGAGCGAUUUGAAUUUUGAUAAUAUUGGGGCAUGUGGUGAUCUUGCUAUGCCUGAAUCAACAGGAGAGGAUAGGCGACAUCUUGGGGCAUCGACAAAGCACUGUAGAUCCCCUAAACACAUGUCCAACUCAAAAUAGUCUUCAGAGAGUCUGUACAGAGAAGUUCAAGCUGCGAUAUCUAGGGCACCCAAUUCUCAUAUUAUUUGUUGUUCUUGGAAUACUUUUUUCUUUUCCAAGAUAUACAUUCCCAAUUGUCAUCCUUCUUUACUAUUUUCGAUAAUUUGUUCUUUCGAGCUAUGCUCAGAACCAACUUUAUUCUUAUCCAUUGUUAUAACCCUUUUUGUAAACAUGUUGCAUUGGAAUAAUAAUUAAUGGACUAAUAAAACUUUCACAAGGGAAGUUUUGCAUAUUACUUUGAAAAGUUUCUAAGAAAUAUAGGAACCUGAAACAGGACUAUUGUUUAGAACGCACCAGGUAAAGGUUGGAAAUUUGAGAGGGAAGAGUCUAAAUUUGGGCUUUCUCUUUGGAUUUCAUUGUUAAAUGCAUUGAUUGACAGGAUGCCAUGAUUGGUGACAAAGCUUAAGUAUACAAGCAAGCAAUUAUCACCAGGUAAGAGGAGGAGGUUACCUCGGAGAAGAGAGCCUUCAUCUGCGCAUAAGUCUUUGGUACGACACCUUGGGAAUGGUGUAAGGAACUAGAACGACUCGGAUCCUGUAUCCUUGAAUUAUGAUAAGGAAGGAUUGAGGAAAGGCCAUAUAUUUCUACGCUUGGAUUACAGUGGGAGAAUGAAGGUACAAAAUUUGUGUCCCAGUGGUUUACAGUGGGGGCAAUCUGACUAAGUGAUUCUUCAGAAAAGCCAAUCGAGCAAGAAGGUGUUGUAACAACGUCAGCCUAAAAAAAACUCAGAGUAAUGACAACCUAAGCGGGAUCGUUCUCGAAAAAAAUAAAAUUCCGCAUUCAUGCAAACGCCAUUCACACAUGUCUAGUUAGGAGCAUUUGAUUCAUUCUGAUCAUACCAUCCUAAUCAUUAGGCAUAAUUAGGUUCAUUAUACAGGUCAUGUUCCCCAGAGAACAGAUCAGUGAAUAUUGCGGAUCUUAUCUUCCCCAGGAGUAAGGAAAUAGAUCUAAGCACGAAUCUUAUCUUCCCCAGGAGUAGGGAAGCAGAUCUAAGCGGCGAAUCUUAUCGUCCCCAGGAGUAGGGAAACAAAUUUAAGCCACAAGUCUUAUGUCCCUGACCAACAGCGGAGUAGUUUGGAAAUUACAAGUCUUAUCUCCCUAAGCAGUAGUGGAGCAGACCGAAGAAGCAAAUUUUAUCUCCCUGAGGUUACAGUGGAGCAGAUCGAAAUCGAUAAUCCUAUCUCCCUGAAGUUGUAGUGGAGCGGAUUAAACAACAGAUCUUAUCUCCCUAAGCAGUAGUGGAGCAGAUCGCAUCAAGUUUUAUCUCCCUAAGUAGUAGUGGAGCAGAUGAAAAAAAAACCAAUCCUAUCUCCCUAAAAUUACAGUGGAGCGGAUUAAAACAAUAGAUCUUAUCCCCUUAAGCAGUAGUGGAGCAGAUCGCAUCGGGUCUUAUCUCCCUGAAGUUGCAGCGGAGCAGACUGAGCGAACAAGUCUUAUCUCCCUAAGCAGUAGUGAGCAGACGAAAAAACCAAUCAUAUCUUCCUGAAAUUGCAGUGGAGCGGAUUAAAACAAUAGAUCUUAUCUCCCUAAGCAAUAGUGGAGUAGAUCGCAUCAGGUCUUAUCUCCCUGAAGUUGCAGCGGAGCAGACUGAGAAAACAAGUCUUAUCUCCCUAAGCAGUAGUGGAGCAGACGGAAAAAAAACCAAUCCUAUCUCCCUGAGAUUGCAAUGGAACGGAUUAAAACCACAGAUCUUAUCUCCCUAAGCAAUAGUGGAGCAGAUCGCAACAAGUCUUUUCCCCCUGAAAUCACAGUGGGGCAGACUGAAGAAGCAAAUCUUAUCUCCCUGAGGUUGUAGUGGAGUAGAUUGAAUUCGAUAAUCCUACCUCCCUGAAGUUGUAGUGGAGCGGAUUAAAGUAAUGGAUCUUAUCUUUCUGAAGUUACAGUAGAGUAGAUCGCAUCAGAUUGAAGUCAGAAAUCUUAUCUCCCUGAGAUUACAGCGGAGUAGAUUGAAACUAGUAAUCCUAUCUCCCUUAGUUUACAGUGGAACGGAUUAAAAUAAAGGAUCUUAUCUCUCUGAAGUUACAGUAGAGUAGAUCGCAUCAGGAAUUAUCUCCAUGAGAUCACGGUGGAAUAGACCGAAGAAUUUUAGAUCUUACUUCCUAGAUAAUACAGUGGAACAGAUUAAAGCCACAGCAGCGAAUCUUGCUUCCCUGACAUCACAGUUAUGAGUUACAAAUCUGAUCUCCCCGACGUUGGGGUGGAGUGGAUCAAGGCACCGAUUCCUAUACCUCUAAAGAUGCAGUAGGAUGGAAUGAGGUAACUCGAAGAAGAAGAACACUAGGGUUCAGCACGACCGGGCAAAAUUGGUCCUCUUUAGUCUUUGCUCUAUUCUCGUUACACGACAAUGAGCAAAGAGGGGCAGCUGUAAUAGGCCCAAUUUGCCCGGGCCCGAUAAAUAAAUAAAACCAAUAAAAUCAAAUAAAAAAUAGUCCCAAAACAGUCCAUUUACAAUGACCCAAUACCAACCCAAUAGCCUAAACCUCUACCCAAGCCCGAAUCUAAACCUAAACAGGCCCAAAACCCACUAAACCUAAUGGCCCAAUACCCAGCCUGGCUGAGACAAACCUUAGCCUUCAGCAGCUUUCAGCUCUUGCGCUGCAGCCAAGCCGCUCCUCACGUACGAGCCUCCAUUCAUGCGCCGCGCCGAGCAACGCCAUCGCCAGGGACCACGCCUGUACUGUGCCAUGCGAGCCUCCGUACAUGCGCGCCCGUUCACCUCUGUACCAGUACCUGCAAAUACACACAAGAAGCAGCGAAGCAACAAAAAAAAAGAAAAUAGCAGUAGAAAAUAGGGGAUUUUCAGUUUUUAUUUGAUUUUUCUGGCUAUAAAAGCCAAACACGCAGAUUGUAUCAAAGGGGGGAACUUACGCAUAUUGCAAAAAAUCAAUAUAAAAAAAAAGGUUUUCUCUUCCUUCUGGUCUCUUUUCUUCUCCAAUUGUUUCUUUUCUUUUUCGUUUGUUAUUAGCCUUAUAUAAGCAUAGAUAUAUAUAGAGUAAAUAAUAACAAAAAGGGGGGGUUAAAACGUACCUGGUGAUGCCUUUGAAUCCACGCGAAGAAGCCAAAAAGCCUUGAAUGGUGAGGCUCCGACCACUAUUCGCAGUGGAAUCAAGGCGGAGGGGCGGACUGACGGCACUGAAGACUAGGGUGAAACCCUAGCAGAGGAAACAAUAAGCAAUUUUUUUUAAAAACGAGUCUGCUAAUGUUUUUUUAGGGUAAAUUUUGUUUAAAUAAUGAUACAAUACGGAGCCGUUUUGGGCUAGGGUUCCUAGCGCCCAAACGACAUCGUUUAGAGGCCUUACCCAAUGACCCGAUCCAGAUGGCGGCUAGAUCCGCGUGUUUGGUAGGAGGAGGGGAAAUUUCGCGAAGAGUCCCUCUUGUUUUGUGCCGUUUCGGUUUGAUUUUCUUCAUUGUUUUUAAUUUGAAUCGCGUAUUUUAUUUUGUUUUCAAUUUGAUCCAUAGUUAAACGGCACCGUUUUCACUAAUCGGAUUUGAGCAUCCGAACAUUUGUGUUUAUUUUCUGUUUUAGUCCUCUCUGUUAUUUUUUAUUAUGAUUUUUACCCUCCUAUUUUAUUUUCACCCUAAUUUAGUCCCGAAACUGUUAGAUUUCACUUUAUUUAUGCAAUGUAUAUAUUUAUUUAUUUUAAACUUUAUAUUAUUUAUUUUAAAUCGUUCUAUUACUAUUUAUUUUAAGCCUUUUUUACAUAUUAUAUGUUUUAAAUUAUGUUAAUCAAUUAUUCAUUUUAAAUAUAUAUUAUUUAUGUUAAACUACAAAUGUAUAUUAUUUAUUUGGAAUUGUUCUUAUGCACAUCAUGCAUUAUCAUUUUUAAAAAAAUAAUAAUAAUAGAAUUUGUUUGCAUAUUGUUCAUUUAGGAUUCCUUCUCACACAUUACUUAUUUUAAACGUUUUACAUAUUAUUUUAAAUUGUUUUAUAUGUUUUUUUUUAAAUGCUUUGAAGAUUAUUCAUUUUAACUUGUUUUACACAUUAUUUUAAUAUGUAUGGAAUUGCUUUAAUAUAUAUAUACGUGAAUAAAACGUAUUGUAACUGGUAAUUUCUAAAAUUUUAUUCUACGUUUUAAAAUUUUUAUCAUUUCGAUUAUGUUGAUUGGUUUACUUGGGAUUAAAUUAUUAUUGCAUUGAUUAUUCUUUUUUUUUGAUUUUUUUGUUAGAUUGAUUAUUAGUUUAUUUGAUUAUCAAUGUUGAUGUAUUAUAUGUUUGGUUGCUCCAAAUUGUAAAUUUAGCUUGCUAUUCACCAUUUGAUUAGUAUAUUGAUAUUUUAUUAUAUUGUUUGUAAAAAUUGCAUUUCAUUAAAGCAUUACAAUUGUUUUAUUUCAAAAUUCUCAAAAAGCUUGGUAUUUAAAAAUUCUCGAGAGGAUUGUGCCCUAACUUACUGGGCUUCAAUCCUCCCUUUUUGAUUCUAAAUAACCGAAUACCUUUUUUUAAUUUGAACAUAGAAGUUUCAAAAUAAAAGCUCAUUCUCGGGAAUUUGACACGUUGUGUCCUAACGCAUUGAAUAUGACUAUUAUUUUCUCGAGAUGAGGAUUUUAAGGCAAUGUUCGAUAUUUAGGAAUUUUGUGAAAUCGAACCCUAACUUACUGGGUUUUGAUUUUCUCAUUUGACCCAGAUAAUCGGACAUCCUCCUCAAAAUGCAUAGGUUUUAAAAGACGAGAGAUAAACUUAACUUGGAGGACUUAAAAUGUUGCACUCUAACUUACUAAGUGUGACGAUUUAUUUCUUUGAAAUAAGUGAGUCUCGUCGUCCAAUUCAUUUUAUUCAAAAUAAAAGGAUCAAAUUUUAAAAUCUUUUCAAAAUUUUGACAUUAAGACAUUAAACAUUCCAAUCGGUACCAAUUUUGGGCGUCACGAGGGUGCUAACCCUUCCUCGUGCGUAACCAACUCCCGAACCCGUUUUCUCAAAAAUUCGCAGACCUAAAAUUAUUUUCAAGGUGAUCCGCACACCACAAUAAAAGAUCGGUGGCGACUCCAUUUCCAUUUUCAAAAUUGAUCCCCAUUUUUCAAAUUACAAAAAAAUGGCUUCGACACAUAUAACUUCUCUUUAAUAAUUCACUAUUCUUUGAACAUUCAUUAGUUUUUGAAACAUAAAAUUUAUAAAUAAUUAUUUUUAGGGUAAACUACACCCAUGGUCACUUUUGUUUACCUUAGGUUACAUUUCAGUCACUUAUGUUUGAAAUGUUACGUUUUAGUCACUUAAGUUAUUGUGUUGUAACAUUUUAGUCACUGAGCCGUUAGUUGUCGUUAAUGGCUGACGUGGCACGUUAAAUUAUCAUUUCAAACAAAAACUUUAGGUUAAAUUAUACAAUUGGUUUCCAUAAUUUUUCGUUUUGAGCAAUUUAAUUCUUUUAUGCUCUUUAACUUUCUUUCUUUUUUUUUUUCUUUAUUUUCCAUUCUCUUCUGCUUCUCCCUGUUUUCCUACAUUCUUUAUUUCUUUUAACAUAUCAGGAAGUCGAAUUGGUAGUGAAGAAAGAAGCAUGGUAUGGGUUUAUGGGUUUUGGUUAUGGGCAAAUGAUGACAGUCGACUUCCUACUUCUUUUUUCACUGUCAAUUCGACUUCCUAAUAUGUUAAAAGAAAUGGGAAAAGUAUGAAAACAGAGAGAGAAACAAAAGAGAAUGGAAAAAAAGAGGAAAGUUUAAAGAACAUAAAAGAAAAAAAUUAAAUUACUUAAAACGAAAAAAAUAUGGGGAUCAAUUGUAUAAUUUAACCUAAAAUUUUGUUUGAAAUGAUGAUUUAACGUGCCACGUCAGCUUACCGUUACACCAUUAACGACGAUUAAUCGCUCAGUGACUAAAAUUUUACAACAUGAUAACAUAAAUGACUAAAACGUAACAUUUUAAACAUAAGUGACUAAAACGUAACCUAAGGUAAAUAAAAGUGACCAUGGGUGUAGUUUACCCUUAUUUUUAAUAUGACUUGAUUUUUACUUGAAUCAUUUUUGUAAUUAGUUAAUUAAAUUGGGUUAUUUUAAAAAAAAUCCUCUUAACUAAUAGCCAAAAAAAAGCCAUCAUGUAGAAAAUUCUGGUUUGUUGGAAAAAUAAAGACUUGACCUAUUACUCUAGAUUUUGAAAUGUUCAACUUGAUAUUGACAUAUGAUAAUAUGUACAAAUUUCUCAUUCUUUUAAAUUUUAGUGAUAUUACAUGUAUGAUAAUAUGUUUGCCACACCAAAUUUGAAAAUAGUAGAACUUAAUGAAUUUAACAGAUAUCUAAAAUAUCAAAUUAAAGUCUAGGAAUUAAAUCUACAACAUCAGUAAAGUACAAUAACUAUGGUAGAAUUAAACCUUUAUAUAAUAAUUUCCUUCUAUGAACCACAAUUCAAGUGCACCCGACAAGCUAAUUAAUAAAAAUUUAGUGGUAGAAUAUGUAUAUUCUUGUGGGUGGAAAUUUAGUGGAGAUGCCCAUCAUCUUUCCUAAUUAAUAAAAAUGAAGACUUAGAAAAUGUGCAAUCAUAAUCCUAGUUGUCGUUAUGGCCCCAAGAAUAGGUAUAUUAAUUUGUCUCUCUUCAGGAUCAAAGAUAAAUAAUAAAUUUUAUAAAGUUAAAACCAUAAUUCUAUAAUUAUAUUAAUAUAUAAUUUCAUAAAAUUUUAAAAAAUGUAUCUUUCAACUUUUUUAAGUAAAUUGAUAAUUCGUUAACUCAUAAUAUAUAUUUUUUUCAAAAUAUUUAUGAGAACGAGUUCGUAUUCUAUUGUGUGGAAAAUUUUAGUACAGAUAUUGGUGAAGCCAAAUCCAACUUGUUUGACCAAGAAAGUCUCUGUCGUGUGGAAAAUUUUAGUUUUGUGGAAAAUGGACAUUACCAUUUCCUUGAAUGACCAUCAAUUUCUCCAUUGAGAUAUAGUAAGAGGGAGUGAAAUAUAUAUAAGGUAAUAUUUAAUGUAUUCACACCAAAUUUCAUUAAUGAGUAAAACAAAUAAUGAAUAAUAAUGAAAAUUGGAGGAAAUUGUUAAGAAAAUAUCAUUACAUAUAUCAACACUCACAUAAUUCAUUGUAUUAACUUUCAAAUGUUGACUAUUGACUUCUACAUCAACCUUGAGCUUAUAUAGGCCCCCCUCACGGAAAUAAUCUCACAAUUAAUGCCUAGAGGUGCUUAUGGGCCGGGCCGGGCCCAGAAAAAAUUUUGGCCCGGGCCCGGCUCGGCCCGAAAUAUGGGCCUGAACUUUUGCCCAAGCCCGGCCCGGUAAAAAAUUCAUAAGCCCGAGCCCAGCCCUUUUUUUAAAAAAAUACCAAAAAUUUAUUUUAAAAUUAAAAAAAUUUAAAAAAAAGUAUUUUAAAAAUAUUUUAAAUAAAUACCAAAAAUUCACCCUGCAUCUAAAAGGAGGUCCAGCACUCGAAUCCCAUUCCCCAUAACUAAAAACUAUGUCACUGUGACUUGGUCAUAUCUCCGCUCAAAGUCGGACAUGGGUAGUUAAAGAAAAAUGAAGAGUCGAUGCAUGAUAGACUAAGGACUAGCUCAAAAGUGCUUUUAGAAAAAAUUGCUCUUGAAAAGAGGUGUGGAAAAGUGUGCUUGUUAGUUUUUAGUGUUGUUCAUUGCUGCCAAAAAUCGCAAUUGAAAGUUAAAAUGUUCUUUUUAGACAUGAUAGUAGAAAGUAAAAAAUUAGUCAAGUCAUAUGAUUUUUAAAUAAUUUAAUAUAAUGAUACAUGAAAUAUAACUUUUAAAUACCUUUUAAGUAAUUAAUAUAAAUUAGUUGUAAAAUUGAUAAUAUAUAAAAUAUUUUGAAAAAAAUAAAUAUAAUAAUAAAUAAGAUUUAAACAAUUUAAUAUAAUAAUAUAUAAAAUAUAAAUUAAUCUAAUUUUUAUAUACCUUUUAAAUAGUUAAUGAAAAUAAUAGUAUUUUGAUAAUUUUCCCUUUGAAAUGCAAAAGCCAAAAACAGUUUUUGACUACAAAAGCUAUGUGUUGUUCAUCACUUCUGCAGUGGAAAAACACUUCUCCAUGGUGUAAAAACACUUUUACCCAAAAAGGCUUUUUCACCACAGUAGAGAAUGCACCCUAAAAUUGUAAAUAGAAAAAGGAAGAACCAAACAUUGUUUCUACCCUGUUUUUGUCUCCUCUUUGAAAAUACUUUCCAAAAGUUUUAUCAUUUUUUUUUCUGUUUACGAUGCCUUAAAUGCAAAUUCCUUAUAGAAGUGCUUUCUUUUGAUCCACUUGCAUCAUUGUAAUAAGUUUGCAUUGCCUUCUUUCUAUGUUGAUUAUCGUUUAUUAAGUUUUCUGUUGGAUCUUAUAGUCAAAUUCCUUUACAUCAUGUAUGUUAAUUUGCUUAGCCCUGAUAAAUGUUAGAUAUAGGGUUAUCAGCUAAUUAGGAAAGACUGUAAUGAUAGUCACACCUUACAUCCAAAUUUUUACAUUGAGGUUCCUUAUUAUUUUUUCUUGUUUCACCAAUUGCAUCCUAUUUACAGUUCCUUAGCGUUAUCCACUGUGCUAGGGUGGUUCUUGUUCAUAUAUUAAUCACCAUGCGCCUUCAGCAAAUGCAAAGCCAGCCAGCAUCUUCUGAUUUGUCAUUGGAUACUACACUUUCAGCAAAUGUAAAGCCGCCAGAAUUUCAGCUGUUUUUAGAAGGUCAAGACACAACAAGAGCAACAUAUGUUGUAUUCUUGUCAAACAAGAUAAGUUUUCGCAUAUUAACGAUUCUUUUUCCAAGAUGAAUUAUUCUCCUGUUGCAUUUUUAUUUGGGUUCAAAUGUUCUGUGAAGUUAGCUUGCCAGUGCUUGUUUGUUCAUCAGCAUUUACAGCUCAUUUGUCAUUGGUCAGCAGAAUUUCCGCUGUUUUUAGAAGGUCAAGACACAACAAGAUCAGCAUAUGUUGUAUCUAACAUUUAUAUUCAACAACUGGAAACCAUGUCAUAAAUACAUAUGAGAAAUAUUUAAAAAUCCUUGGUUGAAUACUCGUGCACUAACAUUUUUUAAAAGUUAAUUUUGUGUUUCUUUUUUCAUCUCUUUUAUUAUAAAAUUUCCUGAUUUACUUGAUAUCACCACUUAAUUUAGCAUUAAAAAAAUGAAAUAUUUUUAUAAAAACUAUUUAUUUCUACUAAACCACUACUUUAAAACUAUCCAUUAUCAUACAACUUCUCUUUAAUAAUUCACUAUUCUUUCAACAUUCAUUAGUUUUUCAAACAUAAAAUUUAUAAAUAAUUAUUUUUACCUACAUUUUGAAUGAUGCAAUUUCUAGCUAUACACUAAAAUACUCCAUUUAUCAAUUUAAUUUAAUUCAAAGAAUUAUGAUAAUAAUUGAAAUUUCAAAAAAGAAAAACAACUAAAUAAUUGAAUAUUUAUAUACAAAAAUAAAACAAACAAGACAGACUUAAGCUUUCUUACCCCAAAGACAAGAUCUUUAUUCAAAAUGCAAAACUAGCAAAAUACUCCCUAAAAUUCAUCUAAACACAUCUUCUAAAGAUGUAAUACCCAAGAAGAUUGCCCACAGUUGAGUAACGGCAACUGCUGAUGCACUUCCCGACGAAAGAAAACCAAACUCCUCGCCAAUGUGGAUUUAUGUAAAGGAUAACAACAAUUGUUAACAACAUAACUACAUAAGAAGCCAAAAAGCUCACACAAAAAACAUAUGUGUCUAGAAAACUAUCUUCUCUUUCAUCAUCUGAUAUUGUUGAUGUUGAACCGGUUUUGGAGCAACUUAUAUGAAGCAUAGGUCCACAGAGAAAAGGGUUCCCCUCGUAACUGCUUUCAAUGAAAGUCCCAAAUUGGUUUUGUUCUGGAAUACUACCUGACAAGUUGUUGUGUGCAACACUGAAAACCCCCAGAGAGUUCAACUCUACCAGCUGGUUUGGGAUUUCACCACUCAAGUUGUUGUAAGAAAGAUCCAAACUCUCAAUCUGCUUAAGUUUUGAGAAUGAUGAGGGUAUAACUCCGACCAACUUAUUGUGUGACAAGUUCAAAGAAUGGAUUUCAUGCAAGUUCCCUAAUUCAAGUGGGAUUUGACCGGUUAACUCAUUGCAAGAUAAAUCAAUCCCAGACAUGUACUCAAGGAUGUCGCCUCCAUAUGAGUAGGAUCCACUCUUUGUGGUAAACUCUACCGAUUCUUUCAUGUAGCUAUAGGAAUGCAUCAUGUGCUCGAAAAGUAUACCCGUCUUUAAUAGUUUCAAUUCAUCCAGUUCUGAAAAUGUUGGCGACAUUAAAUCUGGUGUCAUGGUCUUAUCCUUAUUCAUUGGAAGAGUUAAAUUUCCCAAACAAGAAGGUAUAGGACCGGAAAACCUAUUUUGAGAAAGAUCUAUAAUGCUCAAGGAAUACAAGGUGCAUAACUGGACUGGAAUUCUUCCCUGUAAAUGAUUAGCUUUCAAGAGAAGGACACUCAAAGAAGAAAGUGUGUCGAUCCAUUUUGGAAUACCACCAGUAAAAUUGUUUCCUCUAAGAUCUAAUGUCACUAGUGAAGUGCUUUUAUUAAAAGCAAGUGACAAUGGACCACCCAGUCUAUUAUUGUGCAGGUGGACAUACUCUAGGUUUGGAGGAUUAAAACAAGAUGGUAUAGAGCCAGAUAAAUUAUUUUCAGAAAGAUCCAAAAAUUUGAAGUUAUUCAAGUUGCAAAAUUCCACUGGAAUAGAACCCUCGACACCAUUGUUAGACAAGUCUAAUCUCUCCAAAAGUGACAUAUUCCCUAUCCAUCUUGGAAGCUUUCCAUGCAAUCUGUUGUUACUGAGAUCAAUAUCUGUUAGUGAUGUUGGAAACUGAAAAGUAGAGACAUCAAAAUUUGUCAUCUCUCCAGAAAAAUUAUUUCCAUCCAAAUAUAAUUUUUGUAACCCAUUUGCAUUGAGAAUCACAGGAACUACAUUUCCAUUGAGGUUGUUGUUUGACAGUCUCAAAAGAAAUAGUGAGCUUUUCCUGACCAACUCUUGAGGUACUUUUCCAGCCAAUUGAUUGUUUGAUAGAUCUAACAUUGACAAAUUCUUCAUGGCGCUUAAACAAGGAGGGAUAUUGCCUUGAAAGGCAUUCUUGGAUAAGAAUAACUGCUCCAAAUGUGGAAAAGUUGAACAUAUAUUGGUUGGAAGCGGACCUUGUAUUUUGUUGUCAGACAUGUCGAUUGAAGAUACAUUUGAAUUAGGAGUCGACAGUAAUGUGAGAGGACCUGUAAAAGAAUUACCCUUCAAGAUGAGAUCUUCUAACUUUGUGUUGUUUUCUAACAACCAAAAUGGGACAGUUCCACUGAAUUUGUUCUGAGAAAGAUCCACAAAUCUCAAGUCAUUUUGGUAGUAAAGGAAGGUAGGAAGUUCAAGACUGAGUUGUUGAGAUGUUCUGCACUUGGACAAACUAAUGAAUUUCAAUUGGAAUUUCGGGACUAAGGUGUGGAAGGAAGGUUCCAUUUCCAACUUGUUUUCAUCAGCCAAGAGGACCUCAAGGUUUGGAAAGUUUGCAAGUGGUACGAAUGAAAUUGGAAUUUGAAAAUGAUUACUUGAAAGAGAAAUGGCUCUGAGUGAUGUAAGACUUGCUAAAGGAGUUAGAUUUCCGGAAAAUCGAUUGUUGGAGAUAUCUAACUCACGAAGAGAUGUCAAGUUACUGAAACAAUGAGGAAGCAUCCCCUCAAGUGCAUUCCAACUCACAUCCAACACUUCAAGGUUCCUUAGAUCACACCAUCCUGAAAAAUUUAUGAAAUCAUGGAAGAAUUUCUAAUUAAAUUUGGUUUUCUAAAACAGAAUAGGAGAAAUCAGAUAAAGAAAAGGUCGUAUAGAAAAUUUUACCGUGAUCAGGUAAGGAACCAAUAAGUGCACACCUAUAUAGAGACAAAGUUUGAAGAGAAGUGAAUACUCCAAUGCUUUGCAAAAUGUUGAUGUUGAGACGAGAAUAAUCGAGAUUUAUUUCCUCCAAGUUGCUUAAUUCUAAUCAAUGAAAAGAGGUAGUAGGUGUUAAUGAAACGUAAGUUGUUUUGGAAUAGAAGAAGUAUUAGAUGUUAAUCAAGAAAAGGUGUUUACCUGAUGAGAAAGCCUCUACUAAGUUUUCUAGCGGAAUGCUAUCGUCGGUGACAAUACUUUGGAGACGAAGAACUUUUAACUUUUUCAAUCCCUUGUUUUCUGUGAGCCAAAAUAUUUUGAUAAAAAUUGUGAAAACUUCAACAUGAUUGCACUAAUUGUUUUUCUUUUCUUUCUAGCAUUUUAAGAUAAAUAAUGUGUAAAAUAGAAUUUUCCUUUAUUGAGAUCAUUAUAUUACUUUAAAUUUAUCACCACUAAAUAGAAAAUUAUUAUUAAAUCAAAGUUUUAAAUUUAUUAUUACUUAAAUGUUGUUUAUGCUGGGUGAUUUUGAUGAGAAUAAUUUAUUAUAUAAAAAUAAAAGUAUAUUUCUUAAAGUAAAAUAAGAGAAAUAUUUUAAAUUUUUUUGAAAGUGUUUAUAUACAUAUUACACUUAAUCACUCUUUUGAAAAUUCUAAUUACUCUUUUAAAUUUUAUGUUAAUUUUAAAAAGUAUAUAUAAUUUCAACAGAAAUAUUACUUUAAUAUUAAAAUGAAGAGCUUUUGUGGGUAAAAAAAAUUAUAUGAGUUUAUUUAAUUACAAAAAUAAUUUAAGAAUUUAUUUAAAAAAUAUGUAGUAGUUUUAGGCUCGAUCCUAGGGGUUAUUUGAGAGUGCGGUCGCCCAGGGCUGGAAGGGGCCCAAUUUUUUUUUCAGAUUUUAAUAUGGGAAAAUAUUCAGACUAAAAUAAAUAAAUAAAUUGCCUAGAGCUUUCAAAUUUUCACCAUAAAUACUUCAUCUCUUAUGGCUAAAAAAUUUUCAGCUUUUAUUGUAUUACAUUUUAUAAUAUUUUUAAAAAGACUCGUUUAAAGACUUUUUUAAGUAUAUUAACCUAUUUUAAAAUUCCACAUUUUUAAAAUGUCUUAAUUUUCAAAUUAAAGUACAAACACACUAUAAUCCACAAGCCUUAAUUGCCAUGUCAACAUAAACCACCAUUUAGAAGAUUGUUUUCAUUUUUUAAAAAAUAAAAAAAAAUUAUUUAAAUGAUACCUUUGUGGACCACAAAGCCUCUCAAUUGAUUCCCACUCAUAUCUAGUUUCUGUAAGUUAGUAAAUGCAUCCAAAUCUGGGAAAGAAACAGAUAAGCUUCAUUAAAUCAUUCCAAAACAUGAUUAAUAUUUUUGUCUAUAGAGGCAUAAUUUGUCAAAAAAUAAUAAUUUUACCUUUCAUAUCUAUUAAUCCAUUCAAUUGAUUGAAACCUAUGCUCAAAGAUUUCAGAUUUGAAAGCUUGUUUAGAGUUGCAAAUACACUGUUAUUGAAGAGAUUUGCUUCUAAAUUAAGCUCUUCUAAAUGGGUUAACUCCAAUUUCUUACCUUCAUCUACAAAAGAUUUAACGUAAUUUCAUCAAUGAAAAAAAUGAUAUAAAUUUAAUUAUGUGUAAUAAAUUAUUUAACUGAACCCUAAAUUGUGGGUUAAUGGUUCAAGUGUUCGAAUUAUCAUUGUGUAAAAAAAACAAACUUAAUUAACGGACCAAAAUAUAAAUACAUACCUUUGAAGGAUUGAAAGUUUACCAUUUGAUUCCACCUUAAAUCCAACGUCUUCAAAAUUUUCAAAUUAUUCAAUCCUAUAUAUACUCAAGUUGAACAAAUAUUUUAAUAAAUUGGCUGAAGUGAAAAGGGUAAAAGUAAGGAAGUUGAAAAAUCCCCAAAAGUGAAAGUACUAAUUUGAAACAAAUAAUUAUAAAGGGUCCUACAUAAGUAAGGACUUUAUGCUUGAAAGCCUUCAAGGAAGGAAAAUGUGUGGUUUCCAUGGGAUCUAAUUAUAAUCCUUGUUUGCUGGAUUCCAACUUUUUUAUUUGGCCAACAAAAAAUAAAUAAAUAAUAUAAAAAAAUUGUGAUUACUAAGGCUUCAACCUUGAAGUUUAAAUAGAAUUAUUCAAUCCCAAAAAUUGACCAAAAAUUUCCCUCAAACAAAACUUAACUUUAAAGUAGAAACAAAACCAGAGAAAGGCAAUCUACCUUGAAUAUGAGGCCACUUUCCUUCUAAUAGGUUGUAAGCUAGAUUUAAAUAUUGGAGAGAUGAAAAUUGGCUCAAAGAUAAUAUAAAGCUAUCAUUCAGAUGAUUUUGACUUAAGUCAAGGAACUGCAGAUUUCUGAAUGUGGAUGAUAGCUUUUCAAAACCUGCAGAGUUAAUAAUAACAAGUAAUCGCAAAAUUAACAGUAAGUUGUGUUGAAAAUAUGUGUACAUAAUAGAGUAACUAAAGAUGAAAUGAAGGGCAAAUCAAAUAUAGAACCUUCAUUUUCAACACAACCGGCUAUGCCACUCCCUGUCAAAUAAAGCCUCUUUAAUUCCUUGAAGGGAAGAAACAAAGAGGCAUUCAGAUACCAAUAAUCCAAGUAUCCGGACCUCAUAGAAUCAAGAGAGAGUCCAAUGAGUCUCCCAGUGGUGGUGUUGCACUCAAUCCCUUUCCAUUUACAACAAUCUGAACCUUUAACCUCGUCCCAGCUGUCGAACUCAUUAUAGUGAUUGAAGAAAGGUUUGAGUUGCAAGAGAGCAACUCUCUCAUGCUCCACACAAGCAUCAAUAGUGCACCACCUGCAUCCUUCUAACAGUAGCAGCACACUCAUCACUGCCAUCCUCAUAAACCACAACCAUUUGGAGUCCAUCAUCUCUCUGUUUUUGCUUCUCUCUCAAUUGUAUGCUACUUCAAACUUCUAUUGCAUAAGCCUUCAUGAAACUUGUUAUUUAAAGACAAGGACCUAAGGCUGAAGGCAACCCACUAGUCCACGCUGAAAUAGUCCACUGAAUGUGACGAUAUAUAGGCCCUACAAAGUGUGGUUGUGGAAAUAAUCUAAACACCUAUCCUCCAAAUUAAUACUAUUCCUUGAGAAAUUAUUAAAGGUCAAUUUCUGGUUUUAGUCCCUACGCUAAAUUCAUUUUGAAGGUUUAGUUUUUAUAUAAUUUAAGAUCAAAUUUUUAUAAUUAAAUUAUCAUUUACGUCUGCUUUAAAAUUAUGAAAAAAAUAUUUUAAAAAUAUAACGAACUCCAGCUACAGCUUCAAAAUAUGAUGAAGAUGUUUUAGUAGAAUAAAUCGCAGAAUCCGCCAUCUUUGACUUUUGUUUUCUUAUUGUGAGAAUAUCUUAACAUUAUAACUUUUGAAUAUAUUUUGUUAUUUCAGUUAUUAAUUUAGAUCAUAUACAAAUUUCUUUCGUGAUAGUCUCAUUUAGAUUUGAAGUUUGUUGUUGGAUUUGAAGUUACAGGAAAAUAUGUUGAAAAUUUGGGUUUAAUAUUAAAUAAAAUGGGUUGGUAAAAUCUAUUAAUGUUAGUGGCGUUUUCCCACAAAUGCCACUAUAGAACAUGAUCUUUAGCUGCGCUUUUACUACAAACAUUGCUAAAAAACAUGAUUUUUUGUGGUACUUCUAGCUAUAAAUGCCACAACAUGCUUGACUCUUUUAUAGUGUUUUUCCAAAUGAACGCCGCAAAUUUUAGCGGCGCUAUCUAAAGCGACUUUUUACUGGCACUUAUCAAAGCGCCGCAAUCUGUUUUAGCGGCACUUAUAAGCACCGCCAUAGGGCCAAAAAAACACCGCUAAAAACCUAUUUUGCUGUAGUGAUUUACGCAUUUAUAAGCCUACAAAAUAAUCACGGAUUCAAUUUUAGAGUCCGUUAUCAGCCCCUAAUCGGGACAUCAAAUUGACCAAAAAGGGCCCACAUGACCUACCUGUUCAACUUGCGUAAUUGCACACGCCUAAGUGCUCCACACGGCCUGGCACACGGCCAACUACACAUCAAUGUGGUGCACAUGAACUUGUGACGCAGAGUAGCUUUGAAAAUUGUAACCUCCCAAACCCGGCCUAGAUGUUAUGACUAGAUUGAGAAGGCUACAAUAGCCACCGAAAUGGCUAAGCUAACUUACGUUACUUUUGAAGACCUUAAAUAAACUCAUUUUAGAGAAAACCGUAGUUGUACUUUGAGUUAGCUUAAAAGCAUUCAUUCAUUAGGUCGUGUAUACUUAGGAUUCAUUUUAUUGUUGAUAGUGUUGUUUUACAAAAAUAGUUUGCUUAUCGCUCUUCUUUUAAAAAAAACUCGAUGGUAAACUAAUGUGCGGAAAAACCAUUUUUCAAGUCAUUUUGGAAACUUAGUUGCCUUAACGAUUUGUUUUUCAGAAACAAUUCCUUUUUAAUGCAGCGGAAACUAGGGAACAAUAUCAAAUUUUACUUAAGCUCGAUAUCAUGCAUUAUUCAGUUAUUAUGCUUGAGUAAUCCAUGCAUGCAAAAAUCCCAAAAGAAAAGUUACUAAGCCACAAACCACAAGUCAUUAAAAAUUACAAACCAAAACUAAUAGAAUCUGAUUAAUACUUUUUAAAAAUAGUCCGAGGUCCAAGGUGAUUCUUCGAAUGCCAAGUCCGAUCCUAAUUUUGAGGUUUACACAUUCAUUUGACAUACUCAGCACGUCCUCAAUAAUCACAUACUUUUAGUAAAUGAAAACAAUGUUCCAAACUUUCAAAUUACCAUUGUGUUGGUAUUAAUCAAUAUCGUUCAAUUUCGCAUACUUUAUGAAUUUUGAUUAUGCAUAAAUAGCACCCUAUACAACAUAUAUGUAUAUAAUAUAUGCCAAGAAAAUUUAGAAAUACAAUAAAUCAACCUAAAUGAAAUCAUUCAUCAUCAUUUUUCAAGAUUUUAAAUUAUAUUUUCUCAUUCCCAUUGUCAGUGUAUUUCAACUUGUAAACAAAGAUGAUGGCUACUAUAAAUGGAAUCAUUGAUAUAUCAUGAUAUUUGAAUUUGACAACUAUUUUUAUACAUUUUAUUACCAAAAGUAAGGGUAUUAAUUUUUUAAUGUUUAAUUGUGGUUUAGAGUUAAUUUAUUUAAAGUUAAUUGUUAAUAUUAUUAAAUUCAAAUUUUCGUAAUUGUAUUAAUAAAAUAAAUUUAGUGUUAAAAGUGAGUUUAUUCAAUUUUAUAUUUAAUUUGUUAAAUGUAAUCUAAUGAUUUUUUUGUGCUCUAGUGUUGAUUUAAUUAAAGUUAAUUAUUAAUAUUAUUAGGUAACUAUGAGUUCUCAUCAAAUUAAUCCUAAAAUUCAAAUUAAAUGCUAAAAAAUUAACAUUAUUACUUUUAAAUAUCAAAAUGUAUAAAUUUUAUUAAAUAUAGAUACUAAAUCAAACAAAAAUUAUAAAUUUUGAGUCGUUGCAAAUUUUUCCAACAUUUUUGGGGUCUUGAAUUUGAUAUGCAAAAAGUUGGUGGGAAUUUUAAGUCAGCAAAUCCUUUAAAAGGGCAAUGACAUAAUUAAUUGCAUUACUUUAAUGGUUGAAUUUUCAUAGCUAAUAUGUAUGCAAAAAGUUGGUGUGAAUUUUAAGUCAGCAAAUCCUUUAAAAGGACAAUGACAUAAUUAAUUGCAUUACUUUUCAAAGAUCGACUACUGACUUUGGUGAACUUAUUUAUAGAAGGUUAAAUUCUGCUGUUGGUCACUGUACUUUACGAAAGUUGUGAAUUUAGUCUCUAAACUUAAAUUUGAUCAAUUUUAGUCUCUAUACCUUUUGAAUUUUGAAAUUUUAGUUCUAACCCAAACAGUAGCAGUUAUCAAUUUGAUUAAAUUCUAUUACUAUCGAUUUAGUCCAAACUUUCUGAAUUUUGAAAUUUUAGUCUUGAUGCAAAUGACAAUCACUGGUCUAUUAAUUGGAUUUUUAGUAAAUAAUAUGUGAAAAUAACAAGUUUGUUGACACCAUUUUUUUGAUAAAAAUGGGGUCGACUUAGAUUUUGAAAAUAAAAACGAAAAUGGGAGUCGCCACCGAUCCUUUUUGAUAAGGUGUGAUCGGGUCACCUCAAAAAGUGAUUGUUUUUAAUAAGCGAUUUGAUUUUAUUAAAACAACGAUUUUAGUCCACGAAAUUUAAAAAAAUGGGUUCGGGAGUCGGUUACGUUCAAGGAAGGAUUAGCACCCUCGUAACGCCCAAAAUUGGUACCUAGUUGAUUAAUUAAUAUCUUAAUGUCGAGAAUUGAAAACUCGAAAAGAAUUUAAAAUACGAUCAUUCCUUUUUAUUAAUGUUAAAUUUAUAAAUGAUGCUUGGAUAAAUCGAGGUGGAUGCUAAAGACCUUCUUGUCUCAGAGUAAAUAAAAUGUCAAUCCAGUACGUUAGGACACAACAUUUUAAAUCCUCGAGAACAAGCUUAUCUUUUUAUUUUCAAAACUCGUGCAUUUAAAUUUCAAAAGGAUAUUCGAUUAUUUGGAUCAAAGGAGAAAAAUCGAAACCCAGUGAGUUAGGGCACGAUCAUUCAAAUUUCCCAAAUACAGAAUAUCACUUUUAUUAUUUUUUUAGGAAAAUCCUCAUCUCGGGAAAACAACAUGUCAUAUCCAAUGCGUUAGGACACAACGUAUUGAAUUUCCGACAAUAAGCUUUUUAUUUAUGCAUUUUUGGUUAAAGAGAAUUCUCGAUUAUUUAGAUUCAACGAAGAAAAUUAGAACCCAAUACGUUAGGGCUCAAUCUUCUCGAAGAUCCAAAAUACCGAGUAUUACCCUUAUUUUCAAAAUUUUCUCUUUAUUACGAAUUUGAGUAAAAAUUGUAAAUGACAGAAUAACAAUUAUGAUAAUGUAAAUAAAUAAAUAAAUGAAUAGAAUGAAAAAAAGUAAAAAAGACAUAUAUGUAUGUGCAUAUAUAUAUAUAAAUUAUAAAAAAUAUAUAUGAUAUUAUAAAAAUGUAUGCAUGUAUAUAUAUUAAAAGUAUAUGUAUAUGUGUAUUUCGAAAGUAUAAAGUAUAUAAGAUAUAUAUAUGUAUAUGUUUAUAAAUUAUAAAAUAUAAAACAUAUAAGUACGUAUAUAUAUAUAAAUGAAUCAUGAAAUGCACGUGUAUAUAUGUAUAUAUUAGAAAAUGUAUGAAUAUAUAACAAAAUUUGGAAUUAAGGAUGUAAAUGAGUGAAUAAUAAUAACAAUGAAUUAAAAUACAAAAUCAAUGAUGCCAUACAAUAGUAUUAAUAAUAUCAAAAUAAUUAAUUUAAUGAUAAAAUAACUAAAACAACAAAUAGAGGAUUAAAUUAGAAACUAAACUAAAAUUUGGGGUCAAAUAAAAAUAACUUAAAGAGGGUGACUCGGGACUAAAACAAAAUGCGCUGAAGGAGCAAGGGACUUCCAGGGAAAUAUUCCCUAGUCCUGAAACGCAGCACUUCAGCAAGGAUUAAAAUGAAAUCAGAAAAAAAUUUAUGGGCCAAAAUGAAAGAAACAAAAGGGACAAAUUGCACUGAACUAUAAAAGAGGAGGGGCUGAACGCGCAAAUAGCCCCUCCAGGCAUAACACGCGGAUCCUGACCGCAUUCGGGUCGGGUCUCGGAUCGGCUCCUGGUUUUAUGCCAAACGGUGCUGUUUUGGCCAUGGAUGCUAAGGUCCAAAACGACGCCGUUUUUAAACUAUAUAAACACUCAAAAAAUCAACAAAAAAAAAAUUCAUCCCUUAUUUUUUUCAAAAAAACUGAGAGUCUCCCUAACUCUCUCUCAACCCCCAUCCCUCAUAUUCGGCCGACGACCUUCUUAGGCCUCCGUCGCGCCACCUCGUAGCCGGAGGUCGGCGCCGGAAAUGAAAGGCCAUUAAACCCCUUUUGUGGAGUCCUUGAGAGCCAGGCUCUCUCAACCCGCGAGGAGUGAAACAAAAGGGGAACCCUCGACCUUGGCAGACCCGACUCAACGAUGGAGGAGAGAGCCUCUGGCGGCACAGUCACGGCCAACUCCAGUGAGUCACCCUUCCCUUUUUGUCCUUUCUUUUAGUACUAGUUUUAAAAUCAGAUUUUUUAAAAAAAUGAUAAAUAAAAUAAGUAAAUAAUUCAAAAAAAAGAAUCGGAGAAGACAGCAACCUUUGUUUCUAUUUCUGAAAUUCGUAAAAAAAUGACAGACGAAGAAUACAAUGUUAAGAUUUUGGCCUUUAUAGCCGAUUUAAAAACCCCUAAAUUUCUAUUUUUUGUCGUUUUGUUGUUUGGCCUGUUCUGCUGUUGUGUGUGGUUUACUGCCUUGCAGGUGUCAGAGGCUGACGGUCGGUGAUAGGCGAGUAACGGCCUGCGUGAGGAGUGGCAGAGGAGGCAGAACAUGCGGCGCUGGGCAUUGGGCAGAGGCGUGCGGCGCUUUGGGGUUUGCUCUUGGCUGAAAUUGUUUAAAUUGUUUAAGUUUGCUGUAAAUGGACUGGAAUAGUUUUUAUUUUUUAGGCCCGGGCCAAAAUUGGGCCUUACAAAGUCGAUAUGACAUUACACAAAUGAUAAUAUGUUUGUCACACCAAAUUUUGGAGAUAGCAGAACUUAAUGAAUUUAACAAAUAUCGUUUACGGUGAUUGAAAUCUUAAAAUUUGAAAAGUACAAUAACUAAAAUAUCAAAUUAACUUAUAGGGAUUAAAUCCACAACUUCAAUAAAAUACAGGAAUUAAUGGUAGAAUUUAACCUUUAUAUAAUAAUUUCCUUGGUGAAAAAAACGCACAUUAUCAUUUCCUUGAAUGAACUUCAAUUUGUCCAUUGAGAUAUAAUCGGAGGGAGUGGAAUAUAUAUAAGAUAAUAUUUGAUGUAUUCGGUAAAUGGAGAAUAUUAAAUAGAGAGAGCAAGCCAUUCGCCUCACGGAACACAUUAACGAAAGACACAAGCUUAAUACAGUCACUAAAUCCAUCAAUUUCAUUAACAACCUGCUAAUAAUUCAAGACAAUUGUUGGGUCCGGAUGGAUUAUAUUUUAAAAUUUUCUUUCAAAAUACAGAAGUUCCUUUGACAAAAAUGAAAAUAUUAUUUAAUUAUAGGGUUAGUAAUUAGUACACUAAUAAUCUACUUAAUGCUAUUGAUUUUUUUUUAAUAUUAUACAACACCUUUAUAAAACACGUGUCAACCCUCUGACUCUGCUUAUGAAAUUUAAAAACUUCAAUGACAAUGUACCAACUAUUAUUCUUAAUUAUUAUACUAUUCAUGAUUUAAGGACAAAGAUCAAAUACAAUAUUUGCUUAAAAAUCUGUAAUAUAUAUGUAUAUAUAUAUAUACAUUUGCUCACUUAUUGUGAUGUAAUAUAGCACCAUCCAGCUAACCCUAGCUUUCUAGCAAGUAGUCGGAGGAAAUUAUUGAGAAAAUAUCAUUAAAUAUAUCAACAAUAAUUGCACUAACUUUCCGAUGUUAACUACUGACCUUUGCGUCAACCUUGAGCUUAUAUAGGCCCCCUACAAUAAUUUAGGCUAUGGAAAUAAUCUUACAAUUAAUGCCUGAGAAAUAAUUAUAGAUCAAUUUAUAGUUUUAAUCCCUAUAAUUACUCAAUUGAAUUAAAAAUUUUGUUAUUCUUAUUUAAUUUAAUUUGAUAUAUUCUGUUCCUCUUAUUAAUGUUAAUGUUUAGAGUCCCCGCUUGUACAUUGGUGAUUAGGUCUCUCACCAUUAAAUUACUCUCUUAAGAACCUAACCUGCAAAUUCACAACAUAAAAAAUUUACAGUCAAAUGUAAUCACACAAAUGACAUUCCUCACUUAAACAGAUUAAGUCGUUGCAAAUAUCUAAACAUAAUCAAAGUCGUCGUUAUGGCCCCAAGAGAAGGCACGUUAACUUGUCUCUCUCACACAUAGGAUGAAAUUAGUCUAAACCUAACCUUGGUAGAGCCGACCAUGUCGGGCAGACCACCCUACAUAAAUCUGAUUAUUUUAUCAUAGUUUAUUCAUCACUGAAGGAAGUAUGCAAAAUUAGGCAUACCAUUUAUCCUCACCUCUCUCGCUGACAAAAGAUUCAUGUUAAGUAUAUUCACCCUACAUAAAUUAUCAAGAGGAAUCACAGAUUUAAGGACCGUGGAAAAGAAUUCCAGAACCAGUUAUAUACAAGCAGGGCCUAUGACAUCCCCACUAAUUCUCAAUCAUAUAAAAUAAUAUAUAAUUAAUUCGUCUGGAAUGUUUAAGGCAUGGUGGUGAAUAUAUCAUGAGCGAUGUUGCUGAGUUUCUUCUGAAGAAUUGGCUAGCUAUUAGUGUCUAAAGGAUCUUUAGUUAUAUGGGGCUUAUGUUUCGGUUGCUUGAACAAUUGCUUUUCAGAGGGCAGAAUAGUAGAGGGGGGUUUUGGGGGUCUGGUGGUAUGGAGUUAUGAUGUUAUCAAUAUGAGAUUUUGGUGAUUUGUACUUGAUAAAGGGACACUUUUCGUGAGGGAUUGCUACAUUUUGCAGAUUAUAACAUUGUUUACAAGUGCUUAAAAUGUGUAAUAAUUUGAUCGAGAGAAAAAAUGACCAAAACAAAUGUUCUCAGCAUUUUUGCUUCAUUUAGAACUUGUAAUUAAUUUUUUUUAUCAGAGAAGUUGUAAUUAAUUGGAUUUGGAAUGAAUUGAUAAUAUCCUUACUAUUUCACCUUUUUUAUAUGUUUGGCGUGUGAGUAUGAUACAGAUUGAACUGAUUUUUAAAGUAGAAAUAAAACGAUAACAAACCAAAACAUUCUGGUUUUCAAAAUUUUGAAUCCAAAUCAAUCGAAUUAGUUUAAUUAUAAUUGAAUGUUUUAUGUGUUAUGAUGAUGAAGGAAGUUGAUGAGGUGACUUGCUUCAUCUUUCAAAAUAUGAGGUUCGUUAGACACAUCUUUACUAUUGUUUUUUAAUAACAAAUGAAAAGUCAAUUUAAAAAACAAAAAUCCAAACCAAUGAAUUUCUUUUAUACAUAUAAGAUAAGCUUACUGCAAAGCUCUUGUUUUUUCAAAAUAAAAUUUUGUUUUUGUUUUAUUAAUUUUGUAUGAAUCAAAUUAAUAAGUUUAAUUUUUUUAAGGGUAAAUUAAACCAACAGUUACUCAACUUUGAUGCAGCUGACAAAAUAGUUGAUUUGGUUUCAAUUCAGUCACUCAACUUUCAAAAAAUAACAAAUCAGUCACUAACGUUACCAAAAAGUGACAAAUCAAUCACCCAUUAACAUUUUCCGUUACAGACCUAACGGGACAGGUGACAUGGCUAGUUAACUUGCCACGUUGACAUGGCAAUGCAUUUAAAAUUGGUCUAAUUAAGAAUUUGGUCAUUGUACAUUAUGAAAACAUAAAAAUUAUUUCAAUUGAGUAUCAAUAUUAAAUCUUGUCCAUUGACCCAAAAAUCAUCAUUUCAACAAAUUGUAUGUAAGAAAUUAGUGAAAAUCAACAAUUCAGUAAUUUAUAUCAAAAUUGAGGACUAGCUUUUCAUUUUUUUGUAAAUUACAUGGAUGACAUUCACAAUUAGACCUAAAUAGUGACAAAUUACAAAUUUAAACCCUAAAUACCUUUGUUCAGAGGAUCCGUAGCCAACAGAAUCAAUAAAACCGAUGGAGAUGAAACUCAUGCAUUUGGCGUGAAGAUGAAACUGGACAGAGUAGAACUCGCAUUGUUCGUCACCGUUGUAGGUGUCACAGUCACACGAGAAUCGCAUCGACAUGGCGCGUCGGCUAGUGAGAGGGAUUAGAUCAAGUCGAUGGGCAAUGAACUUGUCGUUGACGACGGAAGAGUUAACUUCAAUUUUGACGAGGUCGAUGGCUAUGUUGGGAACCUCGGCUAUCAUGACACGAUGGAGGGCAUUGGCCAUGGAGGCGUUGGUGUCAUGGCAGCAUAGUUGUCUUUGAGUUCUCGGAUUUUGACCCUUGGGAAUCGCUAGUAUGAAGCUCCUUCCAUUUUCUCUUCUUCUCCAUUUCUUCUCUUCUUCUUCUUCUUCUUCUUCUUCUACUGCCCAAGGCUCUUAAAUGGGGUUGUUUAAAUGACAGCUAGCCUACCGUUAAAUGUCAUGUCACUUUUCUGUUACAAACGUAACGGAAAAUGGUUAAAAAGAUUGAUUUGUUAUUUUUCAAAAAUUAAGUGAUUGAAUUGGAACUAGAGUGACUGUUUUGUCAAUUGCAUCAAAGUUGAGUGAUUGUUGUUGCAAUUUACCCCUUUUUUUUUAAUAGAGAUAAGCUUUGUGGUGGAAAUUUGUUAGGAAAGGAUGAUUGUAGGAAUGGUCCACAAAAUUAAUUGCAUUCCCUUUUCUUGAUGAAUUCUUAUCUUUGGGUCAACUCUUAGCUUAAAUACACUGCUAAAUUUAUUUUAGGCUGUACAAUAUAAAUGGAGCAAUUGAUGUCAGGAGAUAAGUUGGAAGUACAAUUAAAUUUUUUCAUAAGAGGAGAUGGGAUGAGAAGAUUUGAACCCAACAAUUAUUGGAAUUUAGAUUAUAAAAUUGGCGUGAAAUCAUGAAUUUAGAUUAUAAAAUUCUUUCCAUUUUAAUAAUCAUUUUAGAACUAGUUUGGUUUCCAAUCUAUAUUUUGUGUUGUGUUUUGUUUAUGUCAAAUUUUAAGGUAAAACUUUGAAAGUUAAAAUACAUUCUAAGUCCCUAUACACUUUGUACUUUUAGAAUUUAGUUCUCCUAGUUUUUAUUUUUAUGAAUUUAGUCUUUCUAUUUUUUGGUUUUCAAAAUUCAAGUCCCCAAUUAUUUUCACUGUUAAAAUUCUUCUAUUAAACUCACUAGUGUCACCUUUUGAAAUUACCAAAAAAAAAAAAAUCAUUUUGUAGUCAUGUAAUAAUAAAGAAUAACGUUAAAAAUAAUGAUGUGGAUUUUUAUUUAAAAUACUCAUCCAAACUGAUCAUGAUAAAAUGACUUUUUUUUUGUUGGAAUAGUGUUUUUAAGAAAAAUUGACGUCAAUAUUUUGAUUGGAAUAGUUUACAAUGUUAAUUAUUUAGACUAACUAAUGACAUUACAAAAAUAAAAUAAUGAAAUUAUGCCAAAAAUUAAGGAAUAUAAAUUAAAUCUCAAGUUUUAACAUAAUAUAGGGGCUAAUACUAAAAUUUGACCAUUAAUUUCCAUGUAAUAUAAAAUAAAAAUAAAAAAGUUGUGUGAAGCAGCCCAAGCUUAUGACAGAAAAAAAAAACACGGCCCAAAGCUAAGGUUACGUGUUAGAAAGGGAAUGUCAUGAUAGGGGUGAGUAUUCGAUCAAGUCGAGUUAAAUUGAGUCAAAAAAGUUUAAGUUAGUCGAGUUUACGAAUCCUAUUUUAGUAACCGAACUCAAUUUGAAUUUUUUUUCUGAAUCAUAUUGAGUCAAAAAGUUUCGAGUCAAGUUGAGUCGAGCUAAAGAAUCCUAUUAUUUAUACUCAAAACUUAUAUUUACAUGGACCGAUUAUUUAACUAGUAGAUGAAGUACAAGAUUAUUUAACUACAUAAACAAUAUAAUGGUUUUGCCUUUUAACUUAAUGAGUAAAUAUUUAUCAAAACGAUAUAGUUUUGUCUUUUAAUUUAAUAGUUUUGACUUUUAACUUUGGAAAAGAUAAAUUCAGAUUUUCAGAUAACUCGAAUUGUGUAAUUCAUAUUCAAGUUGAAUAUAAAAACUUAAUUUUUUUUAUUCGGGUUGAUCCGAAUAACUUGAUUAACUCAAAUAACUCGAACUAUUUAAUUCAAAAUUUAAAAUUUUUAUCAAAAUUUUCAGAUCAAAUCGAAUUUUGCUCACCCCUAGUAUUGGACAUUAUUUUUAUAUACGGGUGUAUAUAUAUGUGUGCGUGUGUGUGUGUUUGAUGUGAUUUCCUUGUGAGUUCCAUCUAUUUUUAGAAGUUUUUCCACGUAAAAUAUGUGUAUUUAAUAUUUUCAAUUCUUUUAUUAUUCUACUUGCUCGUUGCAAAUACGUUUGAUUCACAACAUUUUAACCUAAACUUAAUUGUAAAUGAUAAGAGAUAUUUUACGAUUAAAUAAAAAAAUUUAAACCACUAAACCAUUACCCUAAUAUGUCAAAACACAUGCAUUUUUUAAUUUCAAAAUUUAUGAAUUCCGAAGUAAAGAGCAUACGAUAUUUAUAUUAAUGUAAGAAAUGUAGGCUUGCUAAGUUUCGCAAAAUCAUAUUACACUUUUAAUUGAAUAUAAUGGUGGGAUGAUUCAAUUAUUAAAAACUAAGUUCGGGCAAAAAUGUAAAAAUAAUCUAAAAUUAAUUGAAUUAUUAUAAUAAAUUUAUAUAACUUAUGGAGUGAACCAAAUCAUGACAUAAUAUCAAAAAUAAUUAAGACAUGUCAUAUUACAAAUAAUAAAAACUCAACUUUAUAAGCAUAUCAAAAUUUAUUAUCAUGGCGUAUAAUAUGUUAUGAAAAAAGAAAAAAGAAAAAAGAAAAAGAAGAGAGACAAUCGCUUCAUCAUGAGAUAUAAGCCCUUGAAACCAAAAGUUAGUUGAAGCUGUUAGGAUCGACUCAAUUAAGCAACAAGUAACAAAAAAUAGUGGAGUAAAUUGAGAAAUUGAACACACAAAUUUAACGUGGAAAACCCCUCCAAAGAGGAUAAAAACCACGGGCAAAAAUAAUUUUACUAUAAUGACAAAAGAAUAAAGAGUACAAAAGAUGGAGAUAAAAAGCUAAACUCCAAAAAACCCCAAAAACAAAGAACCCUCAAAACGUAAACACAAUGUAACGCCCCAGAAUUUUUAUUUUUGUUCUUGCAAAGGUAUAACACAAUUGUGUAUCUACUUUAGUGGUUAAGUGUUUUGGGUGUAUGAGAGGUCUCAAGUUCAAGCCAAGACUUGGCGAAAUUUUGGUAUUUUUAUGAAUAAGCUCUAUCUUUGGUCAGUAGGCUUUUAAGUAAGAGUCGACAAAUAAUUAAAAGAAUGGGCUUGUUCGUUUGGUGGAUAAGUGGAGUGUUGGUGUGAAGGAGGUUUUGUGUUCAAUUCUCUAUGGUGGCAUGGAGAUAGUAUUUUUGCUCCAAUUUUGGCUAAGAGUUGUGUUUGGGCAAAAUUCUGAGUAGUUGUGUUUUAGUGGGUUAAUAGGGAGUGAUUUUUGGAAAUAAUGGGGGAGAGGUUAUCAGAAAAUAAUCUGAUUGUCUUUUUAUUGCAUAAAAAAGUAGAGUUUCGGUUUUCUCUCCAAUUACCCAAACUUUUUCUGACGUUUUCUUCUUUUUUUCCCUCCGCUGUCGAUUCUUUCCCCUAGUUGUUGCCAAAAUUUCCAUUAUUUUUUCCCCUUCCAUUUCUUUCUUUUAUUUUCCAAUUGAUUUGGUUGUUUAUCGUUGGUUGCGUGUGUUCGGUAAGUAACGGUUUUGUCUAUUGUUAAUUGUUCUUAGUUAAUCUCUGAAAGGGGGAUUCCUUUUUGGUGUUUCGGAGUUAAUCAAGGGGCUAGUGGUUAUGAAUCGAUGCUGUGAUUGUGUGAAGUCAUGAUUACUCAAGCGAGGUAAGGGUUUUGUUAGGUUUUUAGUUGAGUUCCUUCCAAAAUUGGUUAAUUAAAAAUGAAUUAAGUGAUUAAUCUGGAGAUUUGUUGGUCGAUUUUUAGGUUAUGGAGGCUUAGGAGUGCUUACGCAUUAGAAAUGAUACCAGGUGUGUACCCGAAAAGCAGAAAAUGAGAUUCGGCGAAAAGCAUAAAUUGCUUGCUAUUUGGACAGCAGCAGUGGGCUAACUUUAAAAAAUCAUCAUAAAUUGUGAAAAUCGAAUUAAAGGAUGAAAAAAGUAAGGAAUUAAAUAUUAUUGAGUCUAGUUUCUCAUAGAGAAAUGGUGUAAGUAAUGGAAUUGUAAAUCGUGAGAUAUAAUAAAUUUUGUGAGACAAGGUCAGAAUGAAUUCAGGUUUCCCUUUUUUGACUUUGGAAAAUCAUUAAAAAUUGUAUAAAAAUGAUUAUGGGUUAAAAUUUAUAUGAUUAAAAUUCUUAAUGAGUAUAUUUUCAAGAGAAACAAACCUUAACAUCAUCUGAAUCUCGUACUAAGAGAUAAUUAAUUUUUAGAGAAGAAGGGUCGAAAUUAUCAGACAGCAGAACAGGGACAAUUUUGAAGAAUUAACUGUACUCAUUGGCUAAACCAAAAAUUCUAAAAAUUUUAAGGUAAGAAGAUAUGUGAGUCUGUUUUUCGGGAAAAUCAAGCGGAUCUUAAUUUUGAAUUCUGUAGCUCUAGUUAUAAAUAAUUUAGUGACAAUGACUCAAGUAGACAACUCUGAAUGAUCAUAUUAGUAAAUAGUGGAAACAUAUAUGAAUAUUUAGCUAGCAUGGGUUACAUUAAAAAUGGAUCACACGGCCAAGGCCAAUUUGGGCCGAGUGGGCCACGCGGGCACAUGGGCGUGUGGGUCCAUUUUUACCAAAAUGUUUCUAAGGCUGCACAGGUUGCCCAAGUCGACUGUGAACCUACUGUAAGGUCGGUAAGUGCUACUUAAACCCCUAAAUGUGUGAAAUUGACUGAAUGAUAUUUGUACUGAGCAUGUUAAUAUCUAAACUGAAUAUAUGUACUGAAAUUGCAUAAUAGCAUAUCAUCCAUGGUAUGUUGCAUUGCAUUGGGUUGAGGGUUGUUAUUUGGAGGAAAUGUACUAAAAGGCUUUAAGCCUAAUUUACUGGAAUCUCAGCUACAAACUACUGUUUUGUGCCGCAAUAUUCAAUACUACUUGAAGUGUAGGAAUGGGUGGGUUGAUUAUAUCCCCACAUGGUGUGUAGAGGCUGGUUGGCAAAUGGAGUUUUAGUAAGCACAAGCAUCGUCAUCUGUCCAUCAUAACUUGGAAGACAACAAAGAUACUCAUAAAAUAGAUCUGCAAACUGAAAAGAGAGAAGUCAUGUGGAGUGAAUAAGAAGAAGAAAGAAAAAAAGGUUGGUGGGAGGAAGAAAAAGGGUCGCGAUAGCCAAUUCGAAGGUUGUCAAUGCCAUUGGGCAAAAUAAAACAUAAUAAACAAACGGCUUGGAGAAAAAAAUUAAGAAAGAAGAAAAAAUUUAGGCAAAAUUUAUAUUAAUGUAAGAAAUGUAGACUUAUUAUGAUAUUACAUUUUUAAGUGUGAUCAUUCAAUUAUUAAAAAUGUAUUUAUAACAAAUUAUGUAAAAUUUUAUAUAAGCAUAUAAUAUGUUAUGCAAAGAGAAUCACUUUUCUUAGUUGAAUUGUUAUAACACAUUAUACAAAAUAUAUUUUAAAUUAAAGCAUAAUGUGAAUACGAUACCAACCAACAAAUUAAAUUCGAUGAUUUAUGGAUAAUUACAUUUAUUACUCAAUUUAAUUUAAUUCAAAGAGCUAUUGAAUACACAUAACAAUUAAUUAUGAUUAAACUUUAAAUUUCACAGAAAAUAAAAAGAAAUAGAUUGUUGAAAAUGAUAAAAUGGAAAGAUAAAGCUACAAACUUCCUCCCCACAAACCUAAGAGCUUUUUAUUCAAAAUGCAGAAAUCAACAAAAUAGUCCUCACAAUCCAACUUAGCAUAGUAAAACAAUUAGGUGGGGAAAUCAAAUAGUAAAUUCCUUUUUCCUUGAAUCAACACCAACCGACUUUGUUGAAAUCUUCACUAUAGCUAAUCACAUUGCCUGAAGAUGUGAUAUGUAAGAAAAUUGGCCAUUGUUGAGUAACGACAGGUUGUGAUGCACUUUCCAAUAAAAGAAAACCAAACACUUCGCCAAUAAGGAUUUAUGUAAAGAACAACAAAAAUUGUCAAGACCACAACUAUAUAAGAAACCAGGAAGCUCACACAAAAAUCAUAUGUGUCUAGCAAACUGUCCUCUCCUUCAUCAUCUAACGAAUUUGAUCUAGUUGAUGGUGCAUCUGGUUUGGAGCAACUUUUAUGCAAAAUAGUUCCACAAAGAAAAGGGUUUCCCUCGUAACUACUUUCAAUAAAGGUCCCAAAUUGAGCUUUUGGUUCAGGAAUACUACCUGACAAGUUGUUGUGUGCCACACUAAAAACUUCCAAAGAGUUCAACUCUACCAACUGAUUGGGGAUUUCACCACUCAAGUUGUUGUAAGAAAGGUCCAAACUCUCAAUUUGAUGAAGUUUUCAGAAUGAUGAAGGUAUAACUCCGAUCAACUUAUUGUGUGACAAGUUUAAAGAAUAGAUUUCACUUAAGUUCCCUAAUUCUGGUGGGAUAUGACCAGUUAAGUUGUUGCAAGAUAAAUCAAUCCCGGUCAUAUAUGCAAGGAUGUUGCCCUCGUACGAAUAGAACCCACUCUUUGUUGUGAACUCUAUUACUUCUUCUAAAUUCUAUUACUUCUUCUAAGUAGCUGUCAGGGUAGUAAGGAUUUAUAUCCCUUUCCAAUUUUCUCAUCGCAAUGGAUGUUGAUUCAUCCAUUUCUGUAAAUGGAAGAUAGAACCCAGUUGCUAGACUCUCUUUCUCUUUCAUUGGAAGAGAUAAAUUUCCCAAACAAGAAGGUAUAGGACCAGAAAACAUAUUUUGAGAAAGAUCUAUGAUGCUUAAAGAAUACAACUUGCAUAACUGAAUUGGAACUUUGCCAUGAAAAUGAUUAUCUUUCAAGAGAAGAACACUCAAAGAAGAAAGUGUGUCAAUCCAUUUUGGCAUGCUACCUGUCAAAUUUUUUUCUCUAAGAUCUAAAGUCACUAGUGAAGAGCUAUUAUAAAAAGCAAGUGAUAGUGGACCUCUCAGUCUAUUCCCGUGGAGGUGGACAUGCUUUAUGUUUGGUGGAUUAAAACAUGACGGUAUAGAGCCAGAUAAAUUAUUUUGAGAAAGAUCCAAAAACUCCAACCAAUUCAAGUUGCAAAAUUCCAUUGGAAUAGAACCCUCGAAACCAUUGUUGGACAAAGCCAAUCUCAAUAAAAAUGAUGCAUUCCCUAUCCAUCUUGGGAGCUUUCCAUGCAACUGGUUGUUACUGAGAUCAAUAUCGCUUAGUGAAUUUGGAAACUCAAAAGUAGACACAUCAACAUUUGUCACCUCUCCUGAAAAUUUAUUUCCAUCCAAAUAUAAAUUCUGCAGCCCAUUUGCUUUGAGAAUCGCAGGAACUACAUUUCCACUGAAGUUGUUAUUUGAUAGUCUCAAAAUGGUCAGUGAGCCUUUCGUGAUCAACUCUUCUGGUACUUUUCCAUACAAUUGAUUGUUUGAUAGAUCUAAAAUUGAUAAAUCCUUCAUGCCACUUAAACAAAGUGGGAUAUUACCUUCAAAAGCAUUCUUGGAUAAGAAUAACCGACUCAAAUGUGGAAAAGUUGAACAUAUACUGGUCGGAAUUUGACCUUGUAUUUUGUUUUCAGAGAUGUCAAUUGAAGAUACAUUAGAAAUAAGAGCUGACGAAAAUGAGAGAGGACCUGUAAAAGAAUUGCCCUUCAAGAUGAGAUCUUCUAACUUUGUGUUGUUUUCUAACAACCAAGUUGGGACCGUUCCACUGAAAUUGUUAUGAGAAAGAUCCACAUAUCUCAAGUCAUAUUGGUAGUAAAGGAAGGUAGGAAGCUUACGACUGAGCUGUUGAGAUGUUAUGCACUUUGACAAACUGAUGACUUCCAAUUGGAACUUUGGGAUUGAGGUAUAAAAGGAAGGUUCCGUUACCAUCUUGUUUUCAUUACUCAAGAGGGCUUUGAUAUUUGAAAGGUUUGCAAAUGGUGCGAAUGACAACGGAAUUUGAAAAUGGUUUAUUGAAAUAUCUAACACACGAAGAGCUGUCAAGUUACUAAAACAAUGAGGAAGCAUCCCCUCCAGUGCAUUCCCACUCACAUCCAAUACUUCAAGAUUCCUUAGAUCACACCAUCCUGAAAAAUUGAAAAAAUUGGUGGAAGAAAUUCUAAUUAAAUUUGGUCUUAUUUAAGAGAAUAUGAGAUAUUACACAAAGCUCGUACAAAAUUCAAUUUGAGCCAUAAAUUUAUUUACCUUGAUUAGGUAGGGGACCAAUAAGUCAACAAUCAUAUAAAGAGAAUGUUUUAAGAGAAACAAGUACUCCAAUGCUUUGCAAAAUAUUGGUGUUGAGAGUAGAAUAGUCAAGAUAUAUUUCCUCCACAUUUCUCGACACAUUUGAUUCUAAGCAAUGUCUAGAGAUAUUAGAUAACGAUAUUGUAAAUAGAAAAUUAUAAUUGAUCAUGAGAAAGAAGUUCAUAUUGACGAGAAAUGCCGAGGACAGCAAUCGCCAUCCCAUGUCAAAAAAAUCAUUUGAGAUAAAUAAUGUUUGAUUUUCUCAGUCUUUUAUUUUUUGUGAAUGAAAAGAAAUAUAAUUUACUUGAAGUUUUUUUAAUUAUUCGAAAAUGCCAUUUAUUUAUUUUAGGCCAAAAAAUUCCAUUUAUUUAACUGUAAUAUAUAUUUUUAUGUUUUAUAUUAUUAAAACCAUAUGAAAUUAAAAUGAUAGUUAUAUGACAUAUUUUUCCAUAAAUAUGAGUAUUUUUUAUUUAUAAUAUUAUUUUUUUUAUUUUUAUAAUUAUUUUUUAUCUCAUAAAAAUUUAAUAAAUUAUUUUGAAAUUAUAUUUAUACAAACAAAAUAAUUAUGAACUCUAAUAUUUUAAAAUUAUGCAAAAUUUAAAAUAUUUUACUUUCAAACCGAAGACCAUAGGAUUUAUAAAAUGUUUCACCGAACCCAUAAGCUGAAUUUUUCCAUGUAUGAUAUAAAACAUAAAGACAAAGAUGAGCAACACAAAGACAGAAAAUUAUUAUUUGGUAGUUUGUUGAUUUACUUUAAGGAUUUAGCAGUUUCAAUCAUGUUCCUGUUAUGCUUUGAUUUUAUUUAGGUUCAUCCAUGUAAAACAAAGAAACAAAAACAUUAAUUAGUUGAAAAAUAAUUAAUUGUGUUAUAACAUAAUCCAAACCUUGUAUUAACAAAUAUUCUGUUUUUUAACCUUUUUCAACGAUGAAGUGGGGAGCACCGAUUCAGGGGCCAAGCAACAACUUUGUAUUGGAGGAUCGAUAUAAAAUUAUUUUUUUUGGAGGGACUAAAGUUAAAAUUAUUUGUGUUAAAAUUGUUGAAAUUGAAUUUUUAAUGUUUAAAGUGACUCAAAAUGCAAUUUUUAUGCAUAUAAUUAAAAAGCUACAGAGGAUUAUAUUGAAUAAUUAAAUUUUAAAAGGACUAAAAAGGGUAUUAUACCCUUGAUUAAAAUAUGUCAUAGGUCCUUGUACUUUUCAAAAAUUUGUAAUUUAGUCGAUAUACUUUUAUUUCUAAGGAUUUAGGCCCUCUACAUUUUCAAAUUUUAGAAUUUAAGUUCAAUUGUUAACAUUAGUUUUUUUUCCAAUGUUUUGAAAUAAAGAAAAUAUUCAAUUGGUAGCAAUGUAACUAAAAAAAUAGCAUUAUAAUGAACCUAAAUUUAACAAAAUAAUCUUAAUAGUGUCAACAAUUAAACUUAAAUUUUAAAAUCUAAAAAGUAGAGGGAUUAAAUUCGUAAAAAUAAAAAUAUAGAGACUAAUUUACAAAGAGUAUAAGGAUUUAUGUUAUAUUUUAACCUAUACCCGUUAGCCUAGGGGGGCCAAGACCUCUGUCUACCCCUUUGGCUUUUCCUCUACACCAAUUGAACAUUAGUUUAAUUGACAUUGUUGAUAUUGCAACAACUCUUUUUCUUUAUUUUCUUCGUCUUAUGAAAAAUGUUAAUUUUUAGUUUUGGACAUUUUUAAUAUGCUUAAAUUUGAGAUUUAAUUAUUAUCCUUUAUUUCUAAUUUAAAUUAAGCUUUAUAUUUUUAUAAUUUUACUAGUUAGUUCAAAUAGUUAAUUCAUUAACUUUUCAAUUAAAAUAUUAUGUAGUUAUAUAUUAUUUAAAAGUGGAUUUUUAAAUAGAUUAAAUUCUUAAAAAUAAAAGUUGAAGGAAAAAAAAUAAAAUUUAAACAAAAACGAAAGUUUAGUCAAAUGAUACCUUUAUGGAUCAUAAAAUCUAUCAAUUCAUUUGCCCUCAUAUUCAAAUGCAUCCAAAUCUGGAAAAAAAAGGGUAACAUAUAAACCUCAUUAUAUUAUCUUAAAACAUUAUUAAUGUUUUUGUUAAUUGAGUCAAGAUUUUGGGAAAAGAAAAUGUUUUUACCUUUUGCAUCUAUUGGUCCUUUCAAUUGAUUGCUUAUGGUCAAAGUUUUCAAAUUCAAAAGCUUGUUAAGAGAUGCAAAGACACUAUUAUUGAAGAGAUUGGAAUUUAAAUUAAGCUCUUUUAAGUGCGUCAAUUCCAAUUUUCUACCACCAUCUGCAAAAGAUUUACAUAAGUUCAUCACUGAAAAAAAUUAGCAUAAAAUUUAAUUAUAUAUAAAAACUUAGAUAACUCAUCAAAUAUAAAUACAUACCUUUGGAGGAUUGAAGGCUUUCAAUUUAAUUCUCGCUUAGAUCAAGUUUCUUCAAGUUUAUCAAAUUACUCAAUCCUAUAUAUUUUCACGUCCAAUUCAAAUAAUUAUGUUAAUAAUUUAAUUUUUACCGAAUAUUUGAAUGAGUUUCAUAAAAUAAAAACAAAAAAUUGGUUUGUUAGGCAAUUUUUUUAGGUGUUGUAGAAAUUUUAAGUUCCUCCAAGUUUAUUAUGCUUAAUUGUUUUUCAUCUAUAGUAGGAAGAAGAAUAGUUUCUAAUUAAUAUUAUAGGCUUUGAAUAUUUUAUAAGUUCAUCCCUUUGAAAAUUUAAUUUAUUCAAUAUAUAAAAAUCAUACUUGUACCUUUGUUUGAGAUGCUUUCAAUUCUGUUCCCACUUAAAUCCAAGUAGUUCAAGUCUGUCAAAUUAUUCAAUUCUGAAAUUCAAUCCUAAAUAUUGAUUAGUUAUAUAUAUUCAUGAUAUGAUAAAAUCAAAUAACAUAUUGCAAGUUUGCAACAACUUUUCCUUCAACAUAAAUUGAUUUUAAAGUACAAAAGAAACAAGUAAAAUCAAUCUACCUUGAAUAUGAAGCAGCCUUCCUUCCAACUGAUUACUACUCAAUCUUAAAGUCUUCAAGGAUGAAAGAUUUCUCAUAUCGAAUAGAAUGCUAUUCUUCAAAGAAUUCCCAGUUAAAUUAAGAGUUUCCAAUUUAGUGAGUCUUGAAAGCCACUGAAAACCUGAUUUAUAUACUAUAUAAUUAGUUACUACUAAACAUAAUAAAUAAUAAUACUCUAAUUUUACAAUAAAAAUUCACUAAAAUCUGUCAUUGCCUUUUGGAAUAAUAUUCUAUCAGAAAAGUCAUGCACAAAUACUUAUACCUUGGUUUGAGAUGCUUUCAAUGUUGUUGUAACUUAAAUCCAAGUACUUCAAGUUUGUCAAAUUAUUCCAUUCUGAUGAAAGUCAAUCCCAAUGUUGAUCAGUUAUGUUUUCAUGAUAAGAUAAAAGCAAAUGAAAUAUUGCAAUAGCUUUUUCUUAAACCAAAUUGAUUUUAAAGUAAAAGGAAGCAUGUAAAAUAAGUCUACCUUGAAUAUGAAAUAAUAUAUAAAUACUAUAUUUAUACCUUUGUUUGAGAUGCUUUCAAUUUUGUUCCCACUUAAAUCCAAGGACUUCAAGUUUGUCAAAUUAUUCAAUUCUAAAAUUCAAUCCCAAAUGUUGAUCAGUUAUAUUUUCAGGACAAGAUAAAAGCAAAUGACAUAUUGCAAUAACUUUUCCUUAAACCAAAUUGAUUUUAAAGUAAAAAAGAAACAGGUAAAACCAAUCUACCUUGAGUAUGAAUCAACUUUCCUUCCAAAAGAUUGUAUCUCAAACUUAAAGUCUUCAAGGAUGAAAGAUUUCUCAUAUAGACCAUAAUGCUAUUCUUCAAAGAAUUCCCACUUAAAUAAAGAGUUUCCAAUUUAGUGAGCCUUGAAAGCCACUGAAAACCUGAUUUAUAUACCAUAUAAUAAGUUACUGCAAAACAUAAAUAAAUAAUAAUACUCCAUUUUUUAGUUAAUUUGAGUAAGUUCUUGUUAGUCUUUUUUUCCUCUCAACCAUAUGAAAAAUUAUUGAAGCAAAAACUAAGUUACAGGGGAUAAAAGAAUGGAAAAUCACUGUCAAACGUCACAAUACAAAUAAAAACUAACAAUAGACCAAACUUAAUUUACCUCUUGGAUGACUUGAUCCUUCGAACCGGUUGUGUGAUAAAUCUAAAUAUCGGAGAGACGAAAGCUCACUCAAAGAUAAUAGAAUGCUAUCAUUCAAGUGAUUGUAACUUAAGUAAAGGAUCUCUAAAUUACUUAAUGUGGAUGAUAGCUUUCCAAAACCUGUAGGAGUGUUCUUUUAAUUAUAUACAAGUAAUUAAUGACUUUUCUUCAGUAAAAUAAAAUAAAUUAUAAGUAAUUGCAAACUAACAAUGAAUAGAGAAAUAGAAUAAUAAAAUAUGUAAUUAAGGGAAAAUUAAAGGCACGACCUUCAUUUUCAAGGUUACCACCUAUGGCAUUCUCUGACAAAUAAAGACUCUUCAAUUUCUCAAAAGGAAGAAACAUAGAGGCAUUGAGAUACCAAUAAUCCAUGUUGUAUUCCCAUUUUGUAGAAUUAAGGGAAGUUGUAUGACUCUCCUAGUGAUGGAGUUGCACUUAACUCUUUCCCAUUUACAGCAAUCUGAACCCUUCAGAUCAACCCAACUUUUCAAUGGGUUACCAUAAUUGAAGAAAGGUUUGAGAUGCAAGAGAGCGAUUCUCUCAUGCUCCAAACAAGCAUCAGUAGUACACCACCUACAUCCUUCUAACACCAACAACAGUACUGCCAUCCUAAUAAACCAUAACCAUUUCCACUCCAUCAUCAUCAUCUUUCUGUUUUCCCUUCUCUCUCAGCUAUAUGUUACUUUUUUAACUUCUAUAUGUAUAUAAUCUGCAGAAGCCUAAGCAGGAUCUAUGCAUCCCACUAAUUCACUGUAGUAUUAAAAUAACAUAUAAUUAAUUAGUUCCUCAAAAAUUGAAUGAAUCUAGACUUGUGCUGCUCUAACUUAUACGUUAGGAAAUAAAUGUUGACACAAUUUUUUGUUUUAUUUAGAAGUUGUAGUUAACUAUAUUUGCUAAAAUUUGUCUUGGAAUGAAACUGAAUUCAAAUCAAUCAAAUUAAUUAUAAUAAAAAUAAAAUUUCAAAAAACUGUUCAAAAUAUGAGUUAUGUUGAAGCCCUGUUCGACAUAUUUUAACUUUUAUUCUUUAUAUAAAAAUGAGAGUUACAAUAAAUAGUAAAAAGAAAAUCUAAUCAAAUGCACUUUUCCAUAACAAAAUUAAUUGCAUUCCUUGUGGAAAAUGAACUCUUGACUUGGCCGACCAUCCUCGACUGAAAUAGGCUGCUAAUUUUAAUUUAGACUGUAGAAAAAAUUUUAACCCAAUUAAUGUCAUUUGAAAUUAAAAUUACUUUAUAAACCUUUUGUUAGCCCUUAAAUUAAUAAACUUUUGUAUGUAGCUAAUUGAGUUUUAACUCAAUCGGUAUUGGUAUUGUUGUCAGUACAGGAAGACGUAAGUUUAAGUGUGCAGAAACGUGUGUUUUAUCCAAUUUAAGGAUUAGGGUAGAUUAUGAAUAAUUCUUUGAAUUGUAUUAACUUAGAAGCUUUGAGAUACUCACAAUUGAAUUAAACAUUCAAUAUAUAUAUUUAUCUUAUUUUUUUUUCUAUUUCCGAUAAAUAAGAAAAGAUCAUUCUUUACGCCACCAUACGAUUUUAGUAUCACAAUCAAAUGAGACUUUUAAAAGUCUUAACACUAUACAAGUAGUUAGUCGACAAAACUUGCACUAAUUUACUCUUUACGCCCAAAUUAUUUACAAAGUGCAAACAACAUUACUUUCACACUAAUUUUUUCCUUCUAUUUAUGUGGGAUAAAUAUCAAAAUUAUAUAUGAAUUUUAAUUUAAUGUGUAAUAUUAUAUAUAAAUUUUGAUUUUGUGUAAUUUUAAAAUGAAAUUUUGAUUUGAUUUAAUUUUCACAAAUCAUUAACAACAUCAUCGAAUUAGUACUAUAUUACAUUGAUAUAUUGCAUGCACAAACAGGUAUACUAAACCAAUAUGAAAAUAAAUAUAUGUAUUCAUUUAUUUAAAUGUGUACAAUUGAAUCAAAAUAAAAGUUUCAUGUAUACAUAUGGAUCACAAUUCAAGUUUCAUACAUAUAAUUGUACCAAAUCAAAGUUCAUGUAUCAAAUUGCACAUUAAGCCAAAAUUUAUGUAUAAAUUUAAUAUUUAUCCCAUUUAUGGGAGAUUAGCUUUCCAAUGGUAUUGUUUUAUUUACAUUAAUCCAAAUAAUUGGAAAUGAUGAAUUAGUUUAACGAAGAUUGUAAUUCUAUUAAUGUUUCUUCUCGAAUUUUUGGUUGCUCUUAUUUACAUGUUUUAUUAAUUGAUAGAUUUAAAUUCUUGGAAUAUAUUCUAAUUAAUUAGAUAUUUCCUUCCUUCCAAAAGCCUUUCAAAAUAGGUUUAGUUCGACCAAGAUACUCUUGUAGAAAAUUUUAGUUUUGUGGGAAAAAGAAAACUAGAUUUAUUUUUUACUCUAAUUGGUUUUAUAUGCAAGGUAUAUAAACUUUUGUGUCGCUGCAAUUUUUUUCCAACAUAUGUAUGUGAUUUGUGGGGUUUCAAUUUUGAAUUUUUUUUUACAAUUUAAUUAAAUUGUGAAAGUAUUUGAAAGUUUUUGAGUUGAUACAAUGUUUAGAACUACCCCAACACCCACCUAACCCUUAAAUAGGAGGAUAAACACGCUUCAGCACACUCGAACUCACAUCCUCCUACACCGAUGAUAAUACUAAUGCCAACAGAGUUAAGACUCAACCAGCCUUGAAUUUUGAAUUUUACUUCUUACACAUUUUGAAUUUUGAAAUUUUAGUUUUGACCCAAACAGUAGCAGUUAAAUCAAUUUGAUUAAAUUUAAUUACUAGUCCUAUAUUAUGCGUACGAUUAUUGAUUAGUCUAUACUCUCAAAUUGGGCAAUUCUAAGUACCUAUACUUUCCGAAUUUUGAAAUUUCAGUCUUGAUGCAAAUGACAAUUAUUAAUCCAUUAAUUUGAUUUUUAGCGAGUAAUAUGUGAAAAUAACAAACUGGUAUAACAUUACACAUAUGAUAAUAUGUUUAUUCCACCACAUUUGAAAAUAGCCGAAUUUAACAAAUAUUGUUAGUGAGGAUUGGAAAUUAGAGUCUAGCCCCCUACAAUAAUUUAGGUUAUGGAAAUAAUCUUGCAAAUAAUGCUUGAGACAUCAUUAUACAUCAAUUUAUAGUUUUAAUUCUUAUACUUACUCAAUUGGAAUAAAGAUUUAGUUUUUUAUUUUCUUUUGAUACAUUGUCUAGAAUCUUUAUUCCAAUUGAGUAAGUAUAAGAAUUAAAACUAUAAAUUGAUGUAUAAUGAUGUCUCAAGCAUUAAAAAUAACUAACUUCAUUAAAAAAUUCAUUAGUUGGCUCUCUAAGACUUAAAAAUUAAAAUUAUGUGGUUAUUAAAAAAGAAUUGUUUUUAUUAAAUUAUUAUUUAAAAUAAAUUUAUCUCAUCAUAAUGAUAUGAAUUUUUUUUCUUUAAAAAAUCCACAUUAACCGACUAAUAGAAUUGUAUAAAGCUGCCACCAAUCUCUUGGCAUGAUGGCAAAAGAUUCAGAGGCAAGCCAGAAAGUUUUUUGAGAGGAGUGAAUAAAGUUAUAUCUUUUUAUUAUAGUAAAAAUGAAAUUUUAUUAUUUUAAUAAUUUAUAUCUUUAUAAUUUUUAAAAGAUUAAAUAAAAAUUUUUUAUUUUUGAGGGGAUAAAGUAUAAGUUUAUCAUAUACUAAUUUAAAAAUUUUAAAAUUAUAAAAAGACUAAAGAUGAAAAUUUUCAUUUUAGGGAGAUGGGGCCCUGCCAGGUCCCUUGACUUCGCCUUGAUAAAAGUAUUAUGUUGCAAGUAUAAAGUUUGAGUUUAAUCUCGAACAAUCUCAUUUCUUAUCCCUAAUUAUAAAAUAAUAAAAUAAAUAGAGCAAUUGAUGUGAGGAGGCAAGUGUAAUAGGUCAAUUUUGACCUGGGCCAGAUUUCAAAACAAAACCCAAACUAAAUAAUAAAAGAGUCCAAAAUAGUUAAAACAAUCCAUCCAUUUUACAAACAAACCCAAAUUAGCAGCCCAAAUACAAAUUAAAACUCAAUAACUCAAAACUAACCCUAGCCCAAUUAGCUCAACACUUAAACACAACAAAAAAACCCCUAGCCCCCUAAGCCUCCAACGCCGCAUGACCACCUGUGCCGCACGCCGCCGCCGCUCAAGGCUUGCCUAUCACCGACCAUCCACGCGUCUAACACUUGCAAAACCAAGGCAACAUGCAACAACAAAGGCCAAAUAGAGGAAACAACAAGGAAACAGAUAAAAAAGGAAGAAACAAACAGUUUUGAUUUGGCUACAAAAGCCCGAAUCUCACCCUUGUAAUUUUUUUAAGAACAUUAGAAAAUAAAAAACAAAAACAACACUUUCAAGGUGAAUUUCUACUUUUAUUUCUGUUUUAAAUACCUAUU